UGGUUGGCAGACUAUUGCAUAACUAUAUAUUUUCUGUUGUUUUGUGUUCUUAGGCAAUGGCGAAAAAUGGCAUCUUUCAAGUGCUCAUUGUUUUUCUCAUGGCGCAAGUCUGCUUGCUCAUGAUGAUAGCAACACCGGUAGCACAUGCAGCUGCUAGACCGGUGGGGUACAAUCCAGUGUGCUGCCCUAGGAACAUCUAUUGUUGCGGGUUCGGUAGCGGAUUGGCCAAUUCACCCGCACCAUCAAUUGUAUCUUGAUGUGUGGUUUUAUUCUCCCUCAAGUAGUAAGCUCGACAUAUAAAUGAUAUAUGCGGUUCAUGUGUUACCUAAUCCUGAAUAUUUGUGAUGCUACUAUCAAGAAGGUAUUGUACUAGUUACUUACAAAAUAAAAUGGGAGGAAAUUAUUAUAUAUCUUUUUUGCAAUAUACUACAAAGAGAUUUAAGCUUAUGUAUACUUUACUCCUUUUGGAAACUAGAUUAUUUGACAGCUUUGAUUUAAAGACCCAAAAAAUGAGUGGCGUGGCAUACACGUUAAACUCAUGAGUCUGUAGUGCGUGCCUUUGGGAAUCUCUGUUUUAUCAUCAUGUUGGUCGUACAUUCCGGCGAGGUCAUCCGUGUCGUGGCAACAUGCUUUAUUUUUCAUUGAGAACAUAAUUUUAAAGCAUUUAUUGGGUAAUGGAGUAUAUCAGCAAUUACUAGCUACCAAAUACUGUUGGGCAGGCUUGUUUGUGAAUUCAGGGAUGCACACUAUGUUUCUUUUUGCAAGAAUGCCAAGUCCAUAUAUUAAAAUUGUCCAAACCUUACAACAUCAUCAUUACAAAAGCAGAAAAUACAGCACAUAUCCUGGUGUAUAUGACCGACGUCUUUCUGCCGCACUCGCACCCCGUGAGCAAAACUCGAUGUCGCGAUUGGAUCCCUAGAACACCCUUAGAACCAGGGCCAAUCAUUCUCUACGUGUUUUACAGUGAGUGCUCGAUUCCUCAAAAAACAAUAAAAAAAAUAUCAUAUGUGAAUACAGCUCUUUGGUCUUUGAUGGAGCACGAAAGGUUUGUUUGUUGUGGAUCCUAUAUGUGUAAUCUAUCUAUCUAUUACUAUACUAACUAGAGAUUACUUAGAAACUCCCACGGCUAUUCAGAAUUACGAAUUGUUCAUCUGGUGGGACCGAGUUUGGCAUUGGGUUUGGUCGAGGACCCGGAAAGGGAAGGGAAAUGAAGUGAAGGCAAAGGACCAGCAGACAAAGAGAAGCGAAGGCCAUGCCAGGAGCUACUCAGUAAGCGCAGGCGGAUUUGACAUUAGAUACCCUUCUUUUAUUACAUACCGCCUCCAAUACUUACUGUAGGCGGUUAUGUUGUUCUAACAGUCUGCGGUGUGUGCAUAUUACAGGUAACUACGUCCCAGUUGAUCACAACCGAUGUUGGUUUCGUGCAUCAACUUGUGAUGAUUGCUUUGUUCAUACUCGCCUUCGGUGAAGUUGGAGUCGGUGGAUCAAGGACGAUAGGUGAUGACGAUGAUGCUUGUGUGCAGCCAUGGCAGUUGAUGUCUUCCUAGUUAAGUGCAGAGUCUAGUUGGUAGCCAGGUUGGACGUUGCAUGUGUAUUGUCAUGUUCCAUGAUGGUUGUCUAUUGGGCAUGUUGUUACGGUUUUUGCUCAAUUAUUUUUAAAUUAAUCAUGUUUUCUUUUUAAUUAAUGAAAAUGUUAAAUAUUUUGCCUCAGCUUAAUAAUAAAAGAGUGCAAAUCUAAGUAACUAUCAUGUACUUCGGGGAACGACGCCAACGAUACAUUUGCACCAAACCACUAGCAUAAUUGGCCUCAUUGCCGAUUGACGCGGCUAGCUCGCUAGGCCAAAAACUGGGAGCGCCCAGACAAAUAGAAGAGAAUUCCUUAUUUGGUCCUUUCUUAAAAUCUGCUUCCCUUUUUGGCCCAAAAUUUUUCACCACAACUUCAUUUUCUUCUUUACACUUCCGAUAUUUUCUAUUAACACCAUGAAGUGCUGAGAUGAAAAUUCCUAUUUACCCUUGAUUUAGCAUGCUGAAAAAACAUAGGAAAACCCGCGUGCGUGAGAACCCUCCCACACGUUCACUCCCCUAUUCUCUCCCCGACUUACUGCGAGAUGCUAGCCCUAACCCUACGACGGCGGCGGAGGGCACACAACGGCGACGACGCGAGGCUGGGAGAGCGGUGUGGAGGAGGGUGUGGCCGAGGUACUUAUGGAUGGUAGGGUGGAAGGCACGAUGGAGGAGGGCCAUGUCGCUGCACCGGUCUCGGCCUCGGGCGGCCAUGGUGGGGCGACGGAGGGGGCAUGGUGGGGCAACGGCUACAGCGCGACUGCUAAGGGGUGGGGCGACGACUACACUUUGGCUGACGCUGAUGUAGGAUCGGUAAGGGCAGAGCUGGGUGCUCGGCCUCGACGACAUGGCUAGAAGGGGGACUCCUCUCUUUCUUCUCUAGAUUUCUCCAAAUAUAACAUAUUACUUUGAGUUCAUUCAUCAUUGGCUAUUUGACGGUUUUGUAUGCAAUAAAUUAAUCACCUCAAUUGUGCAAUAAAUAAAUUAAUCAGUCUUGAUUGAGAUAUGAGAUCACCUCAAUUGUAUUGUAUUCUUAGAGAUGAAUAUUUGCUGUGAGAUCUAAAAUGGAAAAAAAAGUCAAAAACAUUAGUUUGAUACUAUAAAGCAAGUAUGUUCAUAGAUCUUGGAUACUAUAUUUACAGAUAAUACUUUUAUUUAUUUUAAAUAUAAAGCAAGUAUGUUCCAGUUCAUACAUAAUUGAUCUUCCUUUUAAUGUUUGUUGAAAAUAUGCACAUGGGUUUGAUCUGCUUGUGCUACUGUAUAAGGAAGUUGUAGGAGUAGAACGUACUCAUGAUUAGGUUUCUCUUGCUUUUACAGGAUGGAUCCAAAUUCAACUUAUCUGCUGAAAGUAUUCUAAUUUCUUCCUUACCACCAUGGCCAAGGCUUGGAGAACACAAAACUAAGAAAACGGGAAAAUUGACUAACUCUGAAUCUUGAGGAUAAAAAAUGUAACCUAAAAUAUGUUUGAAAAUUGGUUCACAAGUAAUGCAUUGUUUCUAUUAUUUGUUUACUCUACCGUUGCCAUGCAUGCACAUGAUUGUCUCAAGUUAAUCUGGGCCCAUUUUUCAUUGAAGUGAUAUGCCAAACUAGCAAACAAUUGUUCCUUGGAAGGUAAAUGCCAAACGGAAAAGGAAAAAACUUGCUACAGAAAUUGCAAACAUUCCUAUGGUGCUAAAUGACAGCCUUGCGAUGUGCACAAGAAGCAAAAGAUUUAACCCAGCCAGCCCUGCAUUGAGCACGAGAAGCAAAAGAAGGCUUAGCUCGUGAUUAUCUAGUUCAUUACGUGUUUAUUGCAAACUGUUCAUGCGCUCAAUCUAUCAUGUGAGCUUUUGCAUACUGUUUAUUCAAGAUGCUCCUUUUGGAAACUAUUUAUGUGCUCAGCUCAUCAUGUGAGCUUGUGAGCUUUGGUGUUGUUUAUGUGAUGUAUGUGACUUGGAGGUGUUCUAAUUGGGCUUGUGUAUGUGAUGUAUGUCACCUGGUGGUAUUCUAUAUGAAACUGGAUGCUAUGAUAGUUGUGGAUGGUACUUGAUGAGUUACGUGCAUAUGUUGAAGAGUUUGUAGUCGUGUUGUCAUGAUAUUAUAUGAAUUGUGUGCAUAUAUGAAUUGUUGGCAGGGUAUAUGACAAUUUUCUUAUUAAAAUCCAAUGAUUUAACUCUGCAUUGAUCAUAUAAUCUGCUCACAUACUACACUGGGGGGUAAAGCAGUCUUUUUAGGUUCGACUUAACACCUUUAAUGGUCAAAACUGGCGGAAAUGGCACAUAUAGGGAACCAAUUGAAGUUUUAGUGCUAAGAGAAUCUACAGCCGGACUUGGAAAAUUUGGCCCCUCAAACGCUCGCGGGCGCGUUCGGGGGCACUGACCGGUCACACCUCCUAUUUGGUGAUAUGCAUUCAAACACCUCAUUUUCAUCCCCUAAAUCCAUACAAACCAGGCAAAAAAAAUUCCUAUGUAAUACGUACACCACGUUAUUCUAAACUAUGUUUCGCCGUCGGAGAUGUCCACGAUGUCCGUGCCGGACGCCAGGUAGAUGGGCGCGUAGGAGUGCUCCGGCUCCUCCUCCUCUUCCUCAUCCAUAGCCGCAGGCAUCUCGUUGACGUCCGCGGGGUGCUCCGCCUCCGCCUCCUGCAAACCAUCCGCGUUGUGCUCUGUUUUGCCUCCGCCUCCUGCACACGCCGCCGCUUGGCCUCCGCCGCCGAUUCCGACCGGAGAGACUCGAGGAUCGCCUGCAGAUCCACGGCCCCAGCGUCCCCCACAUCCUCCUCCUCCUUCAUCAUGCUCCUCCUCCUCUGGAUCUACCGCAUCCAGGGGUAGCCCCACUGCUAUCUGGGCUUCGUGCCUUGCCAGGACCUGCUCAAGCGAGCCUCAAACGCCCGGGUUGGCCGGCACCCCUCAUAUCCAGCCCAAAUUCGGGGAGAGUAUGGGGGCGAAGACCGCCCCAAACCUGUCUGGGUCAUAUUGUCGUGACCGGGCUGUCCGCUCGGACAUUUGUGACGGGUUUGAGGCGCCCGGCUAUAGAUGCUCGAAAAAGGAAAGCAUUCUCUUUCGAGUGCCAAAAAGGAAAGUAAAUUUUCAGAAAGCGUCAAAUAAGAAAUUCUCUCCAUAAACAGAUGUGAGGGCAUGUACAAUGGUUGAUAAGAUAGUCGUAUCUUAUGUCUUACAUGUAAUUUAGAGAUGCCAAAAAAAUGUCUACAAUGGGUCAUCUCUUAGUCUUAUCUACAAUAACUAGUUAUUCCUAAAAAUGUGGUGAAACAUAUUGUGCUAAGAGAUCAUCUCUUAUCUUCUUUUAAAUAAGAGAAGACAAGUCUUUUUUAUGAGUUAUAUCUCCUCCACCUCAUUAUUUAUCCUACAUGGCGCUGUACAUGGCCUGAAAAGAAAACGGACACGGCACUCACGCACAUGCUCCUACGUACGUGUUAUCCUACUCACCAACACGCUGCCUGCUAGCAAUCGAUGCCUCCUCUUAUCCGGUGCCGAGUGUAGUGGAGCGCCCGCCCAUCACAUGCUCGGUUUUCUAUAUGACCAACGAGCCGGCGCCACCUGUGCUCUGCCGCAGCGCCGGCCAUCCCGUCUGCCCGCCGGUACCACCGCCCGUCUCAAAACCACGGUCUCGCUUCCCACUGUAUCAAAUCGCCUUUCUCCCCGCCCGCUGGUUGCGCGGUUUCCUGCAACCUAUAAAUCGAGCCGGAGAACCUCACCUGUCCAUCCAUCUCAUCUCAUCCAACUCACACUACUACUGAUCUCAGCUAGGUGUACUUGAGUUCACUAGCUAGCUCUCUCCCACGAAGAUGUCUACGGUGACUCGUGCCCACCUCGACCAGAGGCUCGCCGCCGCCAAGCGCUGCUCCAAAGGUAACCAAAACGAUAUCAUGUCGUGCCGGUCCUCAAGGGCACAUUGCAGCUUUCUGUACAAUCUCUGCUGAAAUUUGAUCGUGACUAAAAUGUAUCUGUUGAUUCGGAACUGCAGAGGCUGCCAUGGCGGGAGCCAAGGCCGCGGCCGUCGCCACCGUCGCUGCCGCAGUCCCCACGGUAAGUUGCCAUUCAGUUCUUCGAUGAAAUCCUUGCACGGUUCAUAGCAUGUCUCAUGAAUGCGUUACCUGUAACUUCAGCUGGCGAGCGUGAGGAUGCUGCCGUGGGCCAAGGCACACCUGAACCCCACCGGGCAGGCGCUUAUCAUCUCCACCGUCGCCGGGAUGGCCUACUUCAUCGUCGCCGACAAGACCAUCCUCUCCAUGGCCAGGAAGCACUCCUUCGACGACGCGCCGGAGCACCUCAAGAACACCUCCUUCCACUAAUUAGACUAUAAUAGUAGAUCCAUUAGUAGUGCGCAAUAAACUGCAAGCACUUAUCUGAUAAUGAUGUUCAGCCAGCUGAGAAGCGACGACUUAUCUGAUGAUGCGUGCAAGCACUUAUCUGAUUAUGUACUAAUAAUGUAGCCGUGUAUCUUACUACUAUCUUUCCACUUAUCUGAUUAUGUACUAAUAAUGUAGCCGUGUAUCUUACUACUAUCUUUCCAGAGAUCUUGAACUAAUAAAGAUUAAAGACUAGUUUUUGUACAACUUUGGUUCAAGUGACCCUUUUCAUGUUUGGGAUUACCAUUUGACAUGUGUCAUACUGCCAUAGCAUUGCAAAAGCCCGCUACACUAUUUCAUUCGUUCGAUCCCCUGCUCCUCCCCUGUUCGAGAUCUCUGUUUCCGGCUUCGUGCUGGCGGCGUGCUGGGCGACGAUGGUGGCACAGUGGCGGUUGGAGGCCGGAUCUGGCCGAUGCGGAUCGAUUUGGCUCGUCGGCGUUGCUGGCGUGAAGUUCCCGGUUUUGGUGGAAGCGGCUUCGGCUGGGGGGUGGUGCGCGCGUCUGGGCGUGGUGGGUCGUGGGAUCCCACAGCCAGCGCGAGGUUGGCCUCGGCAGGAUGGUGUUUGUUGGCUGCGUUGAUGCGGGCAGGUGGUGGUUGAGCAUUUCCGGGGGAAAUCCUAUGUCCGGCCUUGGCUGGAUCCGAGGGCGACGCCCGCGGGCGUCGUGCUCUUUCUUGAAAGCGUUGCUGUUGUGUGGUGCUCCUCCUCCCUCCCCGCGGCCUUGGCUCCGGAGGGAAAUUUCGGAUCUUCGGGAUCGGGCGAUGAAGGCGCCUUCACGUCUUUUUCCUCCUUGGGGGCAUCGUCUUGGAGUCGGCCACAACCUGGAGACCAGUGGAUGGCGGCAUCUUUGCCGCGUGGGUUGCGGCAUCUUCGCCGCAUGGUUUUGCGGCAUCUUCGCUGCGUGGUUUGCGGCAUCUUCGCCGCGUGGUUUGCCGAGGCAGCCAUUUCGGGGGCGCUGAUUCCUGUUUGGCAAUGACGAUGGCGCCGAGAGGAGCUUUGGUCGCGGCUCGGGCUUCGGUAGUCGGAUCUUCCCAGCGUGUCCGAGGUGCUCUUCCGUUGGUUGCUUGGUUGCUUUGAAGUCGGAGCUGCGGUGGAGUGUGUCCAUGCGGUGACGAUGACAGGCGCUCAGUGGUCGGUUACAGAGGGCACGGUCAGCGCAAGUCCUGCAUAUUUCCCUUGUGAUGAUCGUCGUCUGAGUCGGAGCUGUCGGUUGUUCGCGCGUGCGGUCUUCUGUUGGCAUGUGCCAUCAUGGUUUCUGUGCAGCUGUUUGUAGCUAUGUGAUCCCAUGUCGGUGGCCAGGUUGACCGGUGGUACCCAUGUUAUGUGGGUUGGAUUGUAUCGGUUUUAUCCUGGUUUCCCGUCAAUUAACCGGGCAAUUCUCACUCCUUAAUCAAUGAAAACGGCACAUCUUUUGCCUAGUUUCAAAAAAAAGAAAUGCACGUUAAAUCUUGGACUCAACAAGAAAUGUGAUGUCAGAUUUUUUUUACAAUCGCAAAUUAAUUUUUUUAUGUCGAUUUAUGUUUACCAUUGAUGGCAAGUUUAGUUGGACAAAUCCGUCCCAGUUCAUUUUCUCCCAGAAAAUUGCCGUGCUUGCAAAAAUAAAUUAGCUAUCCUCGCGCUAACAUAAUUUUUUAUAGAAGCGUUUGAUUUGUCAUGUUUAAAAUCUAACAUCAAAUUUUUAACAUUACCGUAAAUCUUUUGAUACGCUUUAAUAGAAUGGGUUGAAAAAUAAGAAUAAUCUAUAUCUAUACCUAUACCUACUAUUAAAGGGAAUAGGUAUUCUUGGUUUGGUCCCUCUUUGGUUCGUCCCGUUUUUUCGUAUCUUUGCCCGUCCGUCUUUCCUUUUCUCGUAAGUCAAGAGUGCCUUUGUACGUCACGAUCAAUUGUAUUGGGCUUCUGGUCUGUUCACCCAUCGCUUGGCUGGGCCUCAGCCCGUUAAAUUAAACACGGCUGAACCGUGCGCUGUAAGCUGGCCCAGCUACCAGGCCUGCCGCGCGCUAUAAGCCGGCCCAACUACACUGGCAGCCCAGGCAAAAAAUAAGCGUUUCAUCAUGGGUUUUGAACACAUGACCUGUGCUCUAUCCAUAGAUGGUACGUAACAUCUAGCUACGUCAUUUUUUUGUUAGAUAGAUAUGCAAAGGUUAGUUUUGUUUAGUCCCACCUCGGUUUCUUGCACACAAUACAACCAGUUUAUAUACAUUUUUAAGUUUCCUGGUUAUCAAGGAGUUAUCCCAGGAAAUAAAGAAAGAAGAAUUCAAUGUUUUCAAGGCGUGGUGUGUGAUGAGUGGCUACACAAUUCUAGCAGACAUUGCACAAAUCAAUCGUAUCAUUAUGUUGAAUUAACAAGUCUAACAUCAGUUCUGAACUUCCGAUGAAUUCAAUCAUUGUCAGUCAACUAAGGUUGGCCCUCGGCCCCCAGAGAGCAUGCCGCAAAAAAAAAGAUGGUGACCCCCUUCCUACAAAUUAGGGGAGGGGCUCUUUUGUGUAGAAAAAUAACUUGCAUCCGAAAUGUGAAAUAUUUAGAGCAUUUCUAGUAAUACCUCUAAACCCUCAAAAAUAACCGCUUUUUACGGGUUGAGACGAAAAUUUCCUAAAGAAUAGAACCCUUAACCCUUAAACCCUCAAAAAAAUUUAGAGGCUCAACCCCUAUUCUCCUUCCCAGCCUGUAGAAACAGGGGUUGGCCAGCCCAACCCCUCCCCCACCCGGUUCCAUCGCCAACGACGCGCGGGAGCGAAUUUUCAGCUCCCCCUCCCCGGAUAAGGCCGCCCUCCCGCCGCGCCGCGCCCCGGCGCUCCAUCCCCGGCCGCCCCNNNNNNNNNNNNNNNNNNNNNNNNNNNNNNNNNNNNNNNNNNNNNNNNNNNNNNNNNNNNNNNNNNNNNNNNNNNNNNNNNNNNNNNNNNNNNNNNNNNNNNNNNNNNNNNNNNNNNNNNNNNNNNNNNNNNNNNNNNNNNNNNNNNNNNNNNNNNNNNNNNNNNNNNNNNNNNNNNNNNNNNNNNNNNNNNNNNNNNNNNNNNNNNNNNNNNNNNNNNNNNNNNNNNNNNNNNNNNNNNNNNNNNNNNNNNNNNNNNNNNNNNNNNNNNNNNNNNNNNNNNNNNNNNNNNNNNNNNNNNNNNNNNNNNNNNNNNNNNNNNNNNNNNNNNNNNNNNNNNNNNNNNNNNNNNNNNNNNNNNNNNNNNNNNNNNNNNNNNNNNNNNNNNNNNNNNNNNNNNNNNNNNNNNNNNNNNNNNNNNNNNNNNNNNNCCGUCCAAGCCGCGCCCCGGCCGCCCUCCCGCCGGCCGCCUCCGCCGCCUCCUCCGAGGCGAGGUAUGUGCUUUUUUUCAUUUUGUUUUAUUUUUUAUUGUUUCAUUUUUUAGCACUAAUUAGUGACUGUCCUUUGCAGAUGGAGAUGAACAAUGAGGAGAUUGUCAUGGACUCGAUGUCCGAUUCGUCGGAUUGGUCGACAUCCGACGAUUCCGACAUUUAUGAGUUGUUGCAAGACGACGAUGUCGAGAUGAUGAGCCUCCUCAUCGACGUGCAAUCGUUUGAAAACCGCGUGAAGCUGAUGGAUCAGAGGAGAGGGUCGAAGAUGGGGCGAGUCACCAUCUACCGGAACCGCGCUCUCGGACACGAGCAUUUGAUGGAAGACUACUUCGCGGAGGUACCUACAUACCCUCCUCGUCUCUUCCGCAGAAGGUACCGAAUGCGGCGUAGUUUGUUUGUGAAGAUUGUCACCGAUUGUGAGGCCGCCUCCUAUUACUUUAAACGUCGUAGAUCCGCCGCCGGUAUCAUGUGGUUUAGUGCAUAUCAAAAGAUAUCGGCGGCAAUGCGGGUACUCGCUUAUGGCAUACCCGCGGAUUAUACCGACGAGUAUCUUCGCAUUGGGCAAGAUACAACUACGGAGUCAGUCCGUAGGUUUGCCAAGUUGGUCAUCCGGUUGUACGGUGAGCAGUAUCUUCGGGCACCAAACAAGGAAGAUACAAAGAGAUUAAUGGAAAUGAAUGAAAAAAGGGGAUGCCCGGGGAUGCUUGGUAGUCUUGAUUGCAUGCAUUGGAGGUGGAAAAAUUGCCCAAAGGCAUGGCACGGAAUGUAUUGCGGUAAAAGCCGUGAUGCUACCAUUGUGCUUGAGGCCGUAGCAUCUCAGGACACAUGGAUUUGGCAUGCAUUCUUUGGGUUGCCGGGAACACUCAAUGAUAUCAAUAUCCUCAAUAGAUCUCCUUUGUUCAAAAGAUUAAUUUCUAGGGAUGCUCCAGCUUGCAACUACAAAAUCAUGGACAAUGAGUACUCAAUGGGAUACUAUCUCACCGAUGGCAUCUAUCCCGAAUGGGCAACUCUUGUGAAGUCCAUCAAGGAGAAAAAUGGGGUGCCCUUAACAAGAAAAGAGGCUCAUUUCACCAAGGCACAAGAGGCAGCCCACAAGGAUAUUGAGAGAGCUUUCGGUGUUUUGCAAGCAAGGUUUGCCAUAGUUCGUGGUCCAGCUCGGUUUUGGGACAAAAAAACCUUGGUGAACAUCAUGAAAUGUUGUGUGAUUCUACACAACAUGAUCCUAGAGGAUGAGAGAGGGUUAAACCUCCCUUGUUUCUAUGACAAUGUUGGUACCCGUGUGCAACCGGAAAGAAACCCUUCUCGCAUACACGCUUUUCUUCAAGCACAUCGUGAGAUUGAGGAUGCAACCACUCAUGGUCGGCUCCGGGAUGAUCUAGUAGAGCACCACUGGCAGUUGGAUGGGCGGCGCAUUGGCCCAUGAUGUAUCUUUGUUUUACUUUUCUAUGUCCUAUUUGAUUCGAACAAUUAGUGUAAUUUGCUCAAACAUUGUUGUAAUAAUUUGAAUGAUUAUUGUUUUAUUCGGUGUUGUAAUAAUAACUAGAAUGAUUAUUGUUUUAUGUCAAAUGUGAUGGAAUUUGUGAUAUGUCAUAUGAUGAAAUGUGAUGAAAUGUGUGAUAUAUGAAAUGACAGUUUUAAAGGUUGGGGUUGAGGCAAAGACUAGAACCCUCAAAUCCAACCCUUAAAGCAGUUUAAGAGUUGGGUUUGAGGGUUCUAGUCUUUGCCCCUGUUUUUCAACCCUUAAAAGUGUCAAAAACUAGCACUUCUCAACCCUUAAAACUGCUAUAAGGGUUUGAGGGUUCUACUAGUAAUGCUCUUAUACAAAGAGGGAGAGAUGAAGACAAUGCAGCAGGGUUGGUUAUCUAAUUGGCUAGUCAAACAUGAGGUGGUUCAUAGAUCUUUGGUCAUUAUGUUGAAUUAACAAGUCUAACAUCAGUUCUGAACUUCCGAUGAAUUCAAUUAUUGUGUUGCAAACUGUGAAGACCCAUCAGCAUAGAGAACAUCCAGUACAACAAUAAACAUAAUAUUAUACAACGAUCAUAGUGGUUAACUUAUUAUUUUCAGCGUUUUUUUUUCUGGAACACCAAUGCACAGGCACCGUCUGUUAUAUCUAAGCAACGACCCACAACGGCCAUAUGAAACAACAUAAUCUACACCCCAAAUGAAGCGACCUUGUUUCCAAUUAAGAUUUUUAUAAUCUACAGUUUUUUUUAGAAAAGGAGGAUGACCCCCGGCCUCUGCAUCUGGGCGAUGCAUACGGCCACUUUAUUAAUUAUUCUCACAAGACCUUACAAAGCCAAACAAGAGCAAGACUACAGCCACCGUCUAAGCAACAACUGUUGCUAUACCUAUCCAAUUGAUGAAGGGGCGCAGAUAGUCUGGGCCUAAUACUAAACAGACAUCGUAGCCAAACCUAAACAUCUAAGACCUGAGGUCCCAACCAGGACGCCUGCCUGGUAUGGGGCACCUACCAAUCCGGCGCACUCCUCAACCAGGACGCCUGCCGGGUAUGAGGCCGCCGCAGCCACCUGCCAUCAAUCCAUCUUCAGAGCUGUACUGUUGCAUGUACCGUGUCAGGUCUCUCUGCCAUCGACGCCAGCACGAUGUCCGACAGCGUCAUCCUCCUGCGCGAGUGCAUCCUCCCACAGCGAACUCCGAAUCUGCACUGCGCCACGCCGUCAAGAUCCGUCGCCAUCAAUGUGUAGGAUGAAUCACCGCUCCACCAAAGAAUCCGUCCUCUGGUCCCUCGAUCACGUGUGUACCUCCAAGAAUGACGCCCCCAAGGGAGGAACGACACCAGAGCGCCGCCGACAUCCGAUCAUCCGAUCUAGGGUUUCCCCCGAAGGUAGCAGAGAGUGGCCUUGAACUUCUCCACGGCGAUGCCUUCAAGAAGGGAACGACGCAGAUAGCGCCGCCACCGCCGGCCUUAGCAGACGCCAAAGGCAAGUUUUCACCCAGAUCAGUUCGAAGGGAUCCAGCUCUCGUGCAUGGGCCGCCGUCACCAUCAGCACCACCAGGCAGAAUACGGGAGCACCGGCAGAUCAGCGAGUCGCCGGCACCACCGCAUCCAGAUCGCCGGCCACACCGGGCCGCCGCCAUCCCCCGCGUCGUCCGGAUCAGAGACGGAGCCGCCUACCGCGCAUAGGGACCACCGCCGCUUGCACACGCCGGAACGCCGCCGAGAGCCCAGCGCCCGCCACCACUUGCCGAGGGCCGCCGCCGCGCGCCCCGAGCGGACUCCCACGCACACCAGGGGAAGCCACGAGCGUGAUCCCUGCCGUCGCCCCCAAGCCCGCGCCGGCGCGGCCCGCCUCCAGCGCGUCGCCAACAACCUGCCGCGAUCCACGGGCGCCAGAUCCAGCGAUUCGUGGGAGAAGAGAUCCCGCCGCCGCCGACGCCGACCGGGCUUUGCCUGGCGGCGCGCCCCGGCGGCGGCGAGGAGGAGAGGUCGGGAGAGGCAGGGGCGACACGGGACGAGUCGGGAGUGUUAGAAAGAGUUAUGUAUACGGUAUACGGUAUUCUAUAAACCGCAUAUGCCCGUAGAGAGGUAGAUCACGUGCGUGUGUUCUGUUGUAAUCUAGGUAGUUAGGUUGUUAGGGUUUAUCCUCAGAUCUUGUAUAGGUUUUCUUGAGGAUCAAUCCAUAACCUAACUACCGCACCUUGUAUCCUAUCCUUGGCUAUAUAACAUGUACGCGUCCCUGCCCAAAGGCAUACGCUUCCACGCAAUCUUUCAUGGUAUUCAGAGCCUAGUUCCUCUACCGCAUCCAAUCUAAUAGUCAUGGCUAGCUCCAGCACCGCCGCCGCUCCAUACGCCCUCAUUCCCAUUGCUGAUACGAUUCACCGCGGCAACUAUCUCGUGUGGCGCGCGCAGGCUUUAGCUACCAUCUGCGGAGCCCAACUGAUCGACCACCUCAACCCCGAUCACCCGUUCCCGGAGCCCAAGCUUGCCGACAAGGAUGGCAAGCCCACCGAUGUGCCGAACCCGGCGCAUCACAUCGCUCUGGCGCAAGACUCCCAGGUGCUAAGUUUUAUGUUCAAUUCAAUCUCUGCUCCUGUGAUGAUCCAAGUCGCCCACUGCACCAAGGCCGCCGCGGCGUGGACCACGAUCAGGGAGAUGUUUCUCUCCCAGACGCAGGCCAACAUCGUCAACACGCGGAUCACCCUCUCCACCACCAAAAAGGGCACCGUGACCAUCGCCGCGUACAUCGGGCGCAUGAAAGCGCUAGGCGGCGAGAUGGCUUCAGCAGGGAAGCCGCUCGACAAUGAUGACAUAGUCUCCUACAUCCUCGCUGGAGUCGACUUCGACUACAUCUCGUUCGUCUCGUCCAUCUGCGCUGCAAGAACCGAGCCCAUCAAGGUAGCUGAACUUUAUUCUCAACUGAUCAGUUUUGAAAAGCGUCUUGCCAUGUUUGAAGGAGGAAACCAGUCCUCUCAAUCCUCGGCCAACGCCGUGUCUCGUGGCCGUGGUGGUUUCGGUCGCGGAAGCGGCCGUGGCAAUGGUAGCCGUGGCAACGGAGGUGGUCACCGCAAUGGAGGCCGUGGCAAUGGAGGUGGUGGCCGCGACAAUGCAGGCCGUGGCAACGGCAAUGGAGGAGGCAAUGAUCUCCCUGAGGUUGUCUGCCAGAUCUGCAAGAAGCCAAACCACACCGCCGUCGAGUGCUACCGCCGCUUCGACAUCUCCUUCGCCAAGAACGAGAAAAGUGCAGGAUCGGCCACCACCUCGUCCUAUGGAGUGGACACGAACUGGUACCUCGACACGGGGGCCACAGACCACCUCACCAGCGAGCUCGACAAGUUGACCGUCCGCAACAAGUACAACGGCAACGAGCAAGUCCAUACUGCAAACGGAGAAGGUAUGGAAAUUUGUCAUAUUGGUCAAUCCACUGUUCGAACCCCCACUCGUGAUCUUCAUCUUAAAAACAUAUUGCAUGUACCCGAUGACACCAAGAAUCUUAUUUCAGCUCAUCGCUUAUCCACUGACAACAAUACCUUUCUUGAAGUUCACCCAUGUUUCUUUUUCGUUAAGGAACAGGGAACGAGGAGAACCCUUCUCCAAGGCAGGUGUAGACAUGGUCUCUACCCCCUAUCAUCGACUCCGUUGAAUUCUAGCAAGCAGGAAUUUGGUGUCAAAAGUGUCCACGGACAGGUGGCACAGUCGGCUAGGGCAUCCUUCAUCAACCAUAGUUCGUCAUGUCCUUAGCCACAACAACAUUCCCUUUUCAAGUAGUGAGUUGAAUAAAGAAGGCAUUUGUGAUGCUUGCCAAUUGGGCAAGAGCCACCAACUACCUUAUCCUAGUUCGUUCAGUGUAUCUAAAGCUCCUUUAGAGCAAAUUUUCUCUGAUGUAUGGGGGCCUGCCCGUGAUUCUAUCAAUAGGAAAAACUAUUAUGUGUCCUUUAUUGAUGAUUAUAGCAAAUUCACAUGGAUCUAUCUUCUUAAGCAUAAGUCUGAAGUUUUUAAGAUCUUUCAUGAAUUUCAAGCAUUAGUUGAAAGGUUGUUCAAUAGGAAAAUUAUCACCAUGCAGACAGACUGGGUUGGCGAGUAUGAACGUCUAAAUUCCUUUUUUCGCCAACUAGGAAUCACCCACCAUGUCUCCUGUCCACAUGCUCAUCAGCAGAACGGAUCAACUGAAAGAAAACAUCGUCCCAUCGUAGAUGUGGGUCUUUCUCUCUUGGCUCAUGCCUCCAUGCCUCUCAAAUUUUGGGAUGAGGCUUUUCUCUCUGCCACAUAUCUGAUAAAUCGCACCCCUAGUAAAGGUGAUCAACUAUGAAACUCCCUUGGGCCGUCUGUUUCAUGAACAACCAAACUACCAUUCACUUCGAGUCUUUGGGUGUGCUUGUUGGCCCAAUCUCCGUCCCUAUAAUUCUAAAAAAUUAGGAUUCCGAUCCAAACAAUGUGUUUUCCUCGGAUACAGUAAUCUUCACAAAGGCUUUAAAUGUCUUGAUGUUGCUGUUGGCCAAGUUUACAUAUCCAGGGAUGUCAUCUUUGAUGAAACGGUUUUUCCUUUCAAGGCCUUAAACCCUAAUGCAGGCACUCCCCUUCGAUCUAAGAUUUUGUUGCUACCUGAAAUUACACCUUCUGAGACUAUUGAUCAUGGGGGUGAACAUGUGCUUGAUCAACAUGCAAAAUUUCCUGCUAAUUCUGGUGAAAAUCCAGCUCCUAUGCGUCAUUUAUGCAGGCAGUACAGGACAAAAAUGGCGCAGAGCACGGAGGAGAUUCAGGUGCUGCCGCCGCUGAUCCUGAGGAUGACAGCGCAGGUGCAGGCGGCAGCCCAGGCGAAUCUGCCUCGGAUCGCACCCCUCCCAGGGGACGUGUGGGCGCGUCGGGCGCCGGUUCCCCAGGUGGGCCAAGCCCUGAUGGGCACAUGGUGCAGGACCAGCUGACCGGUCCCUCGCGCCGCACGCUGCCUCAUGAUGACCGCCAGGUGGACCAACCUGGUGCGGGGGCGUCGGCCAGCGCAUAAGUGACAAGGCGGGAUGUCGGAUCUCCUAGUGUUGACGACGGGAUCGACAUGGGAUCCCGUGCAACUGACGGCAUGAUCGAUGUGGGAUCCCAUGCGGCUGUGAUUCCCUCGGUCGGAUCUUCUGCGGCGCAGUCUGCUCCUGAUGUGCCGUCUCGGAGGACAAGAUCGUGAUAACCCACAAGUAUAGGGGAUCGCAACAGUUUUCGAGGGUAGAGUAUUCAACCCAAAUUUAUUGAUUCGACACAAGGGGAGCCAAAGAAUAUUCUCAAGUAUUAGCAGUUGAGUUGUCAAUUCAACCACACCUGGAUAACUUAGUAUCUGCAGCAAAGUAUUUAGUAGCAAAGUAAUAUGAUAGUAGUGGUAACGGUAACAAAGGUAACAGUAGCAAAAGUAAUAAUUUUGGUGUUUUGUAGUGAUUGUAACAGUAGCAACGGAAAGUAAAUAAGCGAAGAACAAUAUAUGAAAAGCUCGUAGGCAUUGGAUCGGUGAUGGAGAAUUAUGCCGGAUGCGGUUCAUCAUGUAACAGUCAUAACAUAGCGUGACACAGAACUAGCUCCAAUUCAUGAAUGUAAUGUAGGCAUGUAUUCCGAAUAUAGUCAUACGUGCUUAUGGAAAAGAACCUGCAUGACAUCUUUUGUCCUACCCUCCCGUGGCGGCGGGGUCCUAAUGGAAACUAAGGGAUAUUAAGGCCUCCUUUUAAUAGAGUACCGGAAUAAAGCAUUAGCACAUAGUGAAUACAUGAACUCCUCAAACUAUGGUCAUCACCGGGAGUGGUCCCGAUUAUUGUCACUUCGGGGUUGCCGGAUCAUAACACAUAGUAGGUGACUAUAGACUUGCAAGAUAGGAUCAAGAACUCACAUAUAUUCAUGAAAACAUAAUAGGUUCAGAUCUGAAAUCAUGGCACUCGGGCCCUAGUGACAAGCAUUAAGCAUAGCAACAUCAAUCUCAGAACAUAGUGGAUACUAGGGAUCAAACCCUAACAAAACUAACUCGAUUACAUGAUAGAUCUCAGCCAACCCAUCGCCGUACAGCAAGCCUACGAUGGAAUUACUCACGCACGGCGGUGAGCAUCAUGAAAUUGAUGAUGGAGGAUGGUUGAUGAUGACGACGGCGAUGAAUCCCCCUCUCCGGAGCCCCGAACGGACUCCAAAUCAGCCCUCCCGGGAGGUUUUAGGGCUUGGCGGCGGCUCCGUAUUGUAAAACGCGAUGAAUUCUUCUCUCUGAUUUUUUCUCCCCGAAAGCAAAUAUAUAGAGUUGGAGUUGAGGUCGGAGGAGCUCCAGGGGACCCACGAGGUAGGGGGGCGCGCCCUCCACCCUCAUGGACAGGGUGUGGGCCCCCUGGUCUUCAUCUUUUGCAAGGAUUUUUUUAUUAUUUCUAAAUAGACGUUCCAUGGAGUUUCAGGUCAUUCCGAUAACUUUUGUUUCUGCACAUAAAUAACACCAUGGAAAGUCUCCUGAAAACAGCGUCAGUCCGGGUUAGUUCCAUUCAAAUCAUGCAAGUUAGAGUCCAAAACAAGGGCAAAAGUGUUUGGAAAAGUAGAUACGACGGAGACGUAUCAACUCCCCCAAGCUUAAACCUUUGCUUGUACUCAAGCAAUUCAGUUGAUAAACUGAAAGUGAUAAAGAAAAACUUUUACAAACUCUGUUUGCUCUUGUUGUUGUAAAUAUGUAAAGCCAGCAUUCAAGUUUUCAGCAAAGAUUAUGAUUAACCACAUUCACAAUAACUCUUAGGUCUCAUGUUUACUCAUGUCAAUGGCAUAAUCAACUAGCGAGCGAUAAUAAUAAAUCUCGGAUGACAACACUUUCUCAAAACAAUCAUGAUAUGAUAUAACAAGAUGGUAUCUCGCUAGCCCUUUCUGAGACCGUAAAACAUAAAUGCAGAGCACCUUUAAAGAUCAAGGACUGACUAGACAUUGUAAUUCAUGGUAAAAGAGAUCCAGUCAUAGUCAUACCCAAUAUAAAUUAAUAGUAAUGAAUGCAAAUGACAGCUGCGCUCUCCAGCCAGUGCUUUUUAAUAAGAGGGUGAUGACUCAACAUGAAAGUAAAUAGAUAGGCCCUUCGCAGAGGGAAGCAGGGAUUUGUAGAGGUGCCAGAGCUCGAUUUUGAAAUAGAGAUAAAUAAUAUUUUGAGCGACAUACUUUCAUUGUCAACAUAACAACCAAGAGAUGGCGAUAUCUUCCAUGCUACACACAUUAUAGGCGGUUCCCAAUCAGAAUGGUAAAGUUUAUACUCCCCCUCCACCAACAAGCAUCAAUCCAUGACUUGCUCGAAACAACGAGUGUCUCCAACUAGCAACAGUCCCAGGGGGAGUUUUGUUUGCAAUUAUUUUGAUUUAGUUUGCAUAAAGCAUGUGACUAGGCAUCCCGGUGACCAGCCAUUUUCUCGUGAAUGAGGAGCGGAGUCCACUCCUCUUGAGAAUAACCCGUCUAGCAUGGAAGAUACGGACAGCCCUAGUUGAUACAUGAGCUAUUCGAGCAUACAAAACAGAAUGUUUAUUUGAAGGUUUAGAGUUUGGCACAUACAAAUUUACUUGGAACGGCAGGUAGAUACUGCAUAUAGAAAGGUAUAGUGGACUCAUAUGGAAUAACUUUGGGGUUUAAGGGAUUGGAUGCACAAGCAGUAUUCCCGCUUAGUACAAGUGAAGGCUAGCAAAAGACUGGGAAACGACCAACUAGAGAGCGACAACAGUCAUGAACGUGCAUUAAAAUUAAUAAACAUUGAGUACAAUCAUGAGUAGGAUAUAAUCCACCAUGAACAUAAAUAUCGUGAAGGCUAUGUUGAUUUGUUUCAACUACAUGUGUGAACAUGUGCCAAGUCGAGUCACUUAAAUCAUUCAAAGGAGGAUACCACCCCACUAUACCACAUCACAACCAUUUUAAUAGCAUGUUGGCACGCAAGGUAAACCAUUAUAACUCGUAGAUAAUCAAACAUGGCGCAAGCAACUAUGAUCUCUAAUUGUCAUUGCAAACAUGUUUAUUCAUAAUAAGCUGAAUCAGGAACGACGAACUCAUCAUAUUUACAAAAACAAGAGAGGUCGAGUUCAUACCAGCUUUUCUCAUCUCAGUCAGUCCAUCAUAUAUCAUCAUAAUUGCCUUUCACUUGCACGACCGAACAAUGUGAAUAAUAAUAAGAGUGCACGUGCAUUGGACUAAGCUGGAAUCUGCGAGCAUUCAAUAAACAGGAGAAGACAAGGAAAUAUGGGCUCUUGGUUAAAUCAACAAUAAUGCAUAUAAGAGCCACUUCAACAAUUUAAUCAUGGUAUUCUCCUACGACCCCCAAAGAAAAGAAAAGAAAUAAAACUAUUUACACGGGAAAGCUCCCAACAAACAAAAGAAGAACAAGAAAUCUUUUUGGGUUUUCUUUUUAAUUAUUACUACUACAGCAAGAAAAGUAAACUAACUAAAACUUACACUAUUUUUUUUGUUUUUCUUAAAGUUUAUUAAACACACAAGAAGAAAGCAGGAAAAAGAAAAUAAACUAGCAUGGAUAUUACAGUGAAAGAGUAUGAGCACCGACAUCUAGCAAUGAGUGUGUGAACAUGAAUGUAAUGUCGGUGAGAAGUACGUACUCCCCCAAGCUUAGGCUUUUGGCCUAAGUUGGUUUAUUGCCAAGGAUGGCCUGGCAGAUAUCCGUAGUUGUAGCUGGGGUCGUACUGAGAUGAAGAGGACUCUGACUGCCACUGGCUGGCAGUCAUCUCCGGAUCCCAAAAGUAAUCAAACUGUCGUGGAGGUUCAAAUUGUGGUUCCGGCUCCGGGGCUGGUGUAGGAUUCCGGUAAGCGUAAAUGGCCGCCCACGGAACGAGAUACAGACCUUCAGAUAAAUUAAACAAGGAAGGAGCAGUCAAGGUAAUAGUCUCAGGGUGAUGUUUAACAAAGAACAACUUGUAUUUAAGCUCCCCUUCCUUGUUCUUAACAAUAAAGUCAUGCGUUACCAUACUCUUAUAAUCUAAAUAAGCAUUGGGCAGCAAUUUUUUUCUUUCUCAUAGUGCCUAAUAGGUAUGUUAUAAUGUGCAGCAAGGCGUGAAACAUAAAUACCUCCAAAGAUGGGACCCUUAGUACGAUUCAAACUUAACCGUUUAGCAAUAAUACCGUCCAUACUAACAGUGUUAUCAGAAAAUAAACCAUGGAACAAAAUGAUAAUAUCAGGAACACUAAGGUUUCCACAGUUUCCACGACCAAUCAGGCAACGACUAGCAAAUAUGGCAAAGUAGCGUAAAACAGGAAAAUGUAUGCUAGUGAUUCUUUACGAUAGAGGAUCGCAACAGUUUUCGAGGAUAGAGUAUUCAACCCAAAUUUAUUGAUUCGACACAAGGGGAGCCAAAGAAUAUUCUCAAGUAUUAGCAGUUGAGUUGUCAAUUCAACCACACCUGGAUAACUUAGUAUCUGCAGCAAAGUAUUUAGUAGCAAAGUAAUAUGAUAGUAGUGGUAACGGUAACAAAGGUAACAGUAGCAAAAGUAAUAUUUUUGGUGUUUUGUAGUGAUUGUAACAGUAGCAACGGAAAAGUAAAUAAGCGAAGAACAAUAUAUGAAAAGCUCGUAGGCAUUGGAUCGGUGAUGGAGAAUUAUGCCGGAUGCGGUUCAUCAUGUAACAGUCAUAACAUAGCGUGACACAGAACUAGCUCCAAUUCAUGAAUGUAAUGUACGCAUGUAUUCCGAAUAUAGUCAUACGUGCUUAUGGAAAAGAACUUGCAUGACAUCUUUUGUCCUACCCUCCCGUGGCGGCGGGGUCAUAAUGGAAACUAAGCGAUAUUAAGGCCUCCUUUUAAUAGAGUACCGGAAGAAAGCAUUAGCACAUAGUGAAUACAUGAACUCCUCAAACUAUGGUCAUCACCGGGAGUGGUCCUGAUUAUUGUCACUUCGGGGUUGCCGGAUCAUAACACAUAGUAGGUGACUAUAGACUUGCAAGAUAGGAUCAAGAACUCACAUAUAUUCAUGAAAACAUAAUAGGUUCAGAUCUGAAAUCAUGGCACUCGGGCCCUAGUGACAAGCAUUAAGCAUAGCAACAUCAAUCUCAGAACAUAGUGGAUACUAGGGAUCAAACCCUAACAAAACUAACUCGAUUACAUGAUAGAUCUCAGCCAACCCAUCGCCGUACAGCAAGCCUACGAUGGAAUUACUCACGCACGGCGGUGAGCAUCAUGAAAUUGAUGAUGGAGGAUGGUUGAUGAUGACGACGGCGAUGAAUCCCCCUCUCCGGAGCCCCGAACGGACUCCAAAUCAGCCCUCCCGGGAGGUUUUAGGGCUUGGCGGCGGCUCCGUAUCGUAAAACGCGAUGAAUUCUUCUCUCUGAUUUUUUUCUCCCCGAAAGCAAAUAUAUAGAGUUGGAGUUGAGGUCGGAGGAGCUCCAGGGGACCCACGAGGUAGGGGGGCGCGCCAUAGGGGGCAGGCGCGCCCUCCACCCUCGUGGACAGGGUGUGGGCCCCCUGGUCUUCAUCUUUUGCAAGGGUUUUUUAUUAUUUCCAAAUAAACGUUCCGUGGUGUUUCAGGUCGUUCCGAGAACUUUUGUUUCUGCACAUAAAUAACACCAUGGAAAGUCUGCUGAAAACAGCGUCAGUCCGGGUUAGUUCCAUUCAAAAUCAUGCAAGUUAGAGUCCAAAACAAGGGCAAAAGUGUUUGGAAAAGUAGAUACGACGGAGACGUAUCAGAUCGCAACAUGGUAUUGUAAAGCCGCAAAUUCAUACAGACGGUACGGUCAGGUAUGACAAGCUUAAACCUCGGUUUGGAGGCUUAACGACUACUGGUGAGCCAAUUAGUUUACAUGAAGCUUUGAGUGACACAAAAUGGAAAAUGGCUAUGAAUGAUGAGUAUGGUGCUCUUAUUAAAAAUAAGACGUGGCAUCUAGUUCCACCAACACAAAACAAGAAUGUCAUUGAUUGUAAGUGGGUCUAUAGAAUUAAGAGAAAAGUAGAUGGUCAAGUUGAUAGGUAUAAGGCAAGACUAGUAGCCAAAGUUUUUAAAGAGAGAUAUGGUAUAGACUAUGAAGAUACCUUUAGUCCUGUUGUUAAGGCAGCCACUAUCAGACUUGUUCUCUCUGUUGCAGUGUCAAGAAAUUGGAGCCUAAGGCAAUUGGAUGUAUAGAAUGCGUUCCUUCAUGGCGUUCUAGAGGAAGAAUUCUAUAUGAGACAACCACCUGGGUAUGAGGUAAAAGGAAAGGAGAGUUAUCUCUGCAAGCUUGAUAAAGCCCUGUAUGGACUAAAACAAGCACCUAGGGCUUGGUACUCCAAGUUAAGUGAAAAACUUCAAAUACUUGGUUUCAAAUCAUCCAAGGGAGAUACUUCUUUGUUCUUCUACAGGAAAGGAAAUAUCACCAUUUUUAUGUUGGUUUAUGUUGAUGAUAUUAUUGUUGCUAGCUCAUCACAAGAUGCAAUUGUAGCAUUACUAGAAGAUCUUAAGAAGGAUUUUGCCUUGAAAGAUUUGGGUGAUCUGCAUUACUUCUUGGGUAUUGAGGUGAGAAAGGUAAAAGAUGGAAUACUUCUCACUCAAGAAAAAUAUGUCUUGGAUAUGCUUAAGCGUGCGGGAAUGGUAAAUUGUAAAGCUUCAAACAUGCCUCUCUCCACGUCAGAAAAGCUAUCAAGAGAAGAAGGGGAGCCUUUGGGGGCCGAGGAGUCAACAAAAUACAGGAGCAUGGUAGGUGCUUUGCAGUACUUAACACUGACAAGACCUGACAUUUGUUUCCCUGUUAACAAAGUAUGCGAGUACUUGCAUUCUCCCACCUCUCAACAUAUGACAGCUGCUAAGAGAAUUUUGAGAUAUCUCAAGGGUACUAUGAGUACGGGUCUGAAAUUUACUAAGUCAACUUUCAAUGUUGUUAGUGCUUUCUCUGAUGCUGACUGGGCAGGAUGUCCAGAUGACAGAAGGACAACAUGAGGAUUCUGUGUGUUCUUCGGUCCAAAUUUGAUCUCUUGGAGUGCACGUAAGCAAGCUACCGUCUCUCGGUCUAGUACAGAGGCAGAGUACAAAUUUUUAGCUAAUGCCACUGCUGAGAUUAUUUGGGUUCAAACCUUGCUACGUGAACUUGGAGUUAUGCACUCACCAGUUGCACGUCUCUGGUGUGAUAAUAAUGGUGCUACAUAUCUGUCAGCAAAUCCAGUGUUUCAUGCUAGGACAAAACACAUAGAAGUGGACUAUCAUUUUGUUCGAGAGAGAGUAGCUAACAAAUUGCUGGAUAUCCGUUUUAUUCCCACAGGUGAUCAAGUUGCAGAUGGAUUUACCAAAGCUUUAUCAUGGAAGAAGUUAGAAGACUUCAAGGGCAAUCUCAACUUGGUGAAGCUGUGAUUGAGGGGGCGUGUUAGAAAGAGUUAUGUAUACGGUAUACGGUAUUGUAUAAACCGCAUAUACCCGUAGAGAGGUAGAUCGCGUGUGUGUGUUCUGUUGUAAUCUAGGUAGUUAGGUUGUUAGGGUUUAUCCUCAUAUCUUGUAUAGGUUUUCUUGAGGAUCAACCCAUAACCUAACUACCGCACCUUGUAUCUUAUCCUUGGCUAUAUAACACGUACGCGUCCCUAUCCAAAGGCAUACGGUUCCACGCAAUCUUUCAGGGAGGGGCGACACGGCGGCGCUGUCAAUUCCCUGCAUAAUCUACAGUGAUCAUUCAUUUUCAGCGUUUUUUUUUGGAACACCAAUGCACAGGCACCGUCUGUUAUAUCUAAGCAACGACCCACAACGGACAUAUGAAACAACAUAAUCUACACCCCAAAUGGAGCGACCUUGUUUCCAAUUAAGAUUUAUAUAAUCUACAGUGAUCAUUCCUACUGAAUCGGCAGCAACAGCAGCAGCAGAUAAUAAUAGUACUAGGAGUAUUGUGCACUACAGCAGAUCAAUCGUCAAGAAAGAUCAGAACAUAGUUUCAGGGCAAUGAUAACUACAGCAUGCUAACCAUAUACUGUAUUAAAUUACAAUAUGAGGGUAAUUUGCCACUUCACCUUGUGACCUUCAGCAGCCAGGUUCUCCUCUACUGAAGGUGCCUCUGGUGAGAUAGUAAUGCUCUGCUGUGCCUGCACACCUUCAGCUCCAUAGCUCCCUCCAACUGCAGCUGUUGUGUAGUAGUCUGAUGCCAUUAUCCUGUCCAGCAUAGCCGUCACCGCACCAUCUACAACCAAAAGCCACAUCUUUCAGUCAGCAAUCAUUUCCAAUCAAACAAGAUAACAAAUCUACUAUAUCAAUAACACUCACAAGUAACAGAGGAGCCAAGGUGUCAUCGGCGUGGGCGAGCCAUAAGCGGGCGCCACAGGCCUGGAGGGCGUCGCGGUGGGAGAUACUCACUGCUGAAGCAGGGCGGGCGGAAUACCGCGUUAUAGCGUAUUGAGAAUUGUCUCGCUAAAUAUAUUGAUGUACAACGUCUUGCUAAUAGCACGCUAUAGCGCGAUAUAGCAAGCUAAUAGCAUAUUUUUAGGUCGCCGCUAUUUUGCUGUAGCGCGCUAUUUUUUUCAUUACUCCUUGGAGGCGCUUGAGCUCGCCAAUUAUGGUGGUGAAGCUGGGCUUGGAGCGCAUCACCUCCUUCUGCUCUUGGUUAAUCCUCUGGCCGACGGCGGCCGCCUCAUCCAUCUGUGUGAUGCGGUUCUGCUUCUUGCGCACACACCACAAGAGGUCACGGCCAUGACGACCGUGCGCCGCCAAGGUCGACGACCACAGCCACGGCAGCAUGGGACAAAAGCCAGGAUGUGGCGCUCGGGGCAGUGCAUAGACGACGCCGGGGAGACCAUGUUAAGGCGUGGGAGUGUUGAAUCCACUUGGUAGAGAAGGUAGUGUGGGCUGAGAUGUGCAUGAGGGGUGCAGGAAAGCGACGGUUCUCACCGGCGGCGGUUGGAAUUGACCGGCGGCCGUGAGGUGGAGAAGGGGAUCGAGGACAACUUCUGUGAGAGAGUUCAGGAGGGAGGAGAAAAUGAGAGAGAUGGAGGAGAGAACACACAGACACAAGGGGUGCCGCCCGGCGCGUGGCACUGUGAGCUGGCCGUCCCCAAUAAGGUAGAAAAUGAGCCUGUUUAUUACUCCCUGCUACUUUGUCUAUACGAGUAUUUUUUUACCCCUUAAAAAAAUCUAUAUCUUUUUCUAAGAAAAUACUUUACUUUAUAUAUCUAUUAUAUUGUCGAAAAUACAAAGGUGAACAUGGGUGCGCGCGCACCCACAUGAAUAGUAAAUUCAUAAAAAAUACUAGAAAAAUUUAAAAAAUUCUGAAAUUUUGCCGUAUGAAUCUUAGACGAUCAUUCUACUCACGUGUGAAGUUUCAUGAUGUAUUUACACCUAUGGUAUUCUUAGUGAAGAAAAUAGAAAUGCGACCAUACUAUUCAUUAAACAGUGUUUUUUAAUAUAGCUUCGAUUACCUUCGAUUUUGUCAUUUUUGCCAAGAUUAUCACGGAUGUGAUUUCUUCGUGAUACUUCAUAUGCGAGUAUACCGAUUGACUAUGUAUAUUAAAAAAAAAUUCAGAUUUUGAUUUUUGCUAGCAUUUUUUUGAAUUGGCUAUUCAUAAAGGGUGCGCGCGCACCCAUGUUCACCAAAUCCGCGUCCUUAUAUUGUAUACUUACUAAUAAUAUAAUGUUCACUUAGAGGUUAACAUCAAGGAUGUGGCGGUGAUGCUCAAAGGUAGGCGGGGUUAGAAGAUGCAAAUAAUGUGGCUAACAUUUUAGCACGAGAAGGUGUUAUUAGUAACGAGGUGUGUAGGGUGUGGGUUCAGGACCCAUCGGAUUGUAUUAUGGAAACUGUAUCAGACAAGAUUACUAAUGCAUUUUUUAAUAAGUAAAGUGGCUUAUUGUUGUAAAAAAAAUGCAGCUCUCGGGCAAGCCGUUGAUCGAUCGGGCUCUGCUCCUUAGCAUGUCCAAUGGGCUACAGAUCGUGUCCUGAAAUACGUACUGCUUCUGACGCCCGACAAAACCAUAGUUGUUGAAAUUCUAAUGCAAGGCCUGCUUCCUGCUGCGCUGGGGAUUUUUCUAUGUCUAUGUUGAGUUGUCGGUGAAACUAAGAAUGUUAACGAAAAAAUAAAUAUCAUAUAUGACUUUGUUUUUAACAAGAACCGUGGCCAGCCCCAAACACUAUUUUAGUACAAUAUUUUUAAAAUCUAGAAAAUAUCCAAAUAUCCCCACUCGAACAAGCCCAAAAAUAUAAUAGUUGUUGCGAAGGUAUGCUAUCUCUCUCCAAAUUUUCUGAGCGGUAUUGGCUAAACUUUACCGAGUUCCUAAUUUCUUUUAAGGAGAAGUUUGUAAUUCUAUUUUGUUUCAUGGAGGAAAGUAUGUUGAUGUAGGUAAAGAAAUAUUCUAUAAGAUUAGCAUGUCCUAUUUCGAUAAUUUUGGACCUUAAAAAAAUUGAUUAAAAUUUGCAUGAACAACGAAUGUAUUUUUGCACAUAUUAUUAUAAAUAAACUUGAAUAUAAACGGUUUUUUCCCGUUGCAACGCACAGGCAUUUGUGCUAGUUUUAAAAAUGAAAUAAGGAUAGUAACUGCAAGGCAAACUAUUGACAAGUCAAAAGAUUGUGACAAGAAGAGAAAUCGGAAAGGAAAAAAAAAAGCUUAGCCGUUUUUUUUUAUGGUAGCUUAGCCGUUUCGGAACAAACUAACUGUGCUAGUGUAGUCCCUGUUCGCAGGUUGAGGUGUUUUUCACAAGGGAUCGGGACACCUCGACAUUUUUCUUGGUGGAGAGUAAGAUAAAAUAACAUGGGUAAAAUUUACAUUGAAAUUCCUAGAGUAGAGUUGGGCUCUCAAUUUAAGGUUGUAAACUCUGUUAAUUUUAUAGAUUAGAAAGUCAAAUAAUGAAAUAGAAAAAGGCUCUCCCCUGUUGACCACAACUUUCUUUUCUCUCUCUCAAGGUGACUAGGGAAAUCUUUCAACUCCUAGAUCUUCGACGAUGAGCCCAUGGAUUCACCUUCUCUCUACCAGCCGCUCCAGCAGCCGAUGGUGGUGAGAAAAAUCCUAGUGCCUCGGCUCGGGCUAGUUGAUAUGUUAGUAUUUUAGUCCUUGCAGAGACGUCGCUCGGGCGGAUGGUCAUGCUUCUUUUUCGAGUCAAUCUUCUUGGCUUCGAUCCUCCUUAAGUUUGUCCAUCAAGACGGAUUAGACGAAGCUCUGAUGUAGAUUCCUGCAAGCUCCUCGGGGCUAUGAGAUUUGGAUUUCUUGUCGUCUGUGCGUGUUUGCAAAAGUUUGGUAUCAGGUUGCUCAGAUCGAUCCAAGUGUUCAAUAGCAACAACUGUGGCUCCGGGGUGCUGGCCCUUAGGGGCACGUGCCUGAAAACUCCUAGUUGACAUUAACAAGGUCAGGCAAACUCCGGUAUGGGAGCGAAGAAGCUAGCAGUGCGUCAACGGCUUGUUCUGGCAACCGCAGUUGUCGUUUGAAGGUCCAGAGACUUUGAUAUAAUUUUUAUUAUGUUUAGGGUACUUUGUAUUGGGUACAAUUUUAUAAUACCACAUGAGAAUAAUUUCCACAAAAAUAAUAAUGACGAUGAAUAGGCAAAAUCUUGUUGAGCAAAUAUGAUAGUAAUCCACAAACUCUACAUGAUUGACUAGUUUGUUUAACAUGGUACAGACAUAGACGCUUAUACAUACACACAUAUACUCAUCCCUAUAAAUGUACACAUGCAUACUCUACCUCUACGAGCAGAGACUGAGCCGGCACAUCAUUUUGAGAUUGAUGAAGUCGCAACAGAUACCUUCGUGAACGCACAUUGCCGGAAGGUCUGAAAUAAAUCGAGCAAAGUGUGAGUACCGAUGUCAAAUCUAAGACUUGAACCCUGAUAGACUAAUCAUCUCACAACAGGUUGGUUCGCAUGUUUGACUAGAUUAUAAAUGUAUGCCAGCAUAAAAGCACGAGUUCAUCAGGAAAAAAACAAAGGUAUCAUUUUACAGUUAAAAAAGAAAGCAUGAGUUAUGUUUGAUCAAAGCAUCAAGACCGUUAAAAAAGAAUCGAUCCGUAAAUGUUCUUCACCAGAAGCGCCGGCAAAAUGGACAAAAUUGACCUAUGGGCGAUACAAUUUCACAAAGUGAACUGUGAGUGAAAAAUUUCACCCAACUGACCCUUUUGUGUGGCGCCUGACAAGUAGGCGCUGCACUACACUGUGUAUCGCCUUACUGACAGGCACGAUACAUCUGGCCAGCGUGGCACCCCGGGCCCCACUCCUGAUAGUGCAACGCCUAGCUGAAAGGAGCUGCACAGUGUAGUGCAUCAUGCCAAGUUUGUAAAUUUUAAUAGAUUCUGUCAGUUAUAUUAUGUUGCACUUUUGCGACAGGGUUUUCAUCAACCAAAUUGAUCCUAAAAAAGAUGAAAAUGCCUCCAUUGCGUAGAACACGUAAAAAUGCACAACAUUCAUAUAAGGCACGUUUUCAUCGGAUGCAUGGAUUAAAAGUUGCAGCUCCUUUCAGUUAGGGGCUGCACUACACCGUGCAACUCCUUUCAGCUAGGCGCUGCACUACACUGUGCAGCUCCUUUCAGCUAGGUGCUGCACUAUCAGGAGUGGGGCCCGGGGUGCCACACUUGCCAGAUGUGUCGCGCCUGUCAGUAAGGCACUACACACUGUAGUGCAGCGCCUACUUGUCGGGCGCCACACAAAAGGGUCAGCUGGGUGAAAUUUUUUCACUCACAGUUCACUUUCUGAAAUUGUUUCGCCCAUAGGUCAAUUUUGUCCAUUUUGCUGAAAGCGCUCUACUGGAGGGACAGAAGCUGGUGGGCCGUACGGGCUGUCCCAAUACACCGUGCUAACACGCACAUUUUGGCUGGUUUCGCUGCUCCCCACACCACUCGCACGCCGGUUUCGGCUGAAAACCACCGUCACCCCGGCCACAGGUUACAUUCUCGCAGACGGGUUUGCAACCGAGGGUCCGUAUAAAUUCACAACCCUUCCCAAGCAUUCCAUCUCACCUCACCUCUCCGCACUCUCUCGUGCUCCCAGUAGAUUUCUUCUCUGGCUGAUGUUAUGUCGAUUAGAGCAUCUACAGUCGGACUUGAUAAAUCUGGCCCCUCAAACGUCCACGGAAACGAUCGGGCACACCUGCGGGAGCAUCCGGACGGGCCCUCAUAUUUUCUUUCGGGCAUCCACAUAUCUUAAAUCUGGACUCUCAAAUCCAUGCAAAUACAUGCACGUCGAUCAUGCAACACAAUGUCGCACGUAAAUAGCAAUUGUUGGUAUCAAGCAUAGAUAGCGUUUACAUAAAAUUUAUUUAAAGUGUCAAACUCAAGCAUUGCCUCCUUUGUUACCAUUGUGGAUCCACAUGUGCUCCACAAGAUUAUUGAGUAGCUGCGUGUGCACCUGCUAAUCUCGAAGAUUCUGAUGCAUCUGCAGAAAGUUCAAAAGCUGAGCCGCAUCUUGAUUUUUCGAGAUUUCAACUUGUUCUCCGGAUGCUUCGAAAUCAUGGGUUUGGGCUACACCAUGACCCUCAUCCCUGACAAUCAUAUUGCGCAGAAUAACACAACAUGUCAUCAACUGCCACAAAGUUUCUGAUUCCCAUAUCAUUGCAGCGCUCCGCACAAUUCCCCAACGAGCCUGAAGGACACCAAAUGCCCUCUCCACGUCCUUCCUAGCCGCUUCCUGCAUUGUUGCAAAGUGGCUCUGUUUAUUGCCACGCGGCUCGGAUAUGUUCUUCACAAACUCCACCCACUAAGGAUAGAUACCAUCGAUAAGAUAGUACCCCAUGUUGUAGUCUCAGCCGUUGACGGUGUAGUUGCACAGCGGUGAUUCCCCAUUGCAAAGCCUCCUAAACACUGGAGAUCGUUGAAGCACCUUGAUGUGUGAGAACCGGGCAUUCCAAAGAAAGCGUGUCAAAUCCAUAACUCAUGUGAUGCCACCGCUUCUAGUACGAUGGUGGCCUCUCUCGUGUGACCUUGAUACCUUUCCCGCAGACCUUUGGGGCAGUUCUUCCAUUGCCAAUGCAUGCAAUCAAUUGAUCCGAGCAUUUCUGGAAACCCCCUUGCCUCUCCAAUAGCCAAUAACUUAUCUGUCCUGCGUAUUUGGUUCUCUGAGAUACUCAGAUCCAAACACCUCCACCACACGCGCGGGCAAACUUGACAGUAGUCUUCAGACACGUUCUCUCUCCAUCUUGACCAUCUCACCAACUACGUCUGCAACAGUACCAAGUGCAAGCAUCCUCAGAUCAGUCGUGCACUUCUGCUUGGCCGAGAAAGAGAGUUGGCCGCCGCAAUCCCUUAUGAGCUUGAAGUAGUUGUCAUGUGCCUCCACUCCCUCCACAAUGCACAAAAACAAUGGUUUCGGCAUGCAAAAAGGGUGGCGAAACCAUGGAUCAUCCGGGAAAGCAGGUUUGGGAGCAAAAUAGUCAUUGUGUAGUAGCUUUGCUCCGGACACCCUGUCCCGGUUGAUCACUCUUCUCCCUUUGAUUAAGCCCUUGAAGCUGAGAAUAUGCUCCACUUACCGGUCAAUUUUCUCUUGCAUGCUCAUGAGCAUGAUCAUGUCCACUUCUCGUCUGAAUCCGACGAAUCGAAGAACUCAUCUUGAAUCAUUUGGUCAAGCUCCGUCGGUCCAUACUCCUCGUCCGACGAAGCAUCGGAAUCCAUCAUUUACCUAACCAAAUCACAAAAGUUUCGGUCGGACAAUGUGUCAAACACAUCAAGCGCAAGGCAGAGCCGGAGAGUUGCCGGACAUACCACGGUGGCGUAAUCGGGCCGGCGACGACGACCCCCGUGGCGAGGACGGGAUCAAUUUUCCGGAUCUGGCGAUGGAGAGCCUGGGAACGGCUGCGGGGCAGGCGUGGCGGCGGAGCGCGAGACGGAUGGCGCAGAGGAGGAAGAAGAGAGGAGAUGGCAAAUGAAUCCUGCUGGUCUUCGGGGUGGAUUUGGUGUAAUUUUGGGUAGGGUCGGGCUGUCGGGUCCGACGUGGUGGGCAUGCCUGGCGCGCCCGGGCGCCCCCAUAUCCGUCCCAUAUUUGGGCUGGAUAUGGAGGGUGCCGGUCAGCCCGGACGUUUGAGAGCCGUUUGGGCGGCCCGCCCGGGCGUAUAAGGUGGGUUUGAGAGGUCCGGCUUUAGAUUGUGAGGCCUUAAAAAAUAAGGAGCUUUGAGAAUAAUAUAAAAGAAUUGAAUGGGAAAGCUUAUAGAAUUUUUUUACCCGGUCAAAAUCGGUGACCAAAUCUUAAUUGAAGACUUCAAUUGAAUGUGGGCUCUUAAAAACUAGGGAACUUAGUGUUAUAGAGGAUGUGGCCAUGCUCUCCAUCUUUGUAUCUUUCCAGACAUCUUUAAUUAAUAACAACUACUACCUCCGUUCCUAAAUAUUUGUCUUUUUAUAUAUUUCAAAUGGACAUAUUUUAGAGUGUAGAUUCACUCAUUUUGCUUCGUAUGUAAUCACUUGUUAAAAUAUCUAAAAAGACAAAUAUUUAGAAACGGAAGGAGCAGGAGUAUUUUUUUCGUACAACUUUGGUUCAAGUGCAUUCACUCAUCUCUUUUUUUUUCUUGUCUGCGAUUACCACUUGACAUGCGUCAGAGCAUUGCAAAAGACCGAGAUAACACUAGACUACUAGUUCUGUCUCUCCUCUGUUCUUCCCGAAAUGCACGUGACUACGUGAGGAUCACGCCACCUUAUCUCACACUUUAAAUCUUUUGAUACAGUUUAUUGGAUGCCUGGAACAUUUAGCAGUUUUGAAACAAGCUUUCUGUACCAGUGGAUGUGUUUCUCGAGACCAGAGACACCUCGACAUAUUUCCUGGUCACGAGUUAAUAAUAUACUCCCUCCGUUCCUAAAUACUUGUCUUUCUAGGCAUUUCAAAUGAAUAUCACAUACUGAUGUAUGUAGACAUAUUUUAGAGUGUAGAUUCACUUAUUUUACUCCGUAUGUAGUCACUUGUUAAAAUACCUAGAAAGACAAGUAUUUAGAAACGGAGGGAGUACAUUCUUAUCGCAUCCCCGUGUAAGUGUGCAUGUGAGAUAUUCCAAAAUAUGAUAACAUGUGUACAAUAUACAAAAGUUCCUAGAGUUGGGCUGGAUUUACAUAAGAGCUUUACAACCGAAGCUCCCAUAUCCGUCCAAAACUUCUCAAAUGCUUAAUCAGAUCUGUCCGAGUAACUAUGGUAAUGUCUAAAGGCAAUUGAUAGUCAAACAUGUCACUAAAUUGUCAAGCUACCAUCGGACAGGCGAUCGGUGUGACACCCGUGCCGAAUCUUCAACAACAUCAUGAAGCUAUUGGGUGGCACCAACCUACGCAACGUAGCAUAGCAUGACCACACUAUUCGAAACACAAAAGGGAAUCACAAAACAACACAAGAAAAUGGUUUAUUUCUUUACCCGAUGGGAGAAAUGACACUUUCACCCGGCUCCAGAGGCUGCCUUCCCUCGCCGCCAUCAAGAUCCAGGCGAAUAGAGGCCGUGUGCAGCCAUGGCAGAUGUUGUUUCUCAGUUAUGUGUAGAGUCUACAUUGGUAGACAGGUUGGUCGCUGCCCUGUGUGUUAUCAUGUUCCAUGAUGGUGGCGUGUUGUUACGUUUCUUGCCCAGCUACUUAAAACCAAACAUUUGCUUCCUUUUUAAUUAAUCAAAAUGACAAAUCUUUUGCAUUGUUUUAAAAAAGAGACAACAAAUGUUUACUGGAGGGGGAUGGCAAGCAAAUUAUCUUUGCUGGCAGUUUUAGUUGUAAAACAAGAUCGAACGACGACGUUUUAAACGAAAAUUGUUUACAAAGGGAAAUUGCCAUGUCGUCUGAAUAAACUGUCAGCUCUCCUCCCUCGCUCUCAACUAAAUUUGCCGGACGAACAUUCGCAAAUGCCACCCUCCCUGGUGAAGGUUCGCCAGUUAUGGACGUUCAAAACAAAUGCAAAUCAAUCUAACUAUCAUGUACUCCGCGGAACGACGUCGGCCAAACAAACAAAUGUUUUGCACAUAACCACAGGCGGAAUGGGCCGGAUGGACGAUGCAGCUAGCCGAGCUUGUCAGGCCGACUUCCUUACUGUCUACUACAACAAGUUUUGUCCGGCUCUGGCGAGGGAGGGACGAUGACGGCGGCGCGCCUUCGCCUCGCUCCAGUGCUUAUAGUUCUCGCUAGAUGGUCCACAGAUCUGAAUGUACUUUUUAUUAUUUCUGAUGUUCGUUGCACUAUCAUGUUUAAAUAUAAAUAAAUCAGAAUUUUCUACAAAUAAAAAGAAGAGCUUGCCAGGCCGAAAACUAGGAGCGCCCACACAAAAAAACAUAUUUGAACCGGAACGGAGUGCACGCUGACAGACACUGACUCCACUCAAGCACGUGCUCCUACGUGUUAUCCUACGCAGAGCCAACCCCGAUGGAUCUAUCCAUGCCUCCUCUUAUCCACCUGUGCUCUGCCGCAGCGCCGGCCAUCCCGCCCGCCCGCCGGUACCGGCGCUCGUCUCAAAACCGCGGUCUCGCUUCCCACCGUAUCAAAUCGCCUUUCUCCCCGCCCGCCGGUUCUGCGGUUUCCUGCAACCUAUAAAUCCAGCCGGAGAACCGCACCUGUCUAUCCAUCUCAUCUCACUCACACACUACUACUACGGAUCUCAGCCAGGAGUACUCGAGUUCACUAGCUAGCUACUAGUUCACUUCCUUCGGCACCAAGCUCUCUCCGGCGAAGAUGUCCACGGUGACCCGCUCCUACCUCGACCAGAGGCUCGCCGCCGCCCAGCGCUGCUCCAAAGGUACUAACCAAAACGAUAUCAUGGCCCGCCGGUCCUCAAGGGCACAUUGCAGCUUUCUGUACUGUCUCUGCUGAAACUUGAUCAUAACUAAAAUGUCUCUGUUGAUCCGGAACUGCAGAGGCUGCCAUGGCGGGAGCCAAGGCCGCGGCCGUCGCCACCGUCGCUGCCGCAGUCCCCACCGUAAGUAGCCAUUCAGUUCUUAGGCGAAAUCCUUGCACGGUUCAUAGCAUGUCUCAUGAAUGCGUUGCCUGUACUGUAAUUUCAGCUGGCGAGCGUGAGGAUGCUGCCGUGGGCGAGGGCGCACCUCAACCCCACCGGGCAGGCGCUCAUCAUCUCCACCGUCGCCGGGAUGGCCUACUUCAUCGUCGCCGACAAGACCAUCCUCUCCAUGGCCAGGAAGCACUCGUACGAGACGGCGCCAGAGCACCUCAAGAACACAUCCUUCCACUAAUUAGACACUUGAUUAGCCAGUGCCAAUAAAGUGUGUACGCAGGCCCGUACGUGUCUUCUGAAACAUAUAGUAGUAUAAUGUUGAGCGAGGCGAUGGUUGCUGUGCGGAAAGGUGGUGUAUAACCCUUUUCUGCGAGCAAGCACUAAUUAUCUGAUGAUUUAUGAUGUAGUACUCCAUAAUAAUGUGGCCAUGUUCCCCAUCGUACUAGUAUCUUUCCAAAGGUCAUGAAUCAAUAACAACCAUAGUUUUGAUUUUGUACAACUCUGCUUCAAGUGCGCAAAAGACCGCCUACUCCUGCCCUGUUCUGUUCCGAAAUGCACGUGAGCAUCAUGCCGCUUCAAGCACACGUUAAGUCUUCUGCUAUGGUUUUGAAAGGAUGUUUUUGAAAAUAAAAAAUUAGCCAUUUUGGGACAAGCUUUCUAUACUACUACAUCCGUCCUGGUUUAUUGGUGCUCUUCGUAUUUUAUGCUAAAAUUUGAUUAUAGAUUUAACUGACAAAAUAUUAAUGCAUGUCAUAAAAAGUUAUAUUGUUACAUUCGUAUUUGAACAUAAUUUUCAAUGAUGCUAUUUUUUGUGACAUGGAUUAACAUUUUGUUACUUAAAUUUAUGGUCAAAAUUUGGCACAAAAUAUUAAGGAGACCGAUAAUCCAGGACUGACGUAGUAGUGGUGUACCCCGUGGGUUUGAGGUGUUUGUCCCCAGAGACCGGGACACAUCAACAUUUUUCUUGGUCGGGAGUCAGAUGAAAUGCAUUCAUAUCAUAUCCGCGUGUAAGUGUGCAUUGUCUAAAUACUUGAAAGAAAACCGACAUGUCUAGAAAACGCAUUGAAGUCCCUAGACUUGGGCUCAAUUUAAGGUUGUAAAACUAUGUGCAUUGAACUAGUUCAAUAAUAGCUUAUGACAAAAUGCUUGUCGGAGAAAUGGAUGUAUGUAGACGUAUUUUAGUCCAGAUGCAUCCGUUUUUAUCCAUUUCUCUGACAAGUAUUUCCAGAGGAUGGGAGUACGAAAUAGGCAAACUCUCCUGGAGCAAACAUUUUUUUUAUGAAACACAAUUGUGUUGCAUUUCAUUGAUGAUGAAGAGGAAACAUUACCAUUUACCAAGCCCUGACUGAGCACACAAACACACGACAUCACACACACCAGCACCCCGAGGGCCAGUUCUUUUGAUGGCUUCUAGAAUAAGCUGGAAUAAACUGCCCUACCCAGCUUAUUCUAGAAUCCUAGGCUUCUAAAAAAAUAAAUUCGGUUGGGCUUAUAGAAUAAGCUCGGUAGGGGUAGCUUAUUCUAGAAGACCAAAAAAACCCACCAAAAGAAGAACUUGCGAUAAGCUCGAUAGCAGCACACUUGCACACCAACAACACACAUGACACAACAUAACUGCACUAGAGGCAAAGCAACAUCAACUCGGCUGUCGGCUCCAACGAUCUCGAAUCAUCAACCAAACAAUGGAGUUUACCGAUCUCCCUCGUCAUCUAACCAAGCAAAGCAAGUGCCUUUAGCAUUGGCUGUUUGGUUGCCACCCAACAACACCCUUCGAAGAGAGGGGAUGUGUCGUACAGGAAUGAGAUGAUAAAUAUAUGUCAGCAGAGCAAACAUAAUAGUAGAAAAACUCUACAUGCUUUUACUAGUUUAUAACGCUAGCAUAAAAACACAAGUUCAAGUUAAACAAAAUAGAUAUGUUAUUUUUUUAAGUUGAAAACAAGAGAGUAUGAUUCAUAUUGAUUUAUGCGCCAAGAUUGUUGAAAAAGAAUGAGGUAAAUACUCUAGGAGUGGCCAAAAAAAUUGCGCUCGAUGGUCACUUUGGUACCUAAAAUUGCAAAAUACAUGUUUCUGGUGUUCUGACUCACCACAUCGUGCAAAUAUGGUGCUUUUCCGUAUAUGAUCACUGACCACAUAUAAGGACGGACGCUCCACAUAACACAAAGUCUUUGGGUUCGUUAAAUAAAACACCACCUAUUGGUGUAAUCCGUUGCAACUAACUCUAAUCCAUCAUUUGAUUAUGUUCACAUGAUUUCUAAUAGGCGAGUCCCGCUUGUAACUGCACACCCGGCAAAAAAACAUGUCACAUCAGCCGACUUGGGCUAACUAAAAUUUCUAAUAUCCUCCAAAAUAAUGGUCAACAUUAAUUCAAAAUUUGCUAGAUCUAUACUUGGUACAUAUAUGACACAUUGGAAUUCUUUUACUUCAGAUGUUGAAUUUUGAAAGAAAAAAAAACUGAUUGAGGCAAUAAACUGUCAUAUCUCCAAAACAUGUGCAAGUAAUCUAAUAUUUUUCUUAAAUCAAAUCAGUUUUAGAUACAUACACAAUUCGUUGAUUUUUUUUAUUUUUUAAUGUAAACACCAAAACUGCCUUGUCAGAAUAAGUUUUGCCCAGCUCCGGUAAGGGAGGGGCGAUGACGGCGGCCCGCCUUCGGCAUGCUUCAGUGCUUAUAGUGGUCACUAGGUGGUCUAUAGAUUUGUAUGUAAUUUUUAUUAUUUCUGAUGUUCAUUUUACUGUCAUGAUUGAGGAUGAAUAAAUUGAAAGUUUUCUCGAAAAAAGAAAACUAAAGCUGCUCGGUAGUUCUUAUUGGCCGGCCGAUGACAAUGACAAUAAUUUUUUUACCACGUACGCACUUACAAGCUAGAUCCAAUCCUUUGAAAUCAUGUCAGCGUACAAACAUUGAAUUGUUGCGCAAAAGAAAAUCAAACAAUGAGUUAGAGCUUGUUGCAACAUGUUACACCAAUAGAUGGUACUUAGACCCUAAUAAAAAGAAAAUAGAUGGUAUUUAAUGCAACGAACUUAAAAAUGGAGAGCAGGUCUCACACAGAGGACUAGUCCGGACGGGCAGCACAUGCCGCCGGUUUGGCCCGAAAACCGGGGACCGCCGCUCGCCGACGGAGGAUAACGAGCGAAACCGGUGGCACCUGCUCUGCUCUGUUCCGUUUUUUUUAUCCUAGACAAGGAACAAACGCCUGAUGUAGCAAAAUUAUCUAUCUAUUGUGAUCAGAUAAGCACUGUGGUGGCUAACUUUAGAUCGAUCGAGAUCUCCCUUUUCUUGCCAGCUUUUGUUUGGUGGGUAAAGAAAGAAAGAAAGACGAGGGAAGGAGCAACAAACAAACAUCAUCCAAUCCUGUGGACUCCCAUACCACAGUUUUGGAUAGCCGGAAAGCGUGCUCUGCCCACCAACCCAGUUCAACACUCAGGCGAGUGAGCAGAGCAGCGCACCCACGGUUUGCAAUCAAAAAUCAAAACCGUGCGUGGCCGCCACCUUUUUGCUCGCUACAAAUACAUGGCCGGCUCCUCGUCUGGAAGCAUCAAGCAACAACCAGCCAGCCAGCCCAUCUCAUCCCAUCUCACUCGAUCACCGCACUCUUUGUGCUGAGCCGUUUCUGCACAAGAGAUCAUGGCGAAGAUGUCGUCGACGGCCACCGUCACCCGCGCCCACCUCGAGAACAAGCUCGCCCUCGCCAAACGCUGCUCCAGAGGUACAUAGUAACCAGCAGGAUCCACUUAUUUAGAGUUCUGUUCGGCCAAGUUGUGUAACCAUAGUCUGACACUAGCAAUGCAUUUCUUUUUCUUAAUGUUUCCCAGAGGCGACGCUCGCCGGAGCAAAGGCGGCGGCCAUCGCCACCGUCGCGUCUGCGGUCCCAACGGUGAGCUCCUCCGUCCGGGAUUUGUUGAUUUUCAUGCACGUUGGUCUGGUUUUCAUGACUGAACUGUUUAUCGUGCAGCUGGCGAGCGUGAGGAUGCUGCCGUGGGCCAAGGCGCACCUGAACCCCACCGGCCAGGCCCUCGUCGUCUGCACCGUCGCCGGGAUGGCAUACUUCGUCGCGGCAGACAAGGCCAUCCUGUCGCUGGCGAGGAGGCACUCGUACGAGAGCGCCCCCGACCACCUCAAGGACACCUCCUUCGCUGGCGCCGCCGCCGCCGCUCGUCCCCGUCCGCCGGCAUUCUUCAGGCCUUGAUCUAGCGUCCUGCUAAUGUAUGAUACGCACGCUUGUGCCCUUGUGCGUAUUCUAGAGAACAUGUGCUUUACAUCCGUGUACUGAAUAAAACUGAGGGCUCGAUAUCCUGGUUUCCGAUAAGCGGUGUACGACAGACUUCAUAUCUCGACGAAGAAGAUGGGAUCACAGAGCUAGCCGUGAGGCCGUGACUAUCACAGCAGAGAAUCUAGGCGGCCCGACACGUUAAGAUCCUAAAAUGUCGGUCGUUUGUUUACAGUAGAGGUACAUAAACCUGCGUGGUAACUUGAAACAAAUGCAAACAACUAGCCCACGAACUUGAGAUCCGAGUUCAAUUUCGUCCAAAAUCACCCAGACGCCAACACGUUGAGCUCUUUUUUCGGCUGUCCAUUAAGUGAGGCAGAUUGCCGGCCAUGGAGAGAAAAAUUCGAAAUACUUUCGGAAAUACUAACGCCCACACGUGUGGGCGUUUGCAUCUUGCCCACACGCGUGGAUCAACGUCCGUUUGUGUUUGCACGAAUCUUGAGAUGUUUUGCCAGAUUUUUUUAUGCCACGUAGGGCGGGGCUGGCGUGUGGGCGUUGGAGAGUUCGCCCACACGCCAGCAGCACGCGGUUUGCCAGCUGCGCCGUGUGGACGGACUAGUUUCUGUCCACACAGCCACCACCUAGUCCAUGCGCGUGUGGGCAAACUGCUUUUCGCCCACACGACGCUCGUACGUUGUUGGAUGACAACUGCAGUUACACGUACGUGGCAACUAGGUAACACAGAUGGCAACUAUGAUUUGUUGCUAGACGGCAACUGCAGUUGCGCGUACGUGGCAACCAGAUAAACACACAUGGCAACUGUGAUUAACCAUACAUGCCAACUAUGGUUGGACCACACGUGGCAACUAGAUAAACACACAUGGCAACUAGUGUUUGACCAUAUAUGACAAGUAGUUAAUCACACACGGCAACUAUGGUUUGAUUACACGCGGCAACAACAUAAAUUAGACAUGGCAACUAUAGUUAACCUAAACAGAUAGGGUUGCCAUGCUUUUACAACUACAUUUGCCAUCCCGGAUAACUACAUCUGCCAUCCCGGAUGGCAACUAAAUCGUCAUCCCGUGGGUACCUAACGUAGCUGCGCUAGGACGUGUGGGCAUUUUUACUUCGUGCCACACGCGCGGGGAUGAGUAAUACUUGUUGGGCGUGUGGCACGAAGUAGCUGCGCCCACACGUGUGGGUAAUUAUAAUGUUCGCCCACACACAUCCCCUUGGACUGCCUCCUGCUCAUGCUACACACGGUGUGUAGGCAGAUAUCUAAUAUGCCACACGUAUGGGCGUUAUCUGCGUCCAAUACUUUACUAUGAAAGAUACUUCGCACAAUAAAUACCAAGUCAACAUAAUUAUUUUACUACCAAUAAACUCUGCUGGCGGGUGAGGUCGCCGCUAACGACGUCCACCGAUUCCCUCGCCUGAUGAUGACCUGAGCAGCUGGAAGACGGCCCGCUGCCGAAGGUUCUCGCGGAGGCGGUGCGCGGCGAGGGCACGGUCCGGGACGAAGUGGCAGAGGCACCACUGCAGCCGGUGGCCGAGGUUGGGCAUGCAGACCGGGCGGCGGUGCCCGAUCCAGCGAGCGGCCGCGCCGGCGUAAGCGUCCGACGUCGGCAUGAUCAGCCGCGACAGGAGGCCUCCCCGCGUCACCAUGUUGGUCACCAUCUUCGUGUCCACGUACAGCGGGGCCUGGCACUGCACGUCGAUUCCUUUGCCCCUGUACUCAACGCAGAGGCUGCGGGAGAACUGGGAAACGUACCGCUUGGUGGCGGCGUAGACGGAGUAGAGCGGGUAGGAGGGCAGCGCCUCCGCCGCGCCUGAGCCGAUGUUGACGACGGCGCCCCUCCCGCGCUCCACCAUGCCGGGAAGCACGGCCGCCGUCACCUCCGUCACGGCCCACAGGUUCACCCGUAUCAUUCUCACCCACGCCUCUGCGUCGGCCUCGUGCAGGUACGUCGCAUGCGGCGUCGCCACGCCGGCGUUGUUCACCAGCACGCCCACCUCCAGCCGCUCCACCGCCUGCCGGAGCCGCCCCAUCGCCUCCUCCCCUGCCAAAACACGGUCGAUCAGUACAGCACGUACCAGUACCACGUACGGUAGUUCCUUGAGGAGUGCUGCGUGCGUGGUGCUUUCUUUCACCUUGAGGCGUGGAGACGAGCGAGAAGUCGAACUGCACGGUCUUGGUCAGCACGCCGUGGGUGUCGGAGGCGGUUCCGGCGAUGUCCUGGAGCGCGCCGGGGUCGCGGCCGACAAGGACGAGGUUGAGGCCGCGCCGCGCGAGCUCGAGGGCCAUGGAGCGGCCGAUGCCGGACGUCGGGCCGGUGACGACGGCCCACGCCCCGUAGCGGCGGCGUAGGUCCUUGGGCCCGCGCAGGCAGAGCGCGAGGCCGGACGUGUGGAGGAGGCGGUACGCGACGGCUGCGACGUAGAGGGCGCCGAGGAUGGCGAGCGAGACGAACCAUGGCUCCUGCUGCCGGAGCAGAGCGAGAGCCUCGGCGCACAUCCUCCCCCACGCUCUCUCUCUCUCUCUCUCUCUCUCUCUCUCUCUCUCUCUCUCUCUCUCUCUCUCGCGUGCGCUGGCUCACCUGCGCGUGCUAAUGAAGUGUUGUACGGCCACCAACGCCAUACUUACUCCUACCAACAAACUACCUGGUGUUGUGGGUCUGCUUCACAUUGAUCAUCAGUCAACGAUUGAUUACAGGCCGGACCGGACGGAUAUUGAUGCCGCAAGACUCACCUCUUUUUACCUGAACUAGUUUAAUGCCCGUGCGUUGCCACGAAAAGUAAAAAAAAAUGUAGUGAUCAACAAGUAAUAUAAUUCUCUCGCAAAAAAAGUAAUAUAAUUCAGAAAUGUGAUGGCUAGUGGUUUUUAUUCAUAUAGCGAAAACCUUUUUCUCUCUCCGGCUCGUUUCUUCUCGGCAAUUCACGUGUCUCCGAAAGCACCCUUCCCUUGCACGCAGAUGAAGAGACAUUUUUCUUGUCGCCCCUCCACCAACAUUCUCGCUGCUUUGUUCGACCGAGCGGACAGGUGACAGAAAAAUCGAAUUUGGGAGGCGGCAUUGGUGGAUAGGAUGAGGAUUAGGAAGGAGAUGCAGUAGCCGAGAAGAGAAGAAAUAUUUCAGGCAUUGGAUGUAGGUUUAGGUUUAUUGCCCACCAUUGAAAUUUAGAAGAUGACAAAUCAGGAAUACUCCAGAAUUUCAAUUACCACCAUACCAAAUGUUACAGCACACUACUGAAUCCUGGCCCCUUUCUGAACUUUCACAAUCAAAAGUUCGAAUAAACACUUAGACAAAAAUUCACAUUUUUUCACACUCCGUGAUCUGUGGCCUGAGUAGUACUCCCUUCAUUCCCUUAUACAAGGCCACAAACUCAUAUUACAGGUACCAAGAUAAAAUUUAAUGACUCAUUUGCAAGUCAACUUUUCUUUUCGUUAACCGGGAUCAUUAAUGCACCACAAGCAUGCAACGAAUGAAUGGGAAGGAAGUGGUUGAGUGUCAUUAUGACUACAUGCAUGUAAGUAUUAAAAAGUUGCUAUUACGAGGAAAUAUCAUUAAUUUUUGCCUCGGUUACUGUUGGUGGCCUUGUAUUGAUGCAAAACGUAUUUUUGAUAGUGGCCUUGUAUAAGGCUGCUCCCAAUGGACCGGUGCUUAGAUGGGGUGCUAAGCAUAUUAAAUAGCUUAGCAACCAAACUCACCAAUGCAUAGAUGCUUAGCUUCUUGUAGCUAAGCUCCCUUCAUUUAAUGAUUUAGCUACUAAAUUCUCUCAUGCAUUGGUGAGUUUGCUUCAUUUAAAUGUUUUGCCUAGGUUCGCGCGCUUGGCAUUGGUUCUUCCUGGGGCCAUCAAACCCAUCUCUCUCCUCUUAAUUUCCUUGCCACAUCAGAUUUUUCGUCUACAUGGCAUGCUUAGCACCCGUACAAGGUGGAGCAUUGGGAGGGGCCUAAGGGAAUGGAGGAAGUAACAACAAUCCACAACCCAUGGCCAUGAAAACAGGUUUUAUGUAUUUAGAAUUCUAGACGCAGGUAGUAGAAUAAUCAUAUGUACGCUCUUAUAUUUAUUUACAAAGAGAGUAUUUCCUACCAGCUAGUAAAGCAUAUGCAAAUCCAAAUUCAGAACUAUACAUUUGCACUAACUCGCACUUCCAUACACAAACAAAUGCAAUCAGGUCGGCCUGAGAUGUCUUCUAUGGAAGAAGCACGAACAAGUAAAUUUUACAAUUGCAGAUCCUCUCCAAUUCCUCACUUUUGUUUACAAAAGAAAUUCAGAAUAUACAGAAACAAUCCAAGAAUUUGAGUCCAAAAUAAUUGGAUUGUCCAACAUCAUUGGGUAAGUUGCCAGCUUGUUGUUGAGAUAUUGACUUUCUCAAAAUGACGGAAUAAGCAGCGUAAUCUUUCAACUGAAGAAGGCCAAGGCUGAAACCAAUGUCUCUCCGAAAACCGACUUUUAGUUCUAUGAAAAAAACACAAUAAAAAAAGAAGAAAUGAUACAAAUUAUAUUUAGGUUUACAUGAAUUGUAAUAUAUUGUUUGAUUACAUAAAUCACAACUUAUAUUAUCUGAUUGUAUUUGAUCAAUUAUAUAGGAGUCACCCUAGUAUCCACUAAUUUUGUUGUCUUUACUUUCAGUUUUAAAGAUAAAUAUUAUAUGGGACAAAAAAAACCUAUUUCCUCUCAAAAUCUAUUAAAUGCAUCAGUUGUAAGUGUGAAAACCCCAUAUAAUUAAUGAGUGAUAAAACACAUGCAUUCCUGUGAAUAAAACAAAGCAGAAUUAAUUUACUACGGCCUAUGGAUUGGCCUACUCUAUUUUACUGGACAAUCAUAUAUCCUAUAUUAUUAUUUUUGCGGGAAUAAUAAAUCCAAUACGGUGUUAAACAGUGCCCAUACAGAAGUGUGUAAAACAAUUAGCUGAACAUGGAUCGCCGGUCUUAAUUUAGUAGGGUGUGCCUGAGUUUCUUCUCACGUUCAUAUGCAGGACAUAGGAGUCCAUGUUGCAUUGUUGCUACAUUUCCCAAAACAGAAGCAUGUGAAAGCUAGCUACAAACAUACUCUUGUUAGAAAAAAAGAUUAUGGUGCAAAAUAUUUAACACAUCAUUUGAUUUAGGAGGGUUCAUUUGACACAAAUCACACCAUUGUUCAGUUCCGUAGCAACAUCUAUGUGUUAGGCCUUCUCACAACAGCACUCUCGGCCACAAAAUGCUAAAACAUCCGUUGGGUCAGUGAAUCGAACAACUGGCGUGCGCCCGAGGAGACGAUGGGGAUGCCUGCAUCUACCUGCGAAGCUCGGGGAGAGGAUGGACGAGUGCCGCAGCUUAGGGAGGAUGGCAGGAGCAGCCGAGGGCGCUGGAAGUCAGGCGGCGUCGGGGAUGAGGACGCGCGCAGUCGGGACAGAGCUGCUGUCGUCGAGUACGUAGGCUGUGCGGAGAAGACGACGAAGGCAGCACGCCCUAUACGGCGGCCCGCGCCAUAUCGCGCAUGGGGCGGAGGCUAAGCGGCCAAGCGAGGUCCCUACAGCGGCGGUUAGGUGCCGGGGGCCGCCGCUCGCCGGAGUCGAGGGUGGCGGAGGUGAGAAUUGCCACCGGAACGGCAAAGCCCAGCGGAGCUCCUGUUCGUGCUACCCUGAGUUGCGGCGCCGCCGCCGGCGAGGAUGUGUAGCGCGUAGCCCGCGGCAUACUUGCAGCGGUCGGCCUCCAAGGAGAUGCAGGAGGGGGCCAGAGGAGACGGCGAGGAGAGACGGGAAAGGGGGCAGAGGAGACGAGGUCGUGGUGUUGGUAGCUACGGCGGCAGAAGGCACCCGAGGCAUUAGGGGCAGCCGUCGCCGGUAGCGGCCGGCGCGCAAGAUCGGAGUUCCAUUGCUGGCUAGAAGAGAGUAGCGGGGGAUGGAUCUGGAUGGGUCUGGAACCGAGAGACAGAGGGGUUUUUUGAAAAUAAUAUGGAGAGAGUGGCGGGGUCUUUUUGGAAAAGCGCCAGAGCUCGCAUCAGAUGCAUUAGAUGCAGAUCGGACGGUCGAGAUUGGUAGAUGGUAGGCGCACCAUCAUCACCGAUUGUGCUUUUUAUAGGAGUAGAUAUGUAUACAUCCAGUGAACGUCGGAUUUUUAGGCAUGACAAAUCAAACCUUUUUGAGGCAAAUUUUUUAGCCAUAAAAAACGUUCGAUUUGCCAUGUCUAAAAAUCUGAGCAUUUUUAAUUUCUUUCCAAACUAAAACCCCUGAUUGUAUUCCAAGAUUAGUGUUGGGGGACCACAAGAUAAUACUCCCCCUAUUUUUUAUUUAGUCCGCAUAUUAACUUUGAUUAGAGUCAAGCUUUGUAGACUUUGAUAAAGUUUAAAGACAAAAAUGUUUUUUUUGCGGCGACAAAAAUGUUAACAUAUAUAAUAACAAAUCAAUACUAUUACAUUCAUUAUUGAAUGUACUUUCACAUCAUAUAGAUUUGUUAGGGUAAAUGUUUAUAUUAUUUUCUCUAAGAUUAGUCAAAACUUUGCAAAGUUUGACUCCAGCCAAAUCUAAUAUGCAGACUAAAUAAAAACGGAGGAAGUGCAUUGGAAUACCACAGCUGGCAUCUAACAAAAAUUUCAAACAUGUGAAGAUAUACGUGUACGAAGACACACAAGCAGCACAAAUACAACCUGAAGCUUUCUGAAGCCACACAUGUCCACCAAAAGAUGCAAUAUGUCCAAAGAUCGACGCCACGUCUGACUGGAACCACACUCCGGUUACCACCAGAACGACGGCGGGGACAACCAUCAGAGAGCCUCUGUUUAAUCCAUUGAGUGUUACUCCGACACAGGGGAUGAUGGCCGUGCACAUGUGCCGAAUACCGCAAUAGCACCCGCCGACGCCAUAACAGAAGAAGAAGCACUUGUGACGGCGAGAGAGCAAACUUCUUGGACGAAAGGGACUCCAACUAGAGAGCCAAGCAACGCCAACGACGAGGCUGGUACGGAUGGGCUCUCCCAGGAACCGCACAGCGGGCCUCCAGGCUUGUUUGUGGUCGAGAUCGAUAGCAAGGACCGGCCACCUACCGGUACAUAUCCGGACAGAUGGUGUCGUGGAAUUGUCACGGCAGAUGUCCUCGAGUUAGGACUUAGUCGUGGGACAAGAAACACGAGGGUUUAUACUGGUUCGGCCCCUUACGGUGAAGGUAAAAGCCUACGUCCAGUUUGAGGUGGUAUUGAUUAGGGUUACGAUCACCAGGGAGCUAAACUGCUAUGCCCGGCUCUCGAUGAGAUUGUUCUUGCCCCUAAACCGCUGCCGGGUCGUCCCUUUAUAUAGGGAGGCUGACGCCCAGCAGCCCUUAGAGUCCCGGCCGGCUCAUAAGAGUGUCCGGCUCGGACUCUCAAUCAUACUUGCCUUACACUACAAGUUCUACCAUAAUAAUGAUUGUAACUAUGGGCCUUAAGCCGUAUCCGGGUCUUAGCCCAUCUCUGGCCCAUCGUCUUUAAGCUUGGCUCCGGGCUUCUGGCAACGACCAUACGAGUAACCCGGCCCCUCCUGGCGGGUGACUCUAAGAUCUAUAUCCUCAACAUUAGGCCCCAGAUUGAUUUGAGCCGGCUCAUAUCAAUCUUCAACUCUUCUGACAGAAAAAAUCUCCGGCUUACCAUUCAUGUGAAAGCCAUAACCCGGAGUGACGUCAUCCUCUGGACUCCGGAUAAUCCGCCGUGACGUCAUCCUCCAUUAAGUCCGUUUUUUACUCCGCCAGAUCCGCAACGGAUCUUUGCUUUUACUGUCAUUCCGAAAAUCGAGGCGUCGUGGGGGGAGAUAACCACGCCGUGGUCUCCUUGAAUCUCACGCUCCCUUCUUCCUCCUCGCGCCGCUGCCUUUCUCACUGAGCUCGCACUCCGCCGCCGUCGUCUCGCCUCCGGUCUUCGUCAACCUCGGCCGCUGCAUCACCCUGACUCGGACCAGAUAAACGGCGGCGACUCCCGCACCUCUUCAGCUCCGGUAAGUUCUCACCACCCCGUAGAGUAGAUCUGCCGUAGAGUUCAUCCACGUUCUUCGUGUUCGUCACCAUUGCCCGCAAGUUCGGUAGUUCUCCUAGUUACUGCUCCUGCUUGAUGUUAGUCCUGCAUAGAACUAGUGCGGUGGUUGUUUAAGAUCCAUUUCACACGCAAGUAGCCUUCCUUGAACUGCAUAAGAACUCUGUUUGAACCCAAGAACUCCCUCACUGCUGUUUCUAGGUCUAGAAAUUUUUUCUUUUGCCCGACCAUUUUAAUCCAAAAAAGUUACUGCAAUAUGUGAAACCUGUUUUACCACACUUAGUAAAAACUGCAACCAUUGAAUCUUGGCGGCUUACAAUUCCGGUUUAAAGAAACCACGCGACGUAGAAUCUUCCGGCUUAAAAGAAACCAUGCUUCGUAGAAUCCUCCGGCUUAAAUAACCCACUGUAUUUGAGUAUAUACCAUUAGUCCCCUUCAUAAGCCGCCACCGUAGUUUUGAACUGUAGAUCUCCGGCUUAUAAUUAACCCGGACAUUUUUCCUUUUUGUCAUAGACCACCAACUUUCACCAUGCCUCCCAAGGCUCCCAUCACUUGCAACUGGAUGAGGUCCAACGUCACCAACGAGACUCUAGCCAAUUUUGUUAAGUCCGGAUAUUUGCCUAAGAAGGAAAUCAUGUCCUACCGUGCCCCUGACCCGUCAGAAGAGAGACCACAGCCAAAGGACGGGGAGGUAGUGAUUUUCGCAGAUCAUAUGAGCCGGGGCUUCGCACCGCCCGGCUCAAAGUUUUUCAGGGACGUGCUCAACUUCUUCGACUUGCGGCCUCAAGAUAUAGGACCCAACUCCGUAUCCAACAUCUGCAAUUUUCAAGUCUUCUGCGAGGUUUACCUAGGAGAAGAACCAAGUCUGCUGCUCUUCAGAGAGCUUUUUUACUUAAACCGCCAGAAUGAGUGCGCCAACGGGCCAAGUCUGGAGCUAGGUGGCAUUUCCAUCCAGCGGCGUAGGGACUGUCUGUUCCCUUAUGCAGAGCCGCCGAGCCACCCCAAGGACUGGAACAUGACUUGGUUCUACUGCCAAGAUACGUCCCUGGCUGACGAAAGCCCGCUGCCCGGCUUUCGCCCAACACGUCUAGAGCCGACUCACCCACUGUCGGACAAGCUGACUCCAGCGGAGCGCCAGCCUCUGCUUCCUACUAUCAAUAAAAUCAAGGCCCUCCUGGGCAACGGUCUGAACGGAAUCGAUCUGGUCCGGGUCUGGAUCUCAUGGCGGGUGAUCCCAUUGAGCCGCCGCCCCGGCUUAAUAUGUGAGUACACCGGGCGAAAGGAUGACCCUCAGAGGCACAGUCGCAAUGAUCUUCCAGAAGACGUUGCAGAGGAGGAGACCAAGUUUCUUUUAAACGAGAGCCUGGCAGACUGCGGAAGGACCGGGUUAGCCCCCUUCUGCAAGACCAAUCCAGCCCCAGCGGUAAGCCGCUGACUUUAACUUUUAUCUUCGUCUGCAUAUAACCUUCAUCUGAACCGUUUUAAGAAUCCAUCAUUGUAUUUUUCAGGCUGAUGAUAAGUUCUGGCGGGUCAAAUAUGACCAUGAGGCGGCCAAGAAAGCCAGGAAGGCGAAGAAAGCCGCCAAGAAAGCCGCCCCUCGCAAAAAAGGAAGCAGGCCUACUGCUUCGGAGCUGAUGCAAUUAAGCGACAACUCCGAGUCAGAGGUAACUCCUGAGCAUUUAAAUCCUUACUAUAUUCACUGUUUGUUGCUGUCCGCCUUAUCAAUACUUGCUCAUUGACAGGAUGACACCGGCGCAAGUAACCCGGUGGUUGAAGAGGUAAUGUCACUUUCCUCCGACUCGGAGCCCUUGCCACAGCUGAAAGUCCGAAGGGUAACCCGGAAAGUAAGCUUUUCACAUCCUUUAGCUCACCAAGACCCUCAAUUUAUUUUGAAGCGACAGGUUCAUGAAAGCCGGCGUCACACCCGGACCAACAAGGACACCGAUCUUUCCGCCGGGUUACCCGACGCAACAAGGAAGCGUCGAACUGAGGUUUUUUCUCACUUGUACCGUUUUCAUCCGUUGGCGGGUGUUAUCCGUCAGCCACUCAAUUCUUCUGACUCCAAUUAUCAGGAGACCUCCCCUUCUUCGGGCGACUCUAUGCAGUCGAGUCUUCCGACGUUCAAGACCGCGCCCGGGUAAUGACAACCAUCUCACAUUAUACUUGUCUGUACUUACUCUCUUUGUGCUGAAUGUUUCUGUCCUUUCAGCGCCCAGGCAAAGCUCACCAAAAGAGCGAAGAAGACCAGGUCAGCCGGAGUGCCGGACUUACCUGAACCGGAGGUGACGGCUCAAGAGCCGCUAGCUGCCUCCGCCCCCGAAGCCACCACUCUAAUGGACACGGCACCUGAAGCCACUGCCCCAACUACUAAGGCAACGACCAAAGCUUCGGUUAACCCGGAGGCCUCCGGCUCAGCUCCGCCAGCAGACGAACCGGACGUGGUAAUCACCCGGACGGAGUUCGUUGAGCCGGGGAGACCGACCGUGCUGGCCAAAUGCUCCGCGAAGGGGGAGUUGCUGCAGCCCCACCGGGUGAACCUGGACCUCUCCGACUACACCAACUUGAGCAUUGGAGAGCUCGUCUCUGGCUACAUCAGCCAGGUGCACAAGAGCCGGGACGCCGAGGUCGCCAUGGUCAACCAGAUCCAGCAAAAAUCUGAGGUAUCCUUCUGCUGUCCUCUUACUUACUGCAUAGUUACCUUUGCCAUGCUAGCCCCCAAGUCGACGACUUAUGAUUGAAUAUGUUGUAGACUUAGGUUCCGGCUUACUCCAGUGAGCGGGCAGUAUGUAGAAAGAUACGUUCAAUAUGCAUUAGCCCCCAAGUGCCAAGUGUCUUUGCUUGGAAAGUGCUUGGGACUUAUAUAAUAACUGCUCAUGUCAUAACCCGGAAAUUUAUACAGGCUGUUGGUAAGAAGCUAGAGGCGGACCUUGUGGAUCUCAAGAGCCGGCUGAAGAUGCAGGAGAUGGAGACCCGGAAGGCAAACGCCAAGUUUGUAUCCAGCAUCGCCAGUCAAGAAAAGUUGAAGACCGAGUUUGAUGCUGAGAGAAAAGCCUGGGCCGAAGAGAAGGCCGCACUGGUGACCCGGGCGGAACAGGCGGAGAAGGCUCUCUCUGAGAAGACCGUCGAGCUUUCCGGCCUAAAGCACCAGGUUUCCCAAAUGGUGGCCGCCAUCUUCGGUAAGUCGCCUCACCGGCUUUCACCAAUGUCAGAAUGUUUAUAUCUCAUGAUUCAUCGUUGUCGCCGGCUUACUUGAUUCUGUUAAACAGGUCCCAGAAGUGCCAACCUCAACCAGAGCGUGGUCACCAAGCUAAAGGCCGUGUAUACCCUGGUGGAGCAGCUCUACACCGGGUCACAGCGUGCCUUAGCUGUGGUGGCCCUAUCCAACGAGGUGCCAACUCAUCUGGACGAAGUCCUGCGCCGGCUCGCUGUUCUGCCUCAGCGGAUCCAAGAGCUGCGACGGGCCUCCGCGAGAGCUGGAGCAUUCGCCGCGCUGAGCCGGGCCAAGGCAUUCCUGCCGGAGCUAGACCCGGCAGACAUCGCCCUGGGUUAUCCAAGCCUGAAGGAAGACGGCUCAGCUUUCGAUCAGAAGGACUUCGCGGCGUGCGUGAAGGCUGUACGCCCGGUGGCCACCCUCAUCGAGAAUGACACAGAUCUGACCAAGUACCAGCCGGGUUAUGACGCGGAGAAUCAGAGGAUUCCAACUCCUCGCUAUGAAGCCCUCAACCUGAUCCCGCCGUCUCGUCAGCACACCUUCGCCCCGGAGAUUGACCCGGCCGGGUUAAUUGACGAGGAAGCCCAGUUCGAGGCUCUCAGCGGCAAAGACUGGAAGUCAUCAACCUUCCAAGUCUUGGGAUCAGCCGGAGGAGAGGACAGGAACGAGCCGGAGACUUCCGCUCAGCGGGCAUCGUAACUCGGCUGUCGGUUUACCAAACAAUGCUCCACCCUUGUUAGAUUUGAUGAGUUUUGUAAUAAAGUAGGUGGAACAGUCUAUCUCUGUCGUGCCAUCGUGCACGUAUUGAAUGCCAAGGUCUUUUGAAGUUGUCUCUUUAAUGUUUCUCCGGGUCAUAAUCAUCCCCUUGUUUUUCUCAACCUCAAAGAGGUACCUUUAAGUAUCCUGCAUAGAAAGGCAAAUCACAAGUCUCAAGACGGCUUACCGCCCUGAGAAUCAGGUGUCUUGGAUAGAUAACCCGGAAUAUGAAUCAAAAGAGACUGGUCCUCAAUUAUCUCCUUAACACAACCGUAAUAACACACUUAGCGGCCUGUAAGCAUACUUCCGGUUUAAGUAACCCGGGAACAAGGUUGGUAUCUUAACUCCGAUUUACCUGUCGUAAUGACACCCAUGGCGGUCAACUAACAUGGUAAACCAAAGUUAAGCUGGCAAAGUGAGACCCGGCCGUACACACCUUGACAUAAUCAGAGUUAACUUGUGAUAGAACAUAAGAACUUAGGAGCUUCCGGUUCGAAUACGACCAGAGACCCGGCCGAAAGGGGUUAAGCUAAGAUUCGGAUACGAUCACAUAGCCCCCAGUGGGUGUGGCGAUGCCAAUCAAGAGGGUACCGACAGCUAUGUUCUCUUUGGUUCGAAUACGACCCAUGUUUGAACAGGAAGCCCCCAAGUGAUUUCAAGAAUUGUUUAACGACGCUGAUUCGAAUACGAUCCACGUCGGUUCUCAGAGGGGUUAAACUAUGAUUCAAAUAUGAUCAAAGGUAACUUCCCAAUGAGCUCGGCACUUUGCCAAUCAAAUGGGUAUCGACAGCUAUGUUCUCUUUGGUUCGAAUACGACCCAUGUUUGAACAGGAAGCCCCCAAGUGACUUUACUGCUUACGGCUAAAUUCGAAUACGAUCAUAAGCCAGAUCCUCCUUGAAAUCAUCAUGUAAUCUUGCAAGAAGAACAACACGUGUAUAUUUGGAGGAGAAAAAAGGACAGAGGUCCUGCUUUAUUGCUUACCAUAAUAUAUACAUGGCUGAGAGAAGUAUGCACACCACGAGAGCCGGUGGCUCAAGUGUAGUAAGGCCGAAGCUGAGCUAUGUUCCACGGCCGACGGGUCUCCUCCUCCGAUUUACGUGAAUCUUUGUGCUCCCGAAUGUCAAUGAGGUAAUAUGACCCGUUGUGCAAGUUCUUGCUGACCACAAAGGGCCCUUCCCAAGGCGGGGAUAACUUGUGCGCAUCUGUUUGAUCCUGGAUGAGCCGGAGCACAAGGUCGCCUUCCUGGAAGACCCGGGAUUUGACCCGGCGGCUAUGAUAACGGCGCAGGUCUUGUUGGUAAAUUGCUGAACGGGCUGCUGCCACAUCACGCUGUUCGUCCAACAAGUCAAGAGCAUCUUGGCGCGCCUGUUCAUUAUCCGUCUCAACAUAAGCCGCUACGCGAGGUGAGUCAUGACGGAUGUCACUGGGGAGGACUGCUUCUGCUCCAUAAACCAUGAAGAAAGGCGUGAAGCCUGUGGACCUGUUAGGAGUAGUGUUGAUGCUCCAUAAGACGGAGGGCAACUCCUCCACCCAACAACCCGGCGUCCGUUGCAAAGGGACCAAAAGCCGGGGCUUGAUGCCCUUCAGAAUCUCCUGGUUAGCUCUCUCAGCUUGACUAUUGGAUUGAGGAUGAGCCACUGAGGAGACAUCAAGUCGGAUAUGCUCUCGUUGACAAAACUCUUCCAUGGCGCCUUUGGAGAGAUUAGUGCCAUUGUCAGUUAUAAUGCUGUGCGGAAAGCCAAAGCGGAAAAUCACGUUUUUCAGAAAUUGAACCGCCGUGGCUGCAUCGCACUUGCUAACUGGCUCAGCUUCCACCCACUUUGUGAACUUAUCAACUGCCACCAAGAGGUGGGUCUUCUUAUCCUUGGACCUUUUAAAAGGCCCAACCAUGUCAAGCCCCCAGACCGCAAAGGGCCAAGUGAUUGGGAUCAUCCUCAGCUCCUGAGCCGGCACAUGAGCCCGUCGUGAGAACCUCUGGCAACCAUCACAUUUACUGACCAAGUCCUCUGCAUCAGCAUGAGCUGUCAACCAAUAAAAACCAUGACGAAAAGCCUUGGCCACAAGGGACUUUGAGCCGGCGUGAUGGCCACAAUCCCCUUCAUGGAUCUCACGCAAGAUCUCUUGACCUUCCUCAGGGGAGAUGCAACGCUGAAAUCCUCCUGUAACACUGCGAUGAUGCAACUCGCCAUCAAUAACAAUCAUUGACUUGGCCCGCCGGGUUAUUUGCCUGGCCAAAGUUUCAUCCUCAGGCAACUCGCCCCGGGUCAUGUAAGCCAGAUAUGGCAUUGUCCAGUCUGGUAUGAUAUGGAGAGCCGCCACCAGUCGUGCCUCCGGGUCAAGGACAGCCAAGUCUUCCUCCGUAGGCAACUUAACCGAAGGGCUAUACAGGAUAUCCAGGAAAGUGUUAGGCGGCACCGGCUUUCGCUGAGAGCCUAGCCGGCUUAGGGCAUCAGCCGCCUCGUUCUUCCUGCGAUCAAUGUGUUCUACUUGGUAGCCCUGAAAGUGCCCAGCAAUGGCAUCAACUUCGCGGCGAUAAGCCGCCAUUAGAGGGUCCUUAGAAUCCCACUUGCCUGAUACUUGUUGAGCCACCAAGUCUGAGUCACCGAAGCAUCUUACCCGGCUCAAGCUCAUUUCCUUAGCCAUCCGAAGACCAUGGAGCAAGGCCUCAUACUCGGCCGCAUUGUUCGUGCAAGGAAACAUCAACUGCAGCACAUAAUGGAACUUGUCACCUUUAGGGGAAGCCAAUACAACGCCAGCCCCCGAGCCCUCUAACUGCCUGGACCCAUCGAAGUGAAUAGUCCAAUAUGUGUUAUCCGGCUUUUGCUCAGGCACUUGUGACUCUGUCCAAUCAUUGAUGAAAUCCACCAAGGCCUGAGAUUUAACAGCAGUGCGUGGCACAUAUUUGAGACCAUGAGGUCCAAGUUCUAUAGCCCACUUAGCAAUUCUCCCUGUGGCCUCUCUGUUUUGGAUGAUGUCACCAAGGGGGGCAGAGCUGACCACAGUGAUGGGAUGACCCUGAAAAUAAUGCUUAAGUUUCCGGCUCGCCAUGAACACACCAUACACAAGCUUCUACCAAUGCGGGUACCGCUGCUUGGACUCAAUGAGCACCUCGCUGACGUAAUAAACCGGCCGCUGAACCAGAUGUUCCUUACCCGCCUCCUUGCGCUCUACCACAAUAGCCACACUGACGGCUCGUGCGUUUGCCGCCACAUAUAGUAGCAAGGGCUCCUUAUCAACCGGAGCAGCAAGGACUGGGGGCUCUGCCAGCUGCUUCUUCAAAUCCUCAAAGGUGGUAUUAGCUGCAUCAUUCCAGACAAAGUUAUCAGUUUUCUUCAUCAACUGAUAUAAGGGCAUGGCCUUCUCACCCAAACGGCUUAUAAACCGGCUUAAAGCAGCGAUGCGACCCGCCAAGCGCUGAACGUCAUUUAUACACGCCGGCUUAGCCAGGGAGUAGAUGGCCUUGAUCUUCUCCGGGUUAGCCUCAAUGCCUCUGUCAGAAACCAAGAAGCCCAACAGUUUGCCUGCAGGGACACCAAAGACACACUUGGCCGGGUUAAGCAUCAUCUUAUAGACCCGGAGAUUAUCAAAGGUUUCCCUUAAAUCAUCUAUCAGGGUUUCCUCUUUGAUGGACUUAACCACAAUGUCGUCCACGUAAGCGUGAACAUUGCGCCCGAUCUGUUUAUGAAGACAGUUCUGUACACAACGCUGGUAAGUCGCCUGUGCACACUUGAGUCCAAAGGGCAUAGACACAUAGCAGAAGGCUCCAAAGGGAGUGAUGAACGCCGUCUUCUCCUGGUCCUUAACUGCCAUCUUAAUCUGAUGAUAUCCGGAAUAAGCAUCCAAGAAACUUAAGCGUGCACAACCUGCCGUAGCAUCAAUGAUUUGAUCAAUACGGGGAAGGGCAAAAGGAUCAGCCGGACACGCCUUGUUCAAGUCCGUGUAGUCCACACACAUCCGCCAGGUGCCGUUCUUCUUGAGUACGAGCACCGGGUUAGCCAACCACUCUGGGUGAAAGACUUCAACGAUAAACCCGGCCGCCAAGAGCCGGGCCACUUCUUCACCAAUAGCUUUCCGCCUCUCUUCAUUAAACCGCCGAAGGAACUGUCUGACCGGCUUAAAUUUCGGAUCAACAUUGAGAGUAUGCUCAGCGAGUUCUCUAGGUACACCUAGCAUGUCAGAGGGUUUCCAUGCGAAGAUGUCCCUAUUCUCACGGAUGAACUCGAUGAGUGCGCUUUCCUAUUUUGGAUCCAGAUUGGCACUGAUGCUAAACUGCUGAGAUGAAUCUCCUGGAACAAAAUCAACAAGCUUAGUUUCAUCAGCCGACUUAAAUUUCAUCGCCGGCUCAUUCUCCGUAGUCGGCUUUUUCAGAGAGGUCAUAUCUGUUGGGUCAACAUUGUCCUUAUAAAACUUCAACUCCUCUGUAGCACAAACAGAUUCUGCAUAAGCCGCAUCGCCUUCCUCACACUCCAGAGCCACUUUCCGGCUGCCGUGAACCGUAAUAGUCCCAUUUUGACCCGGCAUCUUGAGCUGUAAGUACACAUAACACGGCCGCGCCAUGAACUUGGCGUAAGCCGGCCGUCCAAAUAUAGUAUGGUAUGUACUUCUUAUCUUGACCACCUCAAAGGUCAAUUUCUCCACCCUGUAGUUGCUCUCAUCACCGAAAGCCACUUCCAAUUCGAUCUUGCCGACUGGAUAAGCCGACUUACCAGGUACCACACCAUGGAAGAUAGUGUUUGACUGGCUGAGGUUCUUAUCAACAAACCCCAUACGGCGAAAAGUCUCAUAAUAGAGGAUGUUGAUGCUGCUGCCUCCAUCCAUGAGCACCUUUGUGAACUUAUAUCCUCCCACUUGGGGAGCCACCACUAAGGCCAAGUGGCCCGGGUUAUCCACCCGGGGAGGGUGAUCCUCCCUACUCCACACUAUAGGCUGCUCAGACCACCGCAAGUAGCGUGGGACCGCCGGCUCAACAGCAUUUACAGCCCUCUUGUGAAGCUUUUGAUCUCGCUUGCACAAACUAGUGGUAAACACAUGAUACUGUCCACCGCUAAGCUGCUUUGGAUUGGUCUGAUAACCCCCCUGCUGCUGUUGAUGACCCUGUCCAGACUGUUGAUUAAAACCCCCUUGACCGUUCUGAGGACCGGAAUUUGAGCCGCCCCCCGGGCCAUGAAAGCCACCGGCGCCCCGCCGCCUGAGCCGCCGCCCGGGCCAUUGUAGUUUUUAAAGGCCUUCAUGAUUGCACAAUCCUUCCAUAGAUGAGUCGCUGGCUUCUCUCUAGAGCCGUGCCUCGGACAAGGCUCAUUCAACAGCUGCUCCAGUGAUGGUCCUGACCCGCCGCCUCGGGGAGGGGGCCUCCCCUUGCGUCGCUGGUUCUGGUUAUUGCCUUGUGCGCUGGCAUUGGCCACAAACUCUAGGCUGCCAUCUGCCUUGCGCUUGCCUCCUCCUUGGUUCCCCGGGUUAAACUGAGGGCCCUUGCCAUUGCCGUUCUUCUUUCCCUUCCCUGUCCUUUCAUCAUCUGAAGGGGGAUCCUUGGUACCAUCAGAAUCGGCGUACUUGACAAGAGCUGCCAUUAGUGUACCCAUAUCACUGCAGUCGCGCUUAAGCCGCCCGAGUUUCAUCUUCAGGGGCACAAAACGACAAUUCUGCUCCAGCAUUAAAACUGCUGAGCCGGCAUCCAUCUUGUCUGACGAGUGUAUGAUCUCCUUAACCCGGCGAACCCAAUGUGUCGUGGACUCACCCUCCUGCUGCUUACAGUUAGUCAAAUCCACAAUUGACAUAGACUGCCUACAGGUAUCUUUGAAGUUUUGGAUGAACCGGGCCUUCAGCUCAGCCCAAGACCCAAUGGAAUUCGGUGGUAGCCCUUUCAACCAAGUGCGGGCAGUCCCAUCUAACAUCAUGGUGAAAUAUUUGGCCAUGGCCGCCUCACUGACCUCCAGCAGCUCCAUAGCCAUCUCAUAACUCUCAAUCCAGUGAACGUCGGAUUUUUAGGCAUGACAAAUCAAACCUUUUUGAGGCAAAUUUUUUAGCCAUAAAAAACGUUCGAUUUGCCAUGUCUAAAAAUCUGAGCAUUUUUAAUUUCUUUCCAAACUAAAACCCCUGAUUGUAUUCCAAGAUUAGUGUUGGGGGACCACAAGAUAAUACUCCCCCUAUUUUUUAUUUAGUCCGCAUAUUAACUUUGGUUAGAGUUAAGCUUUGUAGACUUUGAUAAAGUUUAAAGAGCAAAAUGUUUUUUUUGCGGUGACAAAAAUGUUAACAUAUAUAAUAACAAAUCAAUACUAUUACAUUCAUUAUUGAAUGUACUUUCACAUCAUAUAGAUUUGUUAGGGUAAAUGUUUAUAUUAUUUUCUCUAAGAUUAGUCAAAACUUUGCAAAGUUUGACUCCAGCCAAAUCUAAUAUGCAGACUAAAUAAAAACGGAGGAAGUGCAUCGGAAUACCACAGCUGGCAUCUAACAAAAAUUUCAAACAUGUGAAGAUAUACGUGUACGAAGACACACAAGCAGCACAAAUACAACCUGAAGCUUUCUGAAGCCACACAUGUCCACCAAAAGCUGCAAUAUGUCCAAAGAUCGACGCCACGUCUGACUGGAACCACACUCCGGUUACCACCAGAACGACGGCGGGGACAACCAUCAGAGAGCCUCUGUUUAAUCCAUUGAGUGUUACUCCGACACAGGGGAUGAUGGCCGUGCACAUGUGCCGAAUACCGCAAUAGCACCCGCCGACGCCAUAACAGAAGAAGAAGCACUUGUGACGGCGAGAGAGCAAACUUCUUGGACGACAAAGGGACUCCAACUAGAGAGCCAAGCAACGCCAACGACGAGGCUGGUACGGAUGGGCUCUCCCAGGAACCGCACAGCGGGCCUCCGGGCUUGUUUGUGGUCGAGAUCGAUAGCAAGGACCGGCCACCUACCGGUACAUAUCCGGACAGAUGGUGUCGUGGAAUUGUCACGGCAGAUGUCCUCGAGUUAGGACUUAGUCGUGGGACAAGAAACACGAGGGUUUAUACUGGUUCGGCCCCUUACGGUGAAGGUAAAAGCCUACGUCCAGUUUGAGGUGGUAUUGAUUAGGGUUACGAUCACCAGGGAGCUAAACUGCUAUGCCCGGCUCUCGAUGAGAUUGUUCUUGCCCCUAAACCGCUGCCGGGUCGUCCCUUUAUAUAGGGAGGCUGACGCCCAGCAGCCCUUAGAGUCCCGGCCGGCUCAUAAGAGUGUCCGGCUCGGACUCUCAAUCAUACUUGCCUUACACUACAAGUUCUACCAUAAUAAUGAUUGUAACUAUGGGCCUUAAGCCGUAUCCGGGUCUUAGCCCAUCUCUGGCCCAUCGUCUUCAAGCUUGGCUCCGGGCUUCUGGCAACGACCAUACGAGUAACCCGGCCCCUCCUGGCGGGUGACUCUAAGGUCUAUAUCCUCAACAGAUGGGAUAUAUUUUGGGACAAAAUCACUGUUUUGACCUCGUGAGCAAUCUUUGUCGCAAACUGAACUCGACAUAAAAGUAUUUCACGAUCUGACCCUUUUAGCAAUGUCACAACCCACGGCGUUGCGGCCCAACACAGAAACGCCAAGCAAGGUCGCGUUUAUGCUCCACAUAGAAACGCCGAGCUAGCUCGCGUUGCUGCCCAGGACAAGCUGGCAUCGCUCGCUGACGUGGCAUGCUGGAAACGCCAGGACCGAUGGCGUUUCUAACUUGUGUACAAACGCCAGAGUGCAUGGCGUUUUUGGCUUUGAUACAGCGGCGGCAGAGGCCUAUGUCGGGCGAUGGAAAACAGUCCCACGCUGCAAAUACCCAAUUGCUUAAUCGUGCAGCUGCACGAUUCGGCGCGCGCGAGCGCACGCCGCUCGACCGUGCGAUUCGACAGAUCUGGACCGCGUGUUGGUAACGGUUCAGACCAGGAGGUAGUGGUGGGCCCCGCCCCAUUAAUUCAGGCGAAACCGCUGUUCGCACGCCCUCCCCUUCCCCUUUUCAUUCGAAAUCCUCCAUCCCCUUCCCUCCAUUUUCGAAACGGCCUUCACCUCUUUCUCCGAAAACAACGACGUGCGCGGGACUGCGGUCGUGGAUUCGCCGGGGAUUCACCGGCGUGGGAGGCCGUUCGCCGGCGUGGGGCGGCUGUGGCGACAGGCGGAGGUAAUUCUGCAUCUCGCUCUUGGUGGUUUUCCCCCUAGAGAUUGGCUUGGUGAGGGUGAGGGCUAGGGUUUGGGUGAGGUGUCGCCCAGGUGUCGGGGGCGAGCACGGAGGGCGAGGAGGGCGAGCACGGACGGCGAGGAGGGCGAGCACGGGUUGUCCAUGGUGUCCGCAAGCUUGGAGGGGGAGCGGGGCCGUGGGCGUCGUGGAGGGGGAGCAGGGGUCGACACGGUGGGGGUUGAGAUCCCGUCGAGUUUCUCGCUGGGGAGUUUCGGCUUCUGUUCUGAGCGUGUGGAUCCAUGAGGCGAUUCCUGUUUUUUUUGUCAGAUAGUUGCCCUGUUUUUGUGAAGCAUGUGUUGAUUUUUGUCUCAGCCAUCGGCGCUGUUGGUGCCUGGAUCUAAUGUGGGGCAUUGUGCAGCCAGGUGAUAGUAGUUGCUCACUUUUUCUCACAAUUAGUUGCUAUGAAAUUGCGCAGCGGUUGCUNNNNNNNNNNNNNNNNNNNNNNNNNNNNNNNNNNNNNNNNNNNNNNNNNNNNNNNNNNNNNNNNNNNNNNNNNNNNNNNNNNNNNNNNNNNNNNNNNNNNNNNNNNNNNNNNNNNNNNNNNNNNNNNNNNNNNNNNNNNNNNNNNNNNNNNNNNNNNNNNNNNNNNNNNNNNNNNNNNNNNNNNNNNNNNNNNNNNNNNNNNNNNNNNNNNNNNNNNNNNNNNNNNNNNNNNNNNNNNNNNNNNNNNNNNNNNNNNNNNNNNNNNNNNNNNNNNNNNNNNNNNNNNNNNNNNNNNNNNNNNNNNNNNNNNNNNNNNNNNNNNNNNNNNNNNNNNNNNNNNNNNNNNNNNNNNNNNNNNNNNNNNNNGAUAUGGUGAGGGAGGUUUGGGGUUGAGAUCCCGUCGAGUUCCCAGCAAGGGGGGGGGGGAUUUUCGGGGUGCUGUUUUUGAGCGUGUGGAUCCAUGGGAGGAUCCCUAUUGUUUUAAGGAUAGUUGCCCUGUUUUUGCGAAGCAGUUUUUUGGCUUUUGUCUCAGCCAUCAGCGCUAUUGGUGCCUGGAUCUAAUGUGGGGCAUUUGUGUAGCCAGGUCAUAGUAGUUGCUCAUUUUUUUUCUCACACAUCGCUAUGAAAUUGCGCAGCAGUUGCUGUAUUUUCCUGUGCUCACACAACCAUUGCGGUGCUGUUUUUGUUGUUGUGAGUGCCUGGAUCUAACCUAAUGGGGCACUGUGUAGCGAGCCAACAGUAGUUCUUUUCCUAUGCUUACACAACCAUUUGGGUUUGUUUGGAUCAGCCGGGUAGUUUGUGUAUGUAUAUGACAGUAGUAUUGCUUAAUUUUAGUACUAAUUUUUCCUAAUUUUUUUGCAAAGAAAUAUAUCAUUAGUUGCUAAUUUUGGGUAUUUAGUUAUUUUUAUUGUCCUUUUAUUUUGUUUUGUUGCUACAAGUUGCCCACCCAACAUCCUGCAGUUGCCUAGAUUCAACAACUAGUUUGCCCGUAUAGUGGACGAGAUGUCAUUAGGAAUAAUAGGCAUUCUUUCUCUUUUUUCGCAGUAGUCGUGGUGAAUCAAGUUAGGAGAUGUUAAAACAGAAGCUCAUUAUUAAGCAUUUCCUUUUAUCGCAGUACUAUCUGCAAGUAUAAUUGUGCUCAUAGGUCUUUUUUGUGUUUUUCCCCAGGAAAAUGACAUUUUUUUGCUGUUGCAUACUUUGUUUUACAGAAUGGCCCGAGAAAGCAAGAGGAUUGCAGGUAGGACUGAUGGCGAAGGUGGAAAUGCGGGAAACGAGGAGCUGGUCCAAACGGCAAGCAAUGUCCGAUGCAAGCGCGGGCGAACGAACGAUAAUCCUGUCCCUGCUGGACGGGCUGGGAACCGGGCCACCGACUCCGCUCCUCGUGAUGAAGAAGGGAGGCAGCCAAAACGUGUGAAGAAAAGCAGAGACGAGGUUUUUUUUCUCUAAGAAACUUGAACUCUGUAGCGGGAUGUUUCUGUUGUAGUUUAUCUAAAGGCAGGGACAUUAGGUAACCAGAAUAUAGUAGUUGUACCAGUUGAACAUAGUAGUUGUCCAGAAUAGUAGUAGUAGUUGCCUAGUAUAGUAGCACCAGUUGCUUUUUAGUGUAGAUGUAGUAUAGCAGUACUUGCUGCCUAGUAUAGUUGUACCAGAUGCCCAGUAUAGUAGUACCAGUUGCCUAGUAUAGUUGUACCAGGCGCCCAGUAUAGUAGUACCAGUUGCAUAGUAUAGCAGUACUAGUUGGCUAGUAUAGUAGUACUAGUUGCCCAGUAUAGUAGUAAGAGUUUGCAUACUAUAGCAGUACUAGUUGUGUAGUAUUUGUAGCACCAGUUUGCUAGUAUAGCCGUACUAGAUGUAUAGCAUAGCAGUACUAGUUGCCUAGUAUAGUAGUACUAAUUGCCCAAUAUGGUAGAACCAGUUUGUUUUAUAAUGUAGAUGUAGUUGCUCAGUUUCCCACGCAGAGCAGCCUUGCCUUAUUUUUUAUUUUUUAUUUUUCUUCUGGUUUUUCUGUCUCCACAGAUUGGAACUAGUGCCUCGGCACCAAGGAACAGGGCAUCACCUUCAAGGCUAUUCACUCUAAAUGCCGACCUUGUAGACACACAAAAGGGAGUCAUUUAUGAAAUUAGUUUUGGUGGCGUACUUGAUAUCGACACGAGAACAAUGAAAGGAUCUAUCAUGAAGUUUGUCAUCGAUUGUUAUGACCCGGAGUUCUCCCAGCUUCUUAUACCUGAUAGGGGUAAGAUCCCUGUCGAUGCAGACAGCGUUGAAAGGAUAUGGGGUCUGCCAAGGGGGCGAAACAAGGUUGCAUAUGAAAUUGAUCCAGACAUAGUAAAGUUUUUCAACGGGAUGUUCAACAUUCCUUCAGGCCUUGCCCCAACAGUGACCAAGUGGGUGGAGAAGAUAAAGGAAAUGGGAGAUGCUCAUGAUGACACGUUCUUAAGCGCCUGGCUUGUCAUUGUUUUCAGCUGUUUUCUCGCACCGACUACGGGCUUGAAGGUGUCGCCGCGUGCCUAUUCAGCUGCGUUGAACCCACUCGAUAUUGCGAAUUCAGAUGUUUGCCAGUUUGUCAUUGACCAGCUUAGGAUCGCUUUCAUGGGGCUAGGAGACAAGAAGAAUACCAGAUGUUGUUGCCUUUUCCACCUAGUGGUAAAAUGAUCUAGAUCCCCCCUUUUUUAUGGUCCAUUGUCUUUCUUUUCAUUGUCAAUACUUUACAGGAAACUAACAUUUUUCCUUUUUCUUUUUGUUUGUGUUUUGGUCUGCGAGACAACUCGUUUACCUCGACUCGCUAGAUGUGGACUUCAGGACCAUCUCCAAGGACUUUGUGCAUGAAGACAUGCCGAAUAUUCUUCCAAGGGUUGAGGCCUGGAACGAGGGUCUUAUCAAGGCAGUCAUGAAAAAGGACAGGAUCAGAAAGGGUGUAUAUGGAAAGCUGCGAGUAAGUUUUUCCCUGUUUUUUUCAAUGCACUUUUUUCUCAUGGUUGUUCAGCAUGUAGAGCCUCGUGUUUUAUCAAGUAGGCAUGUAGUUUUUGAGGUCGACUUGCUCACCAGUAGGUUUUUGUAGUUGCCCAUAAUCAGAGGUGGACUUGCGCUCUAGUAUAUUUUGUAGUUGCCCAUAAUCAGAGGUGGACUUGCUCCAUUUACAGUUAGAGUUGCCCAUGUACAUAGUUGUAUUUGCUCAUCAGCAUGAUCCAUUCUUUUGGAGUUAUAUGUUGUUCAGUCCAAAUAGUUAUGUAUGGGUUUUUCCAGUUUUAUAUCAUGUGUUCUGCGGGAGUUGCCCAACAAUAUGCAUGUUGUUGCCCUAAUUUUUAGGGAAUUUUACCACUAGGUCGAUUGAGUGUAUCUCGACUUGCUCACCAGUAGGUUUUUGUAGUUGCCCAUAAUCAGAGGUGGACUUGCCCUCCAGUAUGUUUUGUAGUUGCCCACAAUUAGAGGUGGACUUGCUCCAUUUACAGUUAGAGUUGCUCAUGUACAUAGUUGUAGUUGCUCAUCAGCAUGAUCCCUUUUUUUGGAGUUCCAUGUUGUUUAGUCCAAAUAGUUAUGUAUGGGUUUUUCCAGUUUUAUAUCAUGUGUUCUACGGGAGUUUCCCAACAAUAUGCAUGUUGUUGCCCUAAUUUUUAGGGAAACACUUUGAUAAACCUCGCAAUAUAAUAUCUUUUUUUGCGUGAUUGAUUUUUAAUUCCCUCAACCUUUUUUCCCCUGACUGUUGAUCUCUAACACGUGCCCAUCAACACCACAGUUGAAAUCUAAGUUCUCAAGGUGUGCUGAAGACACUCUGUUUGGUAGCAUGGAUCAUAUCGAGAAGUUUGUUGCUGCCAGGCUACCCCAGAAUUACGACAUCAAUGUAUGGUCCUUUUACUGUGCUUCCUAGUAUCCGACACUUUUUUUAUGCAAAGUUGAUAAUGAAAUGCAUGUUUUAUCUAUGUUUUGUCUUGUUUGUUUUUUGUAGAAACAGAAGAAGUUGACGGUGCUUGUACACAACAUGUGCUCUGGAAUAUCUUCCCAAGUGGGGAAGUUUGUUCUAGGUGUUGGCAAGCUUGAUGAGGAGGAACAUGUGCCAGUCACGAGUACUUCCAGGGACCCAGAACCACGCCAACCAUUGGUGAAGGAAAGGCAUAGAAGAGCAGCGACAGUUUCUAAAGUGAAAAAUGUUGAAAGGAAGAAGAAAGGAAAGGGCAGCAGAACUCAUGAUGGGGAGAGCCCUUUGUUGUCUGAUGAUAAUGAGGAGGAAACGGAGGACGACGAACUGAAACUUUCAGAUGAAGAUGAAGAGGAGGAAGGAGAGUACGAUGAUGAAUGUGGAGAUGAGGACAUUUCCGAUGGGGAAGGUGACGACGACGAUGAUGAUGAAGAUGACAAUGACAACAAUGAUGGUUUAGAGAGCCCGCCAGCAGCAACAGAUCCCACCGACAUUGAGCGCAUGGAUGCCGAAGGGGAUGAAGACGAGGAUGAAAAGGAGGAGGAAGAGGGGAGUGAUGAGAAGGAGGAAGAAGAGGUUGAUGAGGAGGAGGAAGAGCUGGGUUAUGAGGAGGAGGAAGAAGAGGACGAUGAGGAGGGGGAAGAGGACGAUGUUGAGGGGGAGGAGGAGGAUGAAGACAAGGAUGAGGAGGAUGGGAAGGAGGAAGAUGCAAAUAAUGUAGACGAGGACAUAAAUCAGGAGCAGAGCAAGGGAAAUGAGCAACAGGGAAAAGAAGAGCUUGAAAAAGAGUAGAAACGGGAGGAUGAAAAGAACAAAGAUGAGAAGCAAGAGAAGGAUGAUUUUGGGAAGGAUGAAGGUGGAGAUGAAGGAGAGAAGGAUGAGGAGGAAGAAGGUUGCAUGGGAGGGAAGAAGGGGGAAGACGACAAGCAUGAUGACUGGACAGGCAGCAACGCUAGCGCUGACAACACCACUUGGAGCGGCCACGAUGGAGGUGCAAAACCCCCAGGGUGGCGUACGGACAGUUUUGAUGAUGAGGUCUCGCUGAGCACUAUCAUGGAGAAGCUGAAGCGUGGUGCCAAGGAGCAGGAGCAAUCACACCCGUGCACGAGCACCAGCAAAACACAGGGGGGCAUGCAAAGUGCUAGCAGUUUUUUUCACAGCGACUUUGUUAAGAUGCACAUUCAAAAGGAACCGUUCGAGGUAGACAGCGCACCCGCUUUGACUGCUGCGGAGGUGGUCAGAAUGGGAGAUUUAGCUUUAAAGCAGAAGAAGAGAGUGCUUGAGAUUCGAGAUAUACCUUUAUUCCCGUUGCCCGUGCUGCCACCUGAAGAUUUCUUGCCACGUACGGACUUUCACUGUGAAGAAAUGAUUGUGGAAGAUGGGUUGAAACGUUUUACUGACGUCCCAAAAGAUGGUAGUGAUACACAAUUAGAAAAAGGAGCCGAGGCGGGUGGGAAGAAGAAGGUUAAGAAAAUAAGCCACAGAACAGUGAAGGCUAGCGCUGCAUCCCCUUAACCAAGCCAAACAGCUAAGCAGCAAGCUCCCACACAUGUCCAGAGUUUGGGAACUGAUUCAAAAAAACAGACAGUCACGGCAGCUCCAAAACCCAAGGUGUUUCAGAAAAAAUCAGCAAACAAGCAAAAAAAACUGUUGGCAUUUUGCAAGCAACUGCAGCUACAUCUCAAGCAACUAUGGUCAACAUGCAGGCAGAAGCCCCUCGCAAGCAACACACCGAGCCAGUGGUCAAGAGUGCACUUGUAUCUGGACAGGACAAGCAUGGAGGCAAAGUGUUAGAACCAGCAGAGUCCAGAAAAAUGCAGCCAGCACAGACUUGUGAGCAGUCGAAAUAGCCAGCAGUCAAUGAGAGUGCCAAAGAGGAUAUCAAGGGGAAAGGAGUUGCAGUGCUGAAAGAAGCAACUGCAGUGAUUAAGGAAGCAACUCCUGUAGUAAACCAGGCAACUACAGAUGAAGUUGCAGCCCAGACAACAAAGAAGCCUCCUUUUGUUCACACCAAGCAAGCUUGCUCUGGACAAAGGAAAGAAAUAUCUUUUACUGAUAUCAGGGACAUAAACGAGCUACUGGAAAGGUGUGUGACUCCAGGGUCAAUGCCACCACUCAUGAAAAGUAAGUCUGCCGACACUAUUCCUAUAAUACGGGCGUCUCCCGUUCUUAAUCAGGCAACAAGCAAAGAAGUCUCUGAUUCAGGUGAAGCACAACAAUCACUCCAAAGAUCAAAGUCUGGAAACGCUGUUUGGGAUAAUUAUUGCCCAGGCCCACCUUUCGAUCUUGGAAUAGAUGAAAUGCCAGAAAACAAAGUGGAGGAGGACAAGGAGAUGUCAAAGGACAAGGCGGUGACAAACGAACCUGCCACUGCCGACAUUGAGUGGGGAAUUGACUGGUGCAACCUGGAUUUCGAUGGAGUUGUUGAAGGGGCAGUCAAAAGUGUUGUAGGUGAGGGGUCGGGGCAGAUGUCACCUUCUGGAUUUUGCACACCAACCGGUGAGGCAAAAAUUCCCGGUGCAGGGGAGUCUAGCCAAGGUGGUGCCAGCAACCACGACGAUCCCAUUGCCCAGAAGCGUGAGAGGAGAAUACUAAAACCACCUCCAUCACAAAGGUCACCGUAUGUGAACUUAGAAGUAAAAAAGGACUUCAAUUGUUCACCAGAUGUAAACAGGUUGUAUGCAUUGGUUUUGAUGCUCAGAGGAGCAGGAACGGGGACAACAAGGACAUCAAGUCAGGAGGAUCAAACGUGCGGUUCUUUCUUUUUUUCAAUAACAUGUUUUUUGGCAUCACCCUAACUUAUCCGUUGGUCUUUUCUGAAACACCUCCUCCUUCUGCUUAUACAGGCCGCAUAUCAUAAAUUACCGUGGCUAUUUUUGCACAUUGAAGGAGCUAGCUCAAUCAAUGAGGAGGAAUGGGUGGCUCAGGACCCAUGUCUUUGAGUUAGUGAUCGAGGCAAUCAUGUUCAACAGAAGGCAGGGCUCCAAGAAAGUAAUCAUGCCUCUAAGGUUUUCAGUAAGAAUAAUCAACUUCUAUUUUUUUCAAAUUAUUUUUUCUUUGUUUUCUUAUUUUUUGUUGGCACUGAUUUUUCAUUUGGUGCUUGUUCCCCCCAGAUUGCGCUCCAAAAAGUUGAUUUGAGCGGGGCUGAGUUGACGAACAGGUUUAAGGCAGAAAACCAUCUGGAUCAGCAAGAUAUGGUAUGUAUCCACACAGCAACAAGUGCUCUUUUUUAGAUAUCUAAGUUGCUUUCAACUAUACCCAGAGUUGCUUGCGUUAAGUAGCUAAGUUGCCUCCAACUACACCCCAGAGUUGCCCAAAAUCAAACACAACAAGAAAAUUAUUAACUGGCCAGAGAUAUCUUCAGAGUUGCUCACAACCACACCCCUCAAAGAUUUUUUGAGGCCUGUUUUAUAACCACACUCAAAUUGUAAGCACAAUCAAUGUAAGUUUCAUAGCGUUUUGCUGAAUUUUUGUUUUAUCACUUUGCAGUUUUUAAAAUUUUUAAAGUUGCAUACAACCACACCCAGAGAUGCUUAUAAACACAUUUCAAUUUUUGUUCUACUAGUCGCUUUAUAACCACACUAAAAUUAUAAUCACAAUCAAAUUAAAAGUUGCAUAUAACUGUUGUCUUUUUUUCGAGAUCUAAGUUGCUUUUCAACUAUCCCGAGAUUUUUUUAAAUACCUAAGUUGCCUACAACCACCCCCAGAAUUUGUUCAAAACCACACUCAAAACAAGAUCAGCAACUGGUCAGAGCUACCUUCAGAGUUGCUCACAAACACCCCCUCAAAGAUUUGUUUUCCUAGUUGGUUAUAACAAUACUCAAAUUCCAAGCACAAUCAAAUGUAAGGUUCAGUGAGUUUUGCUGCAUUUUUUCAUCACUUGCUCUUUUUAAGUAUUGAAGUUGCCUGUAAACAGUCUCAGAGUUGCCUCAAAACUCUUGUUGAUUGUAACCACUUUUUCUCAAAGAUUUUUGUUUGCUAGUUGGUUAUAACAAUACUCAAAUUCUAAGCACAAUCAAAUGUAAGGUUCAGUGAGCUUCGCUACAUUUUUUUCAUCACUUGCUCUUUUUAAAUAUUGAAGUUGCCUGUAAACAGCCUGAGAGUUGCCUCAAAAACUCUUGUUGAUUGCAACCACUUUAUUCUCAAAGAUUUUUGUUUGCUAAUUGGUUAUAACAGUACUCAAAUUCUAAGCACAAUCAAAUGUAAGGUUCAGAGAGAUUUGCUGCAUUUUUUUCAUCACUUUGCUCUUUUUAAAUAUUGAAGUUGCCUAUAAACAGUCUCAGAGUUGCUUCAAAACUCUUGUUGAUUGUGACCACUCUUUUUCCUUCUGCAGGUGAUGAUCCAUGUGCUUGAAAACCUAGAGCUAGACACACCCAAUCGCACAUGCCACUACUGGGUUUUCAACAUAAAUUUGAGGGACGGCAGGUUUGAGGUGUUUGACUCGCUGAGACUCGUCAAGAAAAGCAAAAGGUUGGACGGGGUAGCAAGGUGCAUUGUAGCAUCUGUUCGGACAUUGUGGGAUAUACAUUAUCCAGAGCAGGCAAAAAUCAUGGAGAAAUUCCCACUAGUUGACAUUGAUGCACCGAAGCAGAUCAUAGCGUAAGAACUACUUACUUGCAGAGUUCGUAGGAGUUAUGUGUGGUUUUUUUCAAGUGUUCUUCUGACAUAAAGGAUUCUCUCUUUAUUUAUGCAGAGGUGAUUGUGGGAUUUUUGCUCUGAUGAACGUACUAUUCUGGAAUGGGACAUGGCUUCCCAACUACGGACAAGCUGACAUACAGAAUAUCAGGAAGCGAAUGACCAUCUCCAUGAUCAAAUGUGAACUAAACAAGGAGCCAUGGCAGGAGAUUCUCAAACCAGUCAAAAAGUAAAAGGACAUCGGUACAGAGGUUUUUCAUCUUUUUUUCAGCACAUCAAGUGAAACAACCUCACAUUACUGGCAAUCAAUCAUGUUUUUUGAUUUUUAUCAUUUGAUUGAGCAUACAAUGGAUCCAGCUAUGAACUUAAAGCAAAGAACUAGGUGUUAACCAUUUUCCAUAUCACCUGCCCAAAAUCAACGCACAAGUGGCUUCAUACUGCCCCACUGUUUGCUCAAAAACUGUGCAUGAGUUGUUUUUUUUAAACACAGCUGCUGACAACUUUUUUGGCAAGAGGAAUCAAAAACCACAGAAUGAUUAAGCAUAUAGAUUUCCACAUUUUCCUUUCAAGCAACGACCAUUUUCUUUGAAGCUAUAUGUCUGCAAUUAUGAAUUUAAAGCGAAGACAGAAACAAGGACAAAUAUAAAUUAUUACAAGCUUCUCCAAAUCGAUCGACACGUUUUUUGACAUAAAACCUGACCUGUGGCGCGGUUGCUUUAAAUUGCCUCAUCAUCUGCUCAAAAAAUGAGGUCAACAGUUGCUUCCAGUGUACGGCACCUAGACUGAGUGGGUCAUUUUCGUCUGUCCACGUCACUUCAACUUCUAAGUGUACUUUUGAGCAUUGUGUUCAAUUGAAUCACAAAGGUUGCAUUUGUUCUUUCUUUUUGGUUGUAGUUCUAGAGCUGAUUUGAACCGUCUGGUGCAGGUGCGGCCUUUUGUGACUGACCUGGGUGGGUCCAUAGGGGGUAGGGGGCAGGUGGAGGAGGAGGUUGACCCGAUGCACUGGGGGCUGUUGGAUCUGAUGCUUCCUUAGCCCGGACUGCUUCCCGGGCUGCCUUGAGCUUCUUUCUCCUUAAUUAGUUCAGUUUAGUAACCUCAGCGUCUGCUGCCUUCAUGUGCCUCGCAACCACAGGAGCAGCCUCAUCACUUGUCAUUGCUUUCUUUGCCAACCUUGCAAAAUCCAUUGUCAUAUUCACUUGGCGCACUUGGUUCUCUGACUCAGGGGGCAAGUCUGGGCCAGAAUUUUGGUCAAUUGGCGAGGGCACACUUGGGACUGCAUCUUGCGUCCAACGUUGCUUGAUGUAGUGUGUAGGGAUCUCAUUAACGCCAAGGUGUCUGAAGAUUUUCAAUACAUGGCAACAAAGUAUGCCGUCCCUAUGCCACUUGCAACAUUCACAAUCAUAGAUUGCUGGCUCUGGCCUCACUAUGACUAGGUACUUCCUUGAGCCAUACCCUAGAACUUCUUCUAUAUUGGGCUCAAGGUGAUAGAAGUGGAUUCCAGCGGGGAACACAUCGUACUGGCCAAUCAUCUAAAACUCAGUUCUAAAUUUCACAUAGAUGUCCCUAGUGUAUGCCUUGUAGGCAUGUCUCUCAAUGGGGAAACACGACCAUCUUUGUGCGUCUAGAUGCUCUGUCCGGUAGUCGUUCCCGCCUUCCCUCACGAGUAUGUGUACCUAAAUUUUCUCAUGUUGCUUGACAAAAUUGAGGAGCGACUUGUGUGGGUUCACAUAGCGCUUCAAGACAACGUUGAACCCUUCGCUGCGUUGUGUUGAUUGAAGGAACGGGAAGAACCUGAAUUUGAAGUAGCAUGGCACCCAUGUAGCCUGGUCUUCAUACAAUUUCUCAAAGUGCCCAUACAUGAGCCCAUCAUACUUUAUCAAGAGUGCAACCCACUUUCGCUCAAAUUCCGCAGGGGUGAAACUGAAGUCAAUACACUCAUUGAAGUCCUUCACCAAAUCUGGGUUCCUAGCCAACACUGGUCCAAGUUUUUCUUGCGCCUUCUUCAUAAUAUGCCAACGAUAACAACGAUGUAUUGCUGCGGGGAACUUGUUCUUGAUAGAUGCCGCCAUUGCAGCAUCUUGGUCUAUGAUUAUGUUGUCCGGAGCCAAUCCAUCCAUUGCCUCCAAGAACGCAUCAAAUAGCCAGUCAUAGCUUGAGGCUAGCUCCUUCCGGACAAAGCCACACCCAAGCAUAAUAGAUUGCCCAUGUCUGUUGAUGCCAAUGAAGGGGGCAAACGGCAUACUGUACAUGUUCGUGAGAUAAGUUGCAUCAAAUGAUACGCAAUCGUGGUAAGCCGUCGCAUAAGCUUUCCGGGCUGCACCAUCCACCCAAAACAAGUUCUCACACCUGCCUUCCGCAUCCGUCUUGCACUUGAAGAAAAAACCAGGGUCUGCUUCCUUAACUUUGCAAAAGUAGUUCAGGGUUUCUUCAACGUCGCAGUCUUUAGUUGCAGCAUUCAGCUUUGAACAGUGGUUAUGUAUGGCUUUGCACGUGUAAGGGAUGAUCAACUCUGACCCAUAGUAUGAUGACAUCACCAUCAUCAUUCUCCCUGUCAAAGACAUUUUUUCACAAUACCUUGUGUUAUUUUUUUGAAGCAACAAAAACAUGAUGUAAGGAGCAACUUAUGCAUAAAAUAGAGCAACUUCAUAUACAUAAAAAGUUCUUUCUUUUUACUAGUUUUCCCCCUAUGCACACGAAAUGCACAAUGUGAGAAGUUAGUAGUUUUUUAUAUGCUGGGCACCACGUAUCUUAUCAGAGUUGCUCAAAGCCAAAACAGAAUUGCUCAAAUUAAAAAAAGAGAGUUGCCAGAGUUGCUUUUUUCUGACCAAAAAGAUGAGGGGUGGUGGGGUGUUUUUUGAUGUACCUGUCUAGUUGUUGUCGUGUAGAUGAGUCAGAAAUUUUUUCUCCUCUGGGGGGAUGCCUUGGUGGGAACGGAGAUAUUUGGAUAGUGAAGGUUUGUCAACCAACGGAUGGGUGUGAUUUGCAAUGAAGUUUAUAACUUCCCAUCUGCCAUCUAUUAGCUUGACCACCAUCUUAGCAGGGCAUUUGGUUUGCUUUAUAGUCUCCCUUUUUUGCUUCUUCUUAUAAGUGGGUUCUUCAUCAUCCUCUUCAAUAUCUUCUUCAGGGGAGCUUGUGCAUGCACUUUUUUUGCUUGAUGAGACAUCUGAUACUCCAACCCUCUCCACAGGCAUACGAAACUUGUUACAACAGAAUUGUUGCCUGUCCAGCACCCCUGUGUAUGCCGACCUGUGGGACGUGUUUGACUUGAUUGAAAAACCCACCCCUAGAGCAUAGCGAUUGUAGUGUUCUCUUGCCCCCACUAGCGUGUCAAAGCGCAUACCAACAUAGGGCAGUUGCGGCUGCGACCCUGCUUCUUCAUCUUCCAAGUCAGGUUUAUCAUCAACUGUAGCAUUAGCAGGACCAAGUACAGCAUUGGGAGCAGCGACAUGGGUGGUCAGAGCAUGAGCAUCAUUAGAGCCAAUGCGGGGUCUAGUGACUCACCAACCCCCUCUUCCAAAUGGAUAUAAGGCUGAUCAUAUGCUGUAUUUAAGAACGGCGCGCCCAACUCAACCGAAAUGUUGACAGACUCGACGUCAACCGGUGGUUCAUUGAGUUUUUUCAUUGUUUUAUUUUAUUCUUCUUGUCCCUCUUUGUUUUGUUUACCAGCUCACCCUGCAGAGACAUUUUCAUUGUCAAUAACACAACCAAUAUAAACAUACUUUUCUGUUAGGAGGACAAAUUGAAGUAAAAGUCUAUACUAGAUUAAAUCAGGGCAACCAUAUACAAUUUUCUAGGCAACUGUAAAGGUAAGCAGAGGCAACUUUUUGUGUUGUUUUCACACAAGUUCAAUUUUUUUGUCAUACAUUUUUCUUCUCUGUGUUACCCACCAGCGCACAAUAUGUGUAUAAUUUGCUGACAAGUGUGUUCCCUUUUUGUUCUUCAGCAGGAGGUGGCAAACACUUUUUGCAGUGGGGGAAAGAUGCAUAUAUGUUAGGCAGGUCUAAGCAUGGGCAGAAGACCUUUUUUCAUUUUUAGUAGUGGAUUUGUGUGGAUUUAGGCAGAUCUUCUAUGCAAUGUUGUUACUUUUAAUAUGUUUUUUAUUUGUGUCCUUAUUUAUGAGAGGAUACACAUGUACUGAACUACGUUUGAAUGCUUUUGUGUGAAUAUUUUCUGUUUUUACCAGAUUGAGAACCGUAUGCAGUUUUUGCCGGAUUGAUGAAUGCAAGCAUCUUGAUGCAUACUUUUGUUCAUGACAAUUGUAUGUUGCUCAGUUUUGUCUGUAAAACCAUUGAGAGGUGGGAAGUUGCUUGGAAAUUGUUUCUCUUUUCUUUACAUAAUGGACAUAGUUGCUUAGUUUUACAAAUCAGGAAAAGAAACACCCCCUCUUGAUCCCUCAAGCAGGGGAAAAGAUAUUUUUUUGCAGUUGUUCAACGAACACAAUACAAUUGCGUAAAGUAGGAGGAUCAGUUGCUCAGUGUUUUUUUGCAAAACAACUGUAAGCCUAUUGACCAGGGACAGACAAACACAAUGCACAUAGAUGCUCAGUUUUGAAACCAGUAACAUGCAAACCCUUUUGAUAUCUCAAGCAGGGACAAAGGUUUUAGGUUUUUUGUUCAUAUCCCCCUCAUUUUUUUGCAGUUGCUCAACGACCACAAUAGAAUUGCCUAAAGUUGUAGCACUAGAUGCUCAGUUUUUUUUUGCAAAACAACUCUAGGACUAUUGAUAUGGAACAGACACACACAAUGCACAUAGAUGCUCAGUUUUGAAAUCAGGAAUAGACAAACCCUAUUGAUAUCUCAAGCAGGGACAAAGGUUUUAGGUUUCUUGUUCAUACCCCCACAUUUUUUUGUACUUGCUCAACGAUCACAAUGAAAUUGCCUAAAGUUGGAGCACUAGUUGCUCAGUUUGCUUUUUGCAAAACAACUGUAGGCCUAUUGACCAGGAACAGACAAACACAAUGCACAUAGAUGCUUAGUUUUGAAAUCAGGAACAUACAAACCCUAUUGAUAUCUCAAGCAGGGACAAAGGUUUUAGGUUUCUUGUUCAUACCCCCACAUUUUUUUUGUAGUUGCUCAACGAUCACAAUGAAAUUGCCUAAAGUUGGAGCACUAGUUGCUCAGUUUGCUUUUUGCAAAACAACUGUAGGCCUAUUGACCAGGAACAGACAAACACAAUGCACAUAGAUGCUUAGUUUUGAAAUCAGGAACAUACAAACCCUAUUGAUAUCUCAAGCAGGGACAAAGGUUUUAGGUUUCUUGUUCAUACCCCCCUCAUUUUUUUUGCAGUUGCUCAACGACCACAAUGGAAUUGCCUAAAGUUUGGAGUACUAGUUGCUCAUUUUACCAAACAUGAAGGGGGGUGGGGUGUUCAUGAUCAAGCAUGAGAUGGACGGUUUUUUGUAGUUGCUUAGUCAAAGUAAUAGAAUUGCCCAAAAUCACUAGUUCCUUAGUUUUUUGCACACACCUACAAAUCCGACCAGAGAGGGACGGGAUUUGUAGGCAAAUCACGAACAGAAGAGGGGGUAGAGGUUUUGGAGGACGGUAGUUACCUUCUGAUCUUGCUUUGUCAAGACACCAUGGACACCCCAAGAUCAGCCUGAUUCUUCAAAUCUGGUUACAAAGUUAGAGGAAGGAGGAAAGGAGGAGGAAAGGAUGAGGGGAGAUCUGAACGUGCUGGUCAAGAAAGAGAGAAAAGAGAGGAGAGAGAGGGGGAUUGCGGGGGCGCGUGAGAGAGAGAAGGGGGCCAACGCACGGGGACCAGGAGGUGGACCAGGUGUGAUCGGGGCGCGUGCGAUCCACCCGUGAUUCGCGCAGGCUUCAGUUCCUUGAUUUCGCGUGCGCGGGGCUGUCUUUCCCUUUUCGGUUGUCUGCUCGCACGCGGGUCGUUGCUUCCUUUUAUGGGAGAGUGCUCGGUGGUGCGAUCGGGCGCCCGUGCGCCAGGGAGCCACGUCCCUGCAAAUAAUGUACCUUGUAGGCUAUGCUGUAAGCUAGGCUGUAGGCUGUUGGACAUGCAUGCUUGCACGGCUGCUAACAAUGCGCUGCACUACAAUCUACUUCUUGCAUACUAGGGGUUGGGGCGCACCCAUGGCGCGCCUCUUGACACGAAGUUGUGCGCACCUGUAUUGCUGCAGCGUCUCGUGCGGCCAUUUUCAUACGCCCACACACAUUAGUCCUCGAUUGUUAGCAAACAAACAGUUGUUGUUAGCAUCACGAUAUUUGUUGCAUCAUUUUUAUGUCCAAUUUAUAUAAACAUCGAUAAUUAGGUUAAUUUUGGUAAUUUUCUUAUUUUUAAUAAAAGUUAACAUUUUCGUAAAAAAUGAAACACUAUUUCCACGAAUGAGUUACCGGUUGAGUACAUGAAGACAUCCUCCUUCGGGACAAUCAAGUAGUACUGAAUUCUAAGUCCAAAGUUGACAGUUGGAUCGUUCUAUAGAAUCCAAGUAAUGAAUUUAAGUUUAGAAAAUUAGUAAUGCAAUGUGUAACAUAAAUGCUUAAGUUUGUUUUAUAUUAACAUAGAAUUAGAAACUGAAAUUUGAAAUGUUGCAUUACCUAUUUGGUCAGGUCUUCCAUGUAGACAAUAUUCUUGGUGUAUGUCUCGCUUGUACUGGUCUUAUUCUUCUUUUUUCUUCUUCUUCUUCCUCUCCUUUGUUUAUGUGUGGCGUGUACUUUUCUUCUUGUUUGUUUCUUUGUCCAGAAGUUGAAAAUUGAUGGUGAUAAAUUUCAUAAUUAACUGAUUUUACUUGUCCAGAAGUUCAAAAUUAUUGAUGAUAAAUUUUAUGUAUAUGCAUGGCAGGUACCACAUUGUUUGUAAGGAUAUUGAAGGAUGUUGUAUGGACAGAUGGAUUAUAGAGUUGGUGUAUAUUAAUCAUGAUAAGGGGAUAAGGAAUAUACUUAUGGCUCCUUGGCUCUGGUUGGGUCAGUAGCUUGGAGAUUGCUUGUAGAUUGAUCUGCUCUAGUUGGCUCAGUAGCUUGGAGUAUACUUGGAGAUUUGCUCUUCUUUAGAAAUCAAAAUCAAUAUUUGUAACCUGGGUGUGUACUAAGUUGCCCGUACUUUUUCGUGUGUACUAAUCUAGGCGUCCAAUCUCUGAAAGCUGGGUACUUUAUAUUAGUCCAACUUUUGCUGGUCCGAGUUGGUGUAUGGAUUUGCUUCCGAUUGGCGAUUGUUUUUCCCCUUCCACGUCCGAUCCAGUAAUCUGUUUCCUUUUUAGUUUGUGAUUCCGUCAAGGACACAAACUGUGAAUGAAUCACUUCAAAAGCCGGCUGAAUCUCAAGAAUGCAAGCUGUUUGAUUGGAACUAAAUUGUACAUUGGACUAUGCUAAUGUUGAUUCCUGGGUAUGGUAUACUUCUCCUCUGUCAGUCGAUUAACCGACGACAAAAAAGUAAAUAAGAUGCAUGGAUCGAUAAUAUUUGACAUCUACAGCUGAGCAUAAAAAAAUACUGACAUGAAAUGUAACGCCCACGAUGCGGCUAUAUCUCCCACGUGUCGAGGCACGACUUAGAGGCAUAACCGCAUUGUGGUUUUGUCGCAAGAAGGGUCAUCUUCACACAAUCCCAUGUAAUGAACAAGAAUGGGAUAACGAGAGUUGGCUUACAAUCGCCACUUCACACAAUACAUAAAUAAUUCAUACAUAUCAUCCAAAAUCCACACAUAGACCGACUACGGUCAAAACCUAAAUGAAAAUAAGAUAACUCCAAAUGCUAGAUCCCCGAUCGUCCCAACUGUGCUCCACUACUGAUCAUCAGGAAAAGAAAAAUAGUAACGACCACGUUCCUCAUCGAACUCCCACUUGAGCUCGGUUGCGUCAUCUGGAUCGGCAUCGUCGGCACCUGCAACUGUUUUGGUAGAAUCUGUGAGUCACGAGGACUCAGCAAUCUCACACCCACGAGAUCAAGACUAUUUAAGCUUAUAGGAAAGGAUGGUGUAAUGAGGGGGAGCUGCAGCAAGCACUAAGCAUAUAUGGUGGCUAACAUACGCAAAUGAGAGCGAGAAGAGAAGCAAUGCAACGGUCGAGAAGCUAGAAAUGAUCAAGAAGUGAUCCUGAAACUACUUACGUUCAUGCAUAACUCAAACCGUGUUCACUUCCCGGACUCCACCGAGAAGAGACCAUCACGGCUACACACACGGUUGAUGUAUUUUAAUAGGGUCAAGUGAAAAGUUUUCUACAACCGGACAUUAACAAAUUCCCAUCUGCCUCAUAACCGUGGGCACGGCUUUCGAAAGAUAAUGCCCUGCAGGGGUGUCCCAACUUAGCCCAUCAUAAGCUCUCACGGUCAACGAAGGAUAAACCUUCUCCCAGGAAGACCCGAUCAGUCUCGGAAUCCCGGUUUACAAGACAUUUCGACAAUGGUAAAACAAGACCAGCAAGACCACCCGCUGUGCCGACAAAUCCCGAUAGGAGCUGCACAUAUCUCGUUCUCAGGGCACACCGGAUAAGCGAAGCGUACAGGUACCAACGUAACCCAAGUUGCCAAGGGACGGUCCCGCACGGUGCUCUAGUUUGGACCAACACUCGGAGGAGCACUGACCCGGGGGUUAAAAUAAAGAUGACCCUCGGGCUCGCGAAAACCCAAGGGAAAAGGCUUAGGUGGCAAAUGGUAAAACCAAGGUUGGGCCUUGCUAGAGGAGUUUUAUUCAAGACGAACUGUCAAGGGGGUCCCAUAAAUCACCCAACCGCGUAAGGAACACAAACUCAAGGAACAUAAUACCGGUAUGACGGAAAGUAAGGCGGCAAGAGUGGAACAAAACACCAGGCAUAAGGCCGAGCCUUCCACCCUUUAUCAAAUAUAUAGAUGCAUUAAUUAAAUAAGAGAUAUUGUGAUAUUCCAAAAUAUCCAUGUUCCAACAUGGAACCAACUUCAACUUCACCUGCAACUAGCAACGCUAUAAGAAGGGCUGAGCAAAAGCGGUAACUUAGUCAAACAACGGUUUGCUAGGAAAAGGAUGGUUAGAGGCUUGACAUGGCAAUAUGGGAGGCAUGAUAUAGCAAGUGGUAGGUAGCGCAGCAUGGCAAUAGAACGAGCAACUAGCAAAGCAAAGAUAGAAGUGAUUUCGAGGGUAUGGUCAUCUUGCCUGCAAGGUUCUCAAAGUUGUCGAAAGCUUAAUCCUCGUAAGCGUACUCGACAGGUUCCUCGUUCACGAACUCGUCUCCCGGCUCUACCCACAACAAGAACACAAGCAACGUAACCACAAUCAAUCACGGGAAAUGCACAACCAACAUGAUGCAAAACAUGUAUGAUAUGCAAGAUGUGGUAUGCGAUGCAUAUGCGUGCUCCGGAAGAAAAAUGAUGAACAAGGCAGUAACUUGGCAAACCAAGCAUGCCACUGGAAAGAUGAGAUGAUUUCGGUCGAAAUUGAUAUAAAGAUCACCGGAAACGGAUGCACGGUUUGCAAAUGGCAAGCAAAACAAGAAUGACACGAUUCUGCGAUUAACAGCAUGAUAGCACUUAGAAUGCAACAAGUAGCAACGCUACAGCACUCCAACAUAGCAACAAAGCAUAUGGAAGUAAUCUACAGGAGAUGCUUGACAAAAGAUGAACACUGAGCUACGGCUAGAUCACAACAUAACAGGUCCAAACAAGCAUGGCAAAAGUGCAAAAGAUAUCAGGUUCACAGACUUGGUGAAAUUACUGGACAUGGCUGAAACAAUAUCAGGUAGCAAUGUUCAGAACAAGAAAUCAACAUGCUACAGGAACUUAACAUAGCAAAACAAGACAUCGCAUGAACCUACUAAAUGCAUAGAACAAAAGCUCCUUACUGACCAUAAGCCAAAAAAGAGCAGAAGAUAUGAUGGCAACCAUGUAAACAUAGCAACUUUCGUUAAUAGGUUUCAGACUUGGCAGAAAACAGAGCAUGGCAGUAAUAGCAUUAUGAAGGCAUCUUGGUGAGCUUGACUCACUCAGCACAAAGCCAUGCAUGACAAAACAAGCAUACCUACAGCAAGAUGGCAAGUUUAUGAAGCUAUCCAUGGCAAGAACAAAUACAAAGCAUGAAUGGAUCAACUACAACAAGCUUGGAAAAAUUGAAUAACGCGUAAACAAUCUGCCAGAAAUAUUUUAUAACAAAAGUAGAGCAAGAUUGAGUCAUGCUAGGUACUCCCUAAUUGCAAACAGGGACAUGGAUGCAUAGAGUACAACUAUAUCUACAAAACAUCCUUACUGAACAUCAUCAAAAGAAGCAUGGAUCCCUCUGUAGCCACAUGGAUACAUAGCAACAAAAUAACAGCAGUCACAGAAUUAGCAAAAUUACUAAGCCCCUGAAAACAGAAACAUCACAAAGCCUAGUUUGCAUGCUUGUGCUAGUCACCACAGAGAUCACAAAAAUACAUGGCAUACACCUCUGUAAAGAUGGGAUGGCAUACAUCAAAACACAUGUAGAGCUCAUGCCCAUAAGAUGCACAUAUUAAAUGCAAAACAAAUAACAAAUCCUCAUGUUCUGAUAAGUAACAGCAGGUAACAGCAUAUAGCACUCUUGCACUAGAGAUUUUGGCAUCAAGAUGGACUCAAAUGAACAUGGCAUAAUGGAACAAAAUGAAGAGCAUCUCGAGAAGAACAUUUCGAUAUAUUACACGCGCGAAACGUAGUUAUAUGGAGAGAGUUAUGCCAUGAUGAAGUAUGCCACAGUAUGUGAAAAUAUCCGAGACUUGGCAGAAAUUAGAGGAGGGGGGAGUCAACCCUAGAGUUUCCAGAUCGGAUCGGGAGCAGUUCGCCGGGGCAGCGGGCUCGGGCGCCGGAGAGAGCUCGGUCGAGGGAGGAGGAGGAGGCGCCGGGGGACGCGGGGGUCGGUUGGGACGCGGCGGGAGGAGGCAGCGAGGAUGGCGUCGAGGCACGCCGGCGCAUGGGCGCGCGGGUGCCGGCGGGCACGGGUGGCGGCCGGAGNNNNNNNNNNNNNNNNNNNNNNNNNNNNNNNNNNNNNNNNNNNNNNNNNNNNNNNNNNNNNNNNNNNNNNNNNNNNNNNNNNNNNNNNNNNNNNNNNNNNNNNNNNNNNNNNNNNNNNNNNNNNNNNNNNNNNNNNNNNNNNNNNNNNNNNNNNNNNNNNNNNNNNNNNNNNNNNNNNNNNNNNNNNNNNNNNNNNNNNNNNNNNNNNNNNNNNNNNNNNNNNNNNNNNNNNNNNNNNNNNNNNNNNNNNNNNNNNNNNNNNNNNNNNNNNNNNCCCGAUCCGGGCUCUCCGGGCCGCGGCGGCGGGGACGGCGGCGAUGACACUUGGCGGCGGCGGAUUGGGCGAGGGCGGCGGCGCGAUUUCGUCCGGCGCCGGGCGGACGUGUCCGGUGCGCGGAGGGAAAGGGCUAGGGUUUCGGGGAUCCGGAAUUUCGGGGAGUCUCACAUAUAUAUAGCUAGAGGGAGCUAGGAGACUCCAAAUGGAGCACGGUUUUCGCCCACACGAUCGUGAUCGAACGACCUAGAGCAUGGAAGAGACUUAGAGGGGUUUUUGGAAUUUUUGGAGGGGGGUUUUGCUGCAACACACAAAAGGACUUUGUGGUUGCCAGGUUAACCGUUGGAGCAUCAAACGACCUCCAAAUGGAAGUGCUCUACCAGUGGUAUACCAAGGCCACUUGGCAAGCCUCGGUCCAUUCCGAAAACGUUCAACUCCCGUUCAUGAAAAGAAACAAGAGGGGUGCGCCGGUGCAUGUGGGAGUGCCGGAUUGCAAAACGGAUAACGGAGAAAAUGCUCGGACUCAUGAGACGAACAUGUAUGCCCAUGAGAUGCACAUGAUGAAAUGAUAUGAGAUGCAUGACAUGAACAAAAUGCAAAACAAAAAACAUAAUCCGACCACGGAGAGAAUAUCAUAACACAUAGCCGAAAAUGGCAAGAGUUGGAGUUACAAAUAUGGAAAGUUACAUCCGGGGUGUUACAUGAAAGAAUUCAUAAACAAAAAAAUAAUUCUUAUCCACAUGCCAAACCAACAAACGUCACAAAGAAGUAAAAAUAAAAUAAAUACACAUGCUGGGUCUAGAAAGAACAUCUGCAGCAUUAGUUUCGGAAGACUAACCUCAACAUAUACACAUGCUCUUCCUAUGCCAUCACUCUAGAGAAAUAGUAGAACCAGAAGGGGAUAAACCAUGCUGCUAGCUGUUAUAGUUGUACGUACAAGUCAUUGUACUCUAGAAGCUAAAUAGCAGAAAUAAUGCUCCAUCGACAAAAUUUCAGUGUGAGUCUCACAGAUGAUCAUUGAUGUGUUCUUGCACAUCCGGCUGCAGUUAGAUCUGGGACCAUCUUUUCUGGUCCUGCCAUUUCAGUUUCUCGUGUUGGUAAUCCAUUGAAAUCCCCCUCGGCACUGGCUUUGACCCCGACCUGCUUAUCUGGGAUGCCAAGAUCAUUUUCUGCAAACCCUUGUCUAUGGAGGACUUCAUUGCAGUUGGCUGGAAUAGUUGGAAGCAAAGGAAUGUGAGGAACGAUCACAUGAAAGAAGUCAUGUGAACAUAUCAGACAUGGUUGUCUGAUAGAACAUUCUUCUGAACAAAGCAGGUUGUACAAAGACUACAAACAAAGUACUCCCUCUGUUCCUAAAUAUAAGUCUUGUUAGAAGAUUUCAAUAUGGAGUACAUAUAGUGGAAAUGGGUGAAUCUCACUCUAAAAUCUGUCUAUAUACAUCCAUAUCUAGUCCACAUUGAAAUCUCUAAAAAGACUUUAUUUGGAAACAGAGUGAGUAGUUCUUAUCAACAUGCUGAACCCAAAAAAUGUCAUGAAGAAGAAAAAAAAAGAAACAUCACCUGCAGCAUUAGUUUCAAACUUUUCUAUCGCUUGGCUUGCAACAACUCAUGUGCAUUACCAAAUUAAUGAAUAGGAGCAUUUAUCAGUAAGGAGAAAAGUGAAGUACCAGGCUCCAACCAGCCUCCUGGAAUGAGGUCAGGAACUAUCCAACUACAGAUCAAGAUCCAUACAGUGCGACAUCCAUACGCCACCAAGAAGUAGUAUUUUGCUGUAGUGAAUUAAAGAAGCAUCAAGUGUGCUCGUCCUCGGACCCACUCGUGCCCCCCCUGAUUUCAUCGGCCUUGUUGACGUGUGAGCCACUGCCGACGACAUGAACUCAUGCAGCAGCCUUGUUGACGUGCUCCCCCAUGAACUCAUGUAUUUUAGUUUAACAUCUGCUUUGGGAAUAAGAAAUUAUGACCCAUUAAAUACGAUAGUCGAACUUAGUCUUACCAAUCCACAUAUUUUUUUUAGAAAUCUCCACUGAUGAUUGUAACAAAAGAAUUCAGUCGACACAAAAAAGUAAGUCACGCUUCAAAUCUUGGGGCAUGCAAAGCCUGUUGGAGGCUCGAACACAAAUAAGCUAGUAGAACCAUGCACUCCCUUUGUCUGUUGGUACAACAUGAUGCAAAUUAUUUAUGACAAUCCAUUAUGCGAAUUACCUAUGAUAAUCUGAAUUGAAUCACAGCAGUUAAUAUGUUGCACAUUUUCAUAUUGAGGAUCAGGGAAGAAAUGGCCAUACUGCAAAAAGAUGGAUACAUUAAAAUUAGAUGGUAUGGUUAAGUGUUAAAUCCUUAUCUGUCACUGCAAUUUUUCAUAACAGUUAUGCCACUAUUGCACCAAUGGCAUGUGGGUCCAAACCUAACAGGUCAGUGGCACCCAAGGUGGGUUAAACACUUUUACUGUGACAGACAUGGGAUUUGAUCCUACAGAUAAUGUGAAUACGGGUAGCUUGAAGGCUUACAGAGUGGCCCGGAUCAAAAUCUUGUGAUGUUCUCAGCCUGAGAACACAACCAAAUGCAUAGGAUCAACUCAACAUGCGAUACCUGUUCAUAAGAAAAGGCAAGGCAACAAGGAGAAGACCAUUCACAUCUUAUCAAGAACCUAGGCGGUGGAAUUUGACAUCUUAUCAGGAACCUACGCAGGGGAAUUUCAGAAAUAAAAUACAGAGGACAAUCAUAAGAUCAAGCUCACAUGUCCUGGUGAAGUGUUGAAUCAUCCGAGUUUGCAUAGACAAAUAAUGAACCACCACUUUCAAUACUUUAAAACUUCGACGAAGCCAAAUUGGUGUAUUCAUCAGUUACAACAAAUAUGUCUACACAUACUCCUGCUUGAAUAGCCUGUUACAAAGUUCACUAAAGGAUAGAUAUGGUCAAGAAAAUGUAACUUUUUUCCGCUGAAAAAAUCAACAGAAGCUUAUUAGAUCUCUACUAUAGAAAGUUAUCUGCUCAUGGAGCAACACAACAAAUGGCAAGGAGGAGGAGAUGCGUGCACCUACCAAGGAAAGCAAAUCCCAUGCCUUAGGGAAAGGAAAGGGAGGGAAUAAGAGGAAAUCAAGAGAGAGGGCCGUACCUUAAUGUUGCUGCUGCUUAUCCUGGGACUGGGACUGGAGGAAGGAGCAGCGGACCUUGAUGAGCACAUGAGCAGCGUCUCGGGCAGAGGAAGCUCCGCUCCGUGGCCCCUAGUACAGAGAUGAGACAAGACGGGGGUCAGAGAGGGCGAGAAGAAGGAGGAGGAGGAGAGAAGGGAUUGAUAACAUACCACCAUCGUCGAGGCAUGUGCCUGCGGUCGGUCGCCAUGGCCAGACGGCUAGGGUUUCUGGCGCGAGGACGGAGGGGCGGAUCUGACUGUGGGCUGUGCUGCUCGAGUGGAUAUGCGUCCAGGGAGAGAGGGGGAGAGGCCGCUGGCGGUGGAGUGGAGGUCGGGGUUGGGGAGUCGGCGGCGGCUGGCUUCGGCUUGGGGAAUCGAGAGAAGAGAAACAUGAGAGAGGGGCAGCGAAGGAAGCAAUCGGGGAUUUCUUUUUUUUUGAACUUGGGAAUUUCUUUUUGUUGAUUGAUGGAUGUAUCGCUGCGUUUUUUUCUCUCUCGCUACCGAAAUCGAUACACUAUUCCUAGGCUGCCCAUGUGGACAUCACCAGCGUGCGCCCUUCACGCGCAGCUGAAUGUGUUUAAUGCUUGCAUGCAAAGCAUCGAAAAAGGAGCAUGCAAUGGUACAUAGUGGUAAAGUAAAAAAAGGAGCAUGCAAUGGCACAUAGUGGUAAAGUAAAAAUAGGAGCAUGCAAUGGCACGUAGUGGUAAAGUAAAAAUAGGUAAACUUGAUCAUGCAAUGGCCUAUGGCCUAGCCUGCGUAUUGUUUGCAGCGUCAGACUGUUUUCUACAGCCCGACAUAGGCCUCUGCCACGGCAAACCUCUCAAUAAAUUAAUACAUCGCGGACAGAGGCCAAAGGGUUCAACGCUUCCUCCAACUUUAACAAGACAUUCCAAAAGUUAAAAAACAUAUGUAGAAUAUACAAAAGUUCCUCUUGUUGGGCAGGAUUUAAGGCUGUAAAACUGUGUGUGUCGAAUUUGUUACGUAAGAGCUUCUACAGCCGGAGCUCCCAUAUUCGUCCUAAACUUCUCAAAUUGCUUAACCAGAUCCCUCUGAGGUACUAUGGUAGCGUCUAAAGGCAAUUGAUAGUAAAACAUGUCACUAAUUGUCAAGCUACCAUCGGGCAGGCGAUCAGUGUGACACCCAUGCCGUAUCUUCAACGACAUCAUGAAGCUAUUGGGCGGCACCAACCUGUGCAAAGUAGCAUAGUGUAAGGGCAUAUUUAUCCCUAAGGUGUUUUGGUGAUUGAUGACAAUGCUUUUGCGGACUAAUCGUGUGCCUAGAGUUUCUCAGACGUUUCAUCGCUAGGCACAAGACGGUUUGGUGCCCCUCGAAGACUAUUGAAGACGGCAUUUUUCUACGUUUCUUUUCGGUGGAUUUGAGUCGUAGGAAAGCCGUACUAUUAAGAGGGGGUCCGCUUCGGAAAGGUCCGGGUGGAAUCAUCACGUACACGUUUUCUUCCUCUGCACCACCUUUCCCCUUGUGCUUUGGAGCAUCCUCCGUUUUCCUCAUUUCUAUGCAAAGAGAAGGAUUCCUAAGUGUUGCUGUUCUGGGGCAUGCGGUAGUACUGCUCUACGGAGCGGUAGUACCGCAUGCCCUUGCGGUAGUACCGCAAGCCUUUGCGGUAGUACUGUAGGCGCCCGCGGUAGUGCCGCUCCUACGGAGCCGUACUACCGUGGCCUCAAACCAGACUCAGUUGCUCGUGCGGCUGUAGGGGAAGAUGUAAUUUUUUACGUCCGCGCCCUAGGUGGUAGUACCGCCCCAUGCGCGCGGUAGUACCGUGAGUCCUGGUCUAGCACAGUUACAUGAGCGGAAGUAGGGGCGGAUGUACUUUUUUACAUCCGCUCCCUGCGCGGUAGUACCGCAUGCCAUGUGCAGUAGUACCGUGUUGGAUUUUUGAAUCGAUUGAUUUUCAGCGGAUGUAGGCCAUUCCUGCCUUGCGGUAGUACCGCAUGGGGGAGCGGUAGUACCGCGGCUGCGGCAGUACCGCCCUCAGCCACUAUGCUUCAGGCCUGACCUAGUUCCUGCCGUAGCAGCGAUAGUACCGCGGUCACUCGCGGUAGUACCGUGUGGCCUUGCGGUAGUACCGCUUGUCAGGGGCGGUAGUACCGCAGGUCGCGGGCUGGUUAAGUGGAUAACGGUUGGAUUUGGUUCUCCACUAUAUAAGUGGUGUCUUCUUCCUCUAGUUGACUACCUCUUCCAACCCUAAGCUCCAUUGUUGCUCCAAGCUCCACUUUCGCCCGAUCUCUCUCCCUAGCCAAUCAAACUUGUUGAUUUGCUCGGGAUUGGUUGAGAAGGCCCCGAUCUACACUUCCACCAAGAGAAAUUUGAUUCCCCCCACCAAUCCCUUGCGGAUCUUGUUACUCUUGGGUGUUUGAGCACCCUAGACGGUUGAGGUCACCGCGGAGCCAUAGUCCAUUGUGGUGAAGCUUCGUGGUGUCGUUGGGAGCCUCCAAUUAAGUUGUGGAGAUUGCCCCAACCUUGUUUGUAAAGGUUCGGUCGCCGCCUCCAAGGGCACCAAUAGUGGAAUCACGGCAUCUCGCAUUGUGUGAGGCGUGAGGAGAAUACGGUGGCCCUAGUGGCUUCUUGGGGAGCAUUGUGCCUCCACACCGCUCCAACGGAGACGUACUUCCCCUUAAAGGGAAGGAACUUCGGUAACACAUCCUCGUCUUCACCGGCUCCACUCUUGGUUAUCUCGUGCCUUUACUUGUGCAAGCUUAUUUGUGUUAUAUCUCUUGCUUGCUUAUGUGCUUAUUGUUGUUGCAUCAUAUAGGUUGCUCACCUAGUUGCAUAUCUAGACAACCUACUUUGAUGCAAAGUUUAAAUUGGUAAAGAAAAGCUAAAAAUAGUUAGUUGCCUAUUCACCCCCCUCUAGUCAACUAUAUCGAUCCUUUCAAUUGGUAGCAGAGCCUCUUCUCUUUAUUAAGGACUUUGCCGUCCGAAGAGUAUGGUUGACACCGCAGACAGUGCGGAGGAGCACUCCGGUGUGAAUCCAUUCUCGUCUACGGCCGAUGGGGGAACCGCAGUCUCUCGUGAGGAAUUCAAUGUGGCCUUGGACACAUUGAAGACCUCCAUGACGACCGAGGUCGAAAGCAUGUUUAAUAAAUACAUAGAAGGGCUUAAACUUCCACCGCACCGUUGAAAGUGGGUGAUCCCGCUAACAAGGAGACGAAUGCUACCUCCGACAAGGGGGAAGCUACUAGCGAGAAAUCUCCUUCUUCUAGUGGUAAAAAUGGCACCGACAUCUUUGCCCAUGUGGAACCUCCACUUGUGUUUGGUGGACCGCUUCCUUCCACUCAUUUGAAUCAUGCCGGCCCGGCCCCUAAGAUUGAGAAGAAUGUGGACUUUGAUUCUUGGGUCUAUCGCUUUAAGCGUCAUUUAAAUCAUGUGAAUAUUAAUCUUUGGAGAGUCAUUGAAGAAGGUUUCUAUCCGCAUGACCGAAGCAACUUCACUCCUAGAGAAGCCGUGGAUAAUCAAUUCAAUGAGAAUGCUCUAUUCAUCAUCCAAGAAGCGAUUCCACCCGAAGAUCUUCCUCAUCUCCGGCCCUACUCCAUGGCCAAAGAUGCUUGACACCAAGUUGUUUCUCUCUACCGAGGAAGUGCAAGCAUUCAACGCUCAAACUAUGAAGUGGUGCAAGAUGAAGCCGAUGAGUUUGCAAUGAAAGAAGAUGAAAAACCUCAUGAGCUUUAUCGGAGGGUAACCAAACUCGCGGUUUCACUCCGAGAUCAUGGAAGCAAGGACACGGAUGACAAUUGGAUCAAGCGUAAAUUCCUCAAGGCAAUGAUGCCUUACCACAAGGCCAUGUCCUCCGUCAUUCGUCAAAGGCCGGACUUCCACACCUUGUCCUCAAGUGAAGUGUUGGAUGAGUUCGUUGCUAUGAGCAUCUUGGACAAGACCGCCGACAAUGUGGUGCUACGGUCUCAAAGAGUAAAGAAGCCCAACCUUGCACUAAAGGCCAAGGUUAAUGUGGAGGAGGAGGACGAAGAGGAAGAAGAGGAGAGCAACCCCGAAGAUACAAAUUAUGCCUAUCAUGAACACAUGGCUCUUGCCUCAAGGCAAUUUUGGAGCAAGAAGAACUCAAGGCCCAACUUCAACAAGAACAAUUCAAGUGGCGCAAGGGUCAAGCAACGUGUGAGGACUUGCUAUAAUUGUGGCAAUGUGAGCCACUUUGUUGCGGAGUGCCCGUAUGAGAAGAGGGAAGACAAUGGUGGCAAGCUCAUCCGAAAGGACAAAGCCAAGUCUUUCCCCAACAAGAACAACUUCACCAAGAAGACUCCUCCCAAGGCAUUGGUGGUACAAGAAGAGUAUAUUGAGGAUGAAGAUGAUGAUGAAGAUGGUGAGUCGGUUGCCAUGGCCUCGGUUGCCAUUGCGACGACUCCACGGGUGUCAGUCUUCGACUCACCCAAUGAGAACAUCACCGCCAAGUGCCUCAUGGCUAAAGCCACCAACAAGGUAACCCCCAACAUCAAAACUACCAUCAUUAAUCAUCCUUCUUUGACGGAUUGCAUUGAUGAACAUGAGGGAUCUAGUGUGGAGGAGAAUGAGUUUGAGUCUUUUAUGAACAGACUCAAAGGUAAACCCAAGAAGCACUUCGUUGCUCUCUUGGAACAACUUGGUGAAGCCAAUGACAUGAUCGAGGCUCACGAAGAUACCAUCUCUAAGAUGGAGGGGCAUAGUCGUGACUAUGCUGAUGAGAUUUCGGAUCUUUCCAAUGCUCUUGAAGAAGAGUGUGGUCUUCGUUUGGCUCUUGAGGAGUCACACAACGAUGAUCAUGCUAAAUUAAAGAAAGAUCUUGAUCAUGCUCUUGUUGUUUCUCGUGUGCUCAAUUCCGAGAAAGCCAAGCUUGGGGUUGAUCUUGCUAGACUCAAAGAGGAGUUUGACAUACUUGACAAGGCUCACAAAGUCUUGAAGGGUGCUCAUGCUAGCCUCAAGGAGUCUCAUGAUCAACUCCAAGUAAAGCUAACCAAGGAGAAAGCCACAUUUCCUCAUAUGGUGUUAAUUGAUAAUGCAAAUGCUACUAACCCUUGUUGUGAGCAUGUGCAUCUUGUUGAGGAGAAUUCUAAGUUGAAAGAGCAACUUGAGAAAGGCCUUGUGUCGUGCAUUCAAGGUGAGAAGAACCUCAACGACCUUUUGAGCAAUCAAAAGGAAGUUGUGGCCAAGGAAGGGAUUGGGUUCGCACCCAUGCCCAAGAACAAGAAGAAGACUGACAAGACCAAACGACCUCCCCCUCUCAAACAAACCUUUUUGAAGGAGGGAGAGGGUGCUUCCAAGGAGAAGAAGAGCAAUGUGAAGGGUGGUGGUGUCAAGACAGGCAAUGCCACCCCUUCCAACAAAGCCGGCGACUUUAACCCUUCUUAUGUUUUGUGUCGUGCUAGUGAUGGGCAUGUUUAUGCCAAAUUUGUUGGUUCUCCUCAUGAGUAUAUUGAAUAUUUGGGUUCCGAAGACCCUUGUCACUAACAUCAAAGGACCCAUUACAAAAUGGGUACCUAAAACCAAGCAUUGAUCUCUUGUAGGUGUUUGCUUCCGGUGGGGGAUCAUGGUUGCUCGAUAGUGGAGCUACAAAUCAUAUGACCGGAAGCAAGGACUUGGUGGUGGACGUGCACAAGAUUCCAUCUAUGCCCACCAACGUCAAGUGGGGUGAUGCCUCAUCUUCUAAGGUAUUGGGACUCGGCAAGGUUGUCAUUUCUCAUGAUCUCACGAUCGAGAAGGUCAUGCUUGUUGAGUCCCUUGCAUACAAUUUACUUUCCAUUCGUCAACUUGCAAUCAUGGGCUUUUCCACCUUCUUUGAUAUUGAUACCGUGGCCCUCUUGUGGAGAAAGACUCUUAAAGUAGCCUUUGUUGGGGCAUGUCGAGAAUGGUCUAUAUGUGAUUAACUUUUUGGAGCGACCCACUAAGACCGCGACAUGCCUAAUGGCUAAAGUUGACGUGGGAUGUCUUUGGCAUCGCCGUUUAGCCCAUGUCAAUAUGAGAUCUUUGCAAAGUCUUCUCAAGGGGGGCCAUGUUCGUGGACUAACAAAUGUUAGUUUUGCUAAAGAUCGUGCUCGCAAUGCUUGUAUUGAAGGGAAGCUACAUGAGAAGGCUCACCCUCCCACGACUAUCAUUUACUCGAAGAGGCCUUUGGAGAUCCUUCACUUGGAUCUCUUUGGGCCUCCAUCCUUUGAUAGUCUUGGGGGUAGAAAGUAUUGCUUUGUGAUUGUGGAUGACUAUUCAAGAUACACAUGGGUAUAUUUCUUCAAGAGGAAGAGCGAGACCCAACAAACUGUCAUUAACUUUGCAAAUGAAGCCCAACGUCAACACAAUGCAAAGAUCUUGACUAUAAGAAGCGACAACGGCACCGAGUUCAAGAACUACACCUUGGAUGAGUUCCUUAGUGAUGAGGGGAUCAAGCAUCAAUAUUUCGCACCAUACACCCUUCAACAAAAUGGUGUAGCGGAGAGGAAGAACCGGACGUUGAUGGAUGCGGCAAGGACCAUGAUGGCGGAGUUCAAGUCUCCAUAUAACUUUUGGGCCGAAGCCAUCGACACCGCGUGUCAUGCAUCCAAUCGGCUCUACCUCCGCAAGGGAUUGAACAAGACUCCAUAUGAGAUACUCACCGGUAACAAGCCCAACCUCAAGUACUUUCGGGUGUUCGGGUGUAAGUGUUUCAUUCUCAAGAAAGGUGUUCGUUUGUCUAAAUUUGAGGCUAGAGCUUAUGAGGGCAUAUUUGUUGGUUAUGCUACAAACUCUCAUGCUCACCGUUUCCUCAAUAAGUCCACGGGACUUAUUGAAGAGACAUGUAACGUGGAGUUUGAUGAGAAUAACGGCUCCCAAGUGGAGCAAAGUGGCACUUGUGAUGUAGGUGAUGAAAUUCCUCCUCAAGCCAUAAGAAGAAUGGGAGUUGGGUUUAUCCUACCCAUUAAGGAACCCCUUGUGGCCGAAGGAGAAGGACAAUGCUCCACUCAAGUGGAGCCAUCACCAACCCAAGGCCCACACGCUUCCGAAGAACAAAGUGAAGGCCCUCAACCUCAUGAACAUGACCAAGGGCAAGAUCAACCUCAAGACGGUGUUGAGUCACCAUGUGAUGCCCAAGGUCAAGUUCCCUCCUCCGAGCAAGUUCAAGAUCAAGAGCAAGAUCAAGAUAAAGAACAAGCUCAAGACGACACUCAAGAUGAUCAAGUGACCGCUCCUCAACUCACCUCCGAGGAGGAAUUGGAGCGUCGUGCCGCAAAGAUUGCAUCCAAGCUCUCUACCAAGGGUCAUCUUAUGAAGAAUGUGCUUGGAAGCAUUCAAAAGGGGGUAAGCACUCGUAGACAAUUGGCAAACUAUUGUGAACAUCACGCGUUUGUCUCUUGUGUUGAACCCCAAAAGGUAUAUGAGGCACUCGAAGAUCCGGAUUGGCUUAAUGCCAUGCAUGAAGAACUCAACAACUUCGAGUACAACAAGGAGUGGAGAUUGGUGCCAAGGCCAACGGGGAACCACAAUGUCAUUGGAACCAAGUGGAUAUUCAAGAACAAGCAAGAUGCUCAUGGGACCAUUGUUCGCAACAAGGCAAGGUUGGUGGCACAAGGCUACUCCCAAGUCGAGGGUAUCGACUACGGUGAAACCUUUGCUCCCGUUGCUCGCCUUGAAUCCAUUCGUUUGUUGAUUGCUUAUGCUUCUCAUCACAACUUUAAGUUGCAACAAAUGGAUGUGAAAAUGCUUUCCUUAAUGGUCCUAUUAAUGAGUUGGUAUAUGUCAAGCAACCCCCCCCGGGUUCGAGGAUCCCUACUUUCCCGAUCAUGUGUAUCAACUCUAUAGGGCACUCUAUGGCCUUAAACAAGCCCCACGUGCGUGGUAUGACCACCUUACCGAGUUGUUACAAGACUGUGGAUUUGAAGUUGGGCUAAUCGACCCCACUCUUUUUACUAAGAAGGUCAAAGGGGAGUUGUUUGUGUGCCAACUAUAUGUUGAUAAUAUUAUCUUUGGCUCCUCUAACAAAGCUUUCAAUGAGGAAUUUGCCGCUCUCAUGACCUCAAAGUUCAAGAUGUCUUCCAUGGGAGAGUUGAAGUUCUUUCUCGGUUUCGAAGUGAAGCAAAGAAGAGAAGGAACCUUCAUCAACCAAGCCAAAUACACUCAAGACAUGCUCAAGAGAUUCAAGCUAAGUGAUGUCAAGCCGGCUUCCACUCCAAUGCCCACCAAGUGCCAACUUGACAUUGAUCCCAAUGGUAAAGCGGUGGAUCAAAAGGUAUAUCGGUCCAUGAUUGGAUCCUUGCUUUACCUUUGUGCAUCUAGACCGGAUAUCAUGUUGAGUGUGGGAACUUGUGCACGGUUUCAAGCCGUACCUAAGGAAAGACACUUUGUGGCGGUCAAGCGAAUCUUUCGAUAUUUGGCUCAUACCCAAACUUUGGCUUAUGGUACCCAAGAGGAGCAAACUUCAAGCUUGUAGGGUAUUCGGACUCCGAUUGAGCGGGAGACAAAGUGGAUAGGAAGUCCACUUCCAGAGGGUGCCAAUUUCUUGGUUGCUCUUUGGUGAGUUGGUAUUCCAAGAAGCAAAGUUGUGUGUCUCUCUCGUCCACCGAAGCGGAGUAUGUGGCUGCCGACAGUUGUGGUGCACAACUUUUGUGGAUGAGGCAAACUUUAAAGGAUUAGGGUGUCACUUGUGACAAAGUGCCUCUUUGGUGUGACAAUGAAAGUGCCAUCAAGAUUUCUCUUAACCCGGUGCAACACUUCAAGACGAAGCAUAUUGAGAUUCGGUAUCACUUCAUCCGGGAUCACAUUAGGCGAGGGGAGAUCGAGCUCAACUAUGUCAACACUCAUGAUAACCUUGCAGAUAUUUUCACGAAGCCUUUAGAUGAAGCAAGAUUUCGCGAGUUAAAGCAUGAGCUAAAUAUCAUUGACUCGAGCAAUGUUGCUUGAAUCCUUGCACACCCCACCAUACUCAACUUGUUGUCUCGUUUAGAUGUAGGCAUGGACAUAGGGGGAGUGUUGUUCUCUCAAUGAAAUCUCCCUCCCCCAUUAUGCAUAAAUUGAUCAACUCUUUCACAUUAGCCAUUUUUUAUGGUACUUGUGCUUCAAAGACGAGUUUUGGUCACGGGCCCAAGGAUAAUCCUUCGUGGUGCCAUACCAAUUGACUCAAACAUAGGUGGCUCCGGCCACCGCCCUCUCCUUGGAGAGGUUGUGUCUCGUGGUUGGUCCUUGUUGUUUCUUGCCUUUCUUUCUUCGUGCUGAGCGUGUUCUAGUGGUGUCUCGUUCGCUUGAAGUUUCCUUGCAAAGACCCUUUUUCUUUCGUUCGGAACUUGCAUCUUCUUCAGCUCACGGUACUACCGCGGCCUGCCACGGUACUACCGCGUGUGGAGCGCACGGUACUUCCGCACCCAGCACGGCAGUAAUUUUUUACUACCGCCUGGGGGAGCGGUACUACCACUUCGGUGCGGUACUUCCGCCCGAGCGGUACUACCGCGAUGAGAUGCGGUACUACCGCGCUGACGAGUGCGCGUGGGGGUUAAGACUCGGGCAGGGGGAGUUCGAACUCCCCCAUACCCAUUCGUCUGUUUCUCUCCCCCGCCGCCUCUCUCUCCUCCUCAAGAACGGCGCCGGAGACCCUCGCCGGAUCUCCGUCUCCGGCCGCUCUCCUCGGAUUCCGACCGGUGGGAUCGUUCCCCACCACUUCCUCUUGCCAUGGAACAAGGUUUCUCCCCAAAUCCCUCUCUCUUUUGUUCGUUCCUUUGCCUCUAGGUUUUAGGGGAGAUGCAUGUGUUCUUGAGAUUUUAGGCUAAAUCUAUGCAAGAGUAGGAUGUAGGAGAGUAGUGUUGCGUAGAAACUAUACUUGAUAUGUUGUCCCGUUGUAGAUUUGAUCAACCGUAGUACCGCCUCAUUUUCGCGGUUGUUCUCAAAUUCAAAGUGGUUCAGAUCUGACGUCGUGCGGUACUACCGCACCUCUGGUGCAGUACUACCGCUUGUGUGGUACUACCGCACCUCUGGUGCGGUACUACCGCCCGUCAGGUGCGGUACUACCGCGCGAGCCGUGGUACUAAGGUCCUACUACCGCUCCGAGCCCCAGUACUACCGCGCCUUCACGCGGUACUACCGCGACUAGGAGCGGUACUAAAAUUUUAGUACCACACGAACUGGUAGUACUACCGUUGUUGUCCAAUCUUCUUCUUAGCAAUUACCACGUAUGCUUUCUACUUGUUUCCCUUGUCUUGCUGAGGUCUAUGCAUUGAUUCUUCUCGCUUUUUUGUGUGCUUUUUGCUUUGUGUCUUAGGUGGUGGCUCCGGUGCUCCUGCUCGCCAUUCUAAUCCCAGUCGUGACACUGGCUCCAAGCGUCUGCGCAAUCAAGAUGAAGCUCCAGAGGGAUCCAGUGCCCCCAAGCGCAAUGUCAAGUCCUCCGCUAGCAAGUACAAGGAACCCACAAAGGGAAUGGACGAGAUACCUCUUUCUGAGUUUAUCCCUCAAAGGCAGAUCAACCCGUAUGUGAAUGUCCGUGCUAUCUUCAGAGGCAAUGACCUGUUUUGGACCAAGCAGCAGACCCUCAUCUACCUGGAUGUGAUUAAGGCCAAGCAAAACACCUAUGUGGAUGUCAAGUGGAUUGACAUGAAUCACAUGAGGCAGGACAAGCACCGUGCUUACUUUGGAGAGGCUCUGGACUUGGUGGAGCAGUUUGGCAUUGAACAUGUGAUCUCCUUCCACCUGGACUUUGACCCUGAGAAUAUUUGCCAGUUCUUUGCCUCAGUUCACUUUCACUCUGGGGAGGAUCGAAGGAUGACCUGGAUGACCAAUGGACGUCAGUUGACUGCUACCUGGAAGGACUUCAUGGAUUUGCUCCACGUACCUAAUGAGGGGCUCAACACACCCGUUGGUGUUCGCCCUCAUGCCAACCCUGAGUCAGCCAGCAAGAACAAGCUCCAGCAGUAUAAUGUUGCGAAGACACUUCCCAGUGGCAAGACGACGUGGGUGCUGAACCCAUUUCUGGACAUCAUGUAUCGCAUCUUCCGCAACUCUCUUUUCCCUCGCAUUGGUGACAAGUACAAGGUACAUGCCUAUCUGGUGGAUAUGAUGCUCCUGUGCGAGGAGGCGCGUGUGUCUCAGUCUCAACCACUUGAUGUCUCACAUAUCAUGUGGUGUGAGCUUCGGUUCGCGGUGUUCAACCGCAAGGUACCCAUCUAUGGACCGUACCUGUUUCUGUUGAUCUCCAAGACUUGGGAGAAGCUGUUCUCCGGUGAUGAGUUUCUUGCUCCAGACUGGAUUCGUCAUGAGUCCACCAGUCUCCGUGUCAAGCCCAAGUGGGCCAACACUACUACUCGUGCUGAGGCGACUAUUGCUCAGAGGGUUGUUGAUGGGGAGGAGGCUGAGGCGGAGGAUGCUGGUUAGGACCGUGCUGCUGGGUUUGCCCCUCGCUUCUCUGAGCCCUCGUGGGCCAAGAAGCUGAAGGACAAGAUGAAGACUCUGUUUUGCAUGCAAGCAAAGGGGCAAUACAGGACUCACGUGGCCUCCAAGGAGAGUCGCCGCCGCGACAAGAAGAUUAUGAAGGUCUUUGGAGAGGAAGUCUCUGGCGGUUCUGAGGAGGUCAUCACUCCAGAGGCUGAGUGGAUGGCUAAGAAAGGUUUCAAGUGGACUGAUUCUGAGGAGGACAUCAAGGAGACCGUCCCCGCUGCCGAGUCUGACGAGGAGCGUUGGAGUGAUUACUCUGCCUGAGCCACCCCUUGUGUGUAGGUGUCCUCUCUGCCUUUUUGGCAUCUCGAUGCCAAAGGGGGAGAGAGUGUAGGAUUUACGAGUCGUUUUUUCGUAUUGCUUCGUUUGUGUUUGUUCAGUUGAACCUCGUUUGCUUUGGUUUGAUUUUCGCUUGUGAGACUUAUCCUUCAUAUGGUGUAAGACAUAUGCACUCUAUCUUAUCUUAGUGAGCUUAUGAUAUAUUGUGCUACUUAUGUUAUGCUCUUGUUUGCUAUCUUGCUUAGUGUUAGCCUUACUAUUGCAAGAUAUUCCUUGUCUAUAAAAUAUAGGGGGAGUGUUGAUCCUAGUAUGUGUGCCGUGCAGUCCAAAGCACCUAUCUAGAUUGCACACAUCUAGGGGGAGCCCGUCUAUAUUUUAGAGAGGAGGGGUUUGCGUAUGCUCUAUAUUAUUUCCCUUUGUGCAAAUCCCGUAUUGUCAUCAAUCCCCCAAAAAGGGGGAGAUUGUAACGGCAUAUUUAUCCCUAAGGUGUUUUGGUGAUUGAUGACAAUGCUUUUGCGGACUAAUCGUGUGCCUUGAGUUUCUCAGACGUUUCAUCGCUAGGCACAAGACGGUUUGGUGCCCCUCGAAUACUAUUGAAGACGGCGUUUUUCUACGUUUCUUUUCGGUGGAUUUGAGUCGUAGGAAAGCCGUACUAUUAAGAGGGGGUUCGCUUCGGAAAGGUUCGGGUGGAAUCAUCACGUACACAUUUUCUUCCUCUGCACCACCUUUCCCCUUGUGCUUUGGAGCAUCCUCCGUUUUCCUCAUUUCUAUGCAAAGAGAAGGAUUCCUAAGUGUUGCUAUUCUGGGGCAUGCGGUAGUACUGCUCUACGGAGCGGUAGUACUGCAGGCCCUUGUGGCAGUACCACAAGCCUUUGAGGUAGUACCGUAGGCGCCCGCAGUAGUACCGCUCCUACGGAGCCGUACUACCGUGGCCUCAGACCAGACUCAGUUGCUCAUGCGGCUGUAGGGGCGGACGUAAUUUUUUACGUCCGCGCCCUACACGGUAGUACCGCCCCAUGCGCGCGGUAGUACCGUGAGUCCUGGUCUGGCACAGUUACAUGAGCGGAAGUAGGGGCGGAUGUACUUUUUUACAUCCGCUCCCUGCACGGUAGUACCGCAUGCCAUGUGCGGUAGUACCGUGUCAGAUUUUUGCAUCGAUUGAUUUUCAGCGGAAGUAGGCACGGAUGUAUUUUUAUUCAUCCGCGCCCUUCCCAGGCUAGGCCAUUCCUGCCUUGCAGUAGUACCGCAUGGGGGAACGGUAGUACCGCGCCUGCGGCAGUACCGCCCUCAGCCUCUGUGCUUCAGGCCUGACCUAGUUCCUGCCGUAGCAGCGGUAGUACCACGGUCACUCGCGGUAGUACCGUGUGGCCUUGCGGUAGUACCGCUUGUCAGGGGCGGUAGUACCGCAGGUCGCGGGCUGGUUAAGUGGAUAACGGUUGGAUUUGGUUCUCCACUAUAUAAGGGGUGUCUUCUUCCUCUAGUUGACUACCUCUUCCAACCCUAAGCUCCAUUGUUGCUCCAAGCUCCACUUUCGCCCGAUCUCUCUCCCUAGCCAAUCAAACUUGUUGAUUUGCUCGGGAUUGGUUGAGAAGGCCCCGAUCUACACUUCCACCAAGAGAAAUUUGAUUCCCCUCACUAAUCCCUUGCGGAUCUUGUUACUCUUGGGUGUUUGAGCACCCUAGACGGUUGAGGUCACCGCGGAGCCAUAGUCCAUUGUGGUGAAGCUUCGUGGUGUCGUUGGGAGCCUCCAAUUAAGUUGUGGAGAUUGCCCCAACCUUGUUUGUAAAGGUUCGGUCGCCGCCUCCAAGGGCACCAAUAGUGGAAUCACGGCAUCUCGCAUUGUGUGAGGGCGUGAGGAGAAUACGGUGGCCCUAGUGGCUUCUUCGGGAGCAUUUUGCCUCCACACCGCUCCAACGGAGACGUACUUCCCCUCAAAGGGAAGGAACUUCGGUAACACAUCCUCGUCUUCACCGGCUCCACUCUUGGUUAUCUCGUGCCUUUACUUGUGCAAGCUUAUUUGUGUUAUAUCUCUUGCUUGCUUAUGUGCUUGUUGUUGUUGCAUCAUAUAGGUUGCUCACCUAGUUGCAUAUCUAGACAACCUACUUUGAUGCAAAGUUUAAAUUGGUAAAGAAAAGCUAAAAAUAGUUAGUUGCCUAUUCACCCCCCCCCCUCUAGUCAACUAUAUCGAUCCUUUCACAUAGCAUGACCACACUAUUCGAAACACAAAAGGGGAAUCACAAAACAACACAAGACAAUGGUUGAUUUCUUUACCAAAUGGGAGAAAUGCCACUUUCAACGGGCUCUAGAGGGCGUCGUCCCUUGCCGCCGAGAUCCGGGUGAAUGGAGGCCGUGGAAGCAACGAGGCGGUGACAGAUCUACGAAAGGAUAUGACUCAAAGUGGUGGGGAAAAGGGUGUCUAACAACAAAAUUUAGGGACGUGUCACUAUCGAGCACUGCAAGUGAGCCCACAGUGGGGAAAGGCACGCAUCGGAGGGGCAAAAUGGGAAUUAUGGCCCCAACGGCGGGCCCCCACAUCGACGGACACUCAAAGAGUCUUGUCGCCAAUAUUGGUUGGCCCACAUCAGAGUGGCCUGCACUUUCAUCGGAGGGGCCCACACUUUCAUCGGAGGGGCCCACACAUCGCUCGAAAGGGUCAAUAGAUUCUCCUCGUGGCUGCAGUUGAUGUGGUGAAGUGGUGGGUCCAAAAUGGAAGGAAACAACGCAAAGUUGACGGCAACCGAUGGAGAUGACGUGCAGUAUCAUACACCUAUUUUUUUCACAAUGGUUAGUGCCCAGACCGAAAUACAGAAGAUUGAGUGGCAGGACUCGAAUAUGCAACUUUGGCGGUGGCACAGAUCGGUUCGUCCCAAAAAUAUAAUAUGAAAACUUUUUCAUGAUGGGUUUGAGGAUAUUGAUUGCUACCGUACAUGUUAAUAUUUCCUUCUUAUAAACCAGAUCAAAGUGUAAUCAACAAAACUGAUAUGCACUCUAUUCUGAAAUGAGGGGAGUAAGCCCUAUCUAUAAGACAACAUGACCGUGCCUAUUGAUGAUUUUUCGGUAUACUAGCAAUGACAUUUCAUAGGAUUUAAUCCCUCUAUUCCUAAAUAUAAGUCUAUUUAGAGAUUUCAGAGCAAAAUGAGUGAAUCUACAUUGUAAACUAUGUCUAUAUACAUCCGUAUGUAGUUCAUAUUGAAAUGUCUAAAAAAGACUUAUAUUUAGGGAUGGAGGAACUAUUUGGCAUUUAUUUGGAGAAGGAUAGCCAUUAUCCAAAGAAAAAUGAAACAUAUCAUUUAAUGACAUUAAUUGGAUAAGGAUAACCUUGAUGCCGCCACAUCUAUAUAAGGCGACUGAACGGUACCCCUCGUGACCACAAAAACAUACUGGUUGACAGACUAUUGCAUAACUAUAUAUUUUCUGUUGUUUUGUUCUUGGGCAAUGGCGAACAAUGGCAUCUUCCAAGUGAUCAUUGUUUUUCUCAUGGCGCAAGUCUGCUUGCUCAUGAUAAUGGCAGCACCGGUAGCACAUGCAGCUGCUAGACCGGUGGGGUACAAUCCAGUGUGCUGCCCUAGGAACAUCUAUUGUUGCGGGUUCGCUAGCGGAUUGGCCAAUUCACCCGCACCAUCCAUUGUAUCUUGAUGUGUGGCUUUAUUCUCCCCCAAGUAGUAAGCUUAACAUAUAAAUGAUAUAUGUGGUUCAUGUGUUACCUAAUCCUAAAUUUUUGUGAUGCUACUUUCAAGAAGUUAUUGUACUAGUUACUUACAUAAUUAAAUGGGAGGAGAUUAUUAUAUAUCUUGUUCGGAAUAUAGCGCAAAGAGACUAGCUUAUGUUUACUUUAGUCCUUUUGAAAACCAGAUUAUUUUGCCGCAUUGAUUUAAGAAGAAGAAAAAAUAGUGGCCAAGCAUACACGUUGACCUGAUGAGUCUGUAGUGCGUUCCUUUGGGAAUCUCUGUUUUAUCAUUCUGUUGGUCGUACAUUGUGUCAAGAUCGUCCGUGUCAUGGCGACAUGCUUUAUUUUCGCAGAGAACAUAAUUUUUUAAAGCAUUUAUGGGGUAAUGGAGUAUAUCGCCAAUUAGUAGAAACCAACUACUAUUGACAGGCUUGUUUGUGAAUUCAGGGAUGCACAAUGUUUCGUUUUGCAUGAAUGCCAAGGUCAUGUAUUAAAAUGGUCUCGUCCCCGACGGCGGUAGAUCCGGGCCAGGAUCAAAGCAGGUGCCAAGGACUUGAUUGCUUUUUAGUUUCGUCCUUUGGGGUCCUAUUUGCAAAGUUUCUCACCUGGACUGUAAUUUCUACUUUCUGUUGGGUCCUUUUGUAAAAUGUUGCAUGCUUAUCUAAUUUAACUCUGGGCUCUUCCCGAGUUCAAAAAAAAUUAAAAUGGUCCAACCCUUACAACACCAUCCUUCCAAAAGCAUAAAAUAAAACACAUACCCUCGUGUAUAUCAACGACGUCUUUCUCCCGCACUUGCACCUCAUUGGCAAAGCUCGAUAUUGCAUUUGGAUAUCCAAAACACCCUCAGAGCCAGGGUAAACCACUCUCUGCGUGUGCUCAAUUCCUCAGAAAACAAUCAAAAAAUCAUAUAUGAAUACAACUCUUUGCUCUUUGACGGAACACAGAAGGAUUGUUUGUUGUGGAUCCUAUAUGUGUAAUCUAUCUAUCUAUACUAUACCAAUUAAAGAGUUCUCAGAAACUCCAACGAUUAAUCAAAAAUUACGAACCAUUCAUCUGGUGGGACCGAGUUUGGCACAAGGUCUGGCCAAGAACUGGAAAAGGGAAGGGAAAUGGACGGAAACUAAAGUGAAGGUAGAGGAUCAGUAGACAAAGAGAACUGAAGGCCCUGUCCUGAGCUACCCACUAAGCUUAGGCGGUUUCGAUAGUAGAUGCAGUUUUUUUAUUACCAACCGCCUCCAAUACUUACUGCAAGCGGUUAUGCUGUUCUAACCGCCUCCGGUGUACAUAUUACACGCGACGUCGUUCUAUUUGAUCACAAUCACUUGUGGAGGCUGCUUCUAAUGCCCGUUUUCUAUUAGUAGAUGUUGGUUUCGUGCGUCAACUUGUGAUGAUUGCUUUGUUUAUGGCCGCCUUCGGUGAAGUCAAAGUCGCUGGAUCUAGGGCGAUAAGUGAUGAUGAUGGUUGCUCUUUCCGGUUGUGUCUGGAGUACGUCUACGUUGGUAGCUAGAUUGGCCGCUGCCAUGUGUAUUGUUAUGUUCCAUGAUGAUAGUCUGUUGGGUGUAUUGUUACGGUUUUUGCCAAUUUUCCUGCAUUAAUACGGGGAAAAUCUUCUGUCUCGUUUUUUUAAUUUUUGCAAAUUAACUAACUAGUAUCAUGUAAUACGGGGAAUGACGCCAGCCAAACAAACAAAGGUUUUGCACCGAACCACUUGCGGAAUUGGCCUGAUUGCGGUGAGCACCCGCCACACACAAACAGAGUGCAUGCGGACUGACACUACACUCACACACAUUCUCCUACCUACGUGUUUAAGUAGACUACGAUGACGACGCCAAGGGCAGCACGCUGACCGCGCUAGUUUUUUUUAAUGUUUAAGUAGACUUUGGCCGACAGUUGACCGGUCAUUAAUGUUCAAUUAUGUUUAUUUCGGCCGCGUGGUUUCGGAACUUCUGCUUUCUUUUUGACACGGGUGAAAAUGGGUCGGCCAUCCGUCAGAUGCACCAGCCGACUUAAGCCAGAAAGCGGACGCGUCCAUCUGCUCGAUUAAUCCAAACGGACAAAAGGCGGAUAAAACACACAUCCUUGGCUGUGCGCGUUGGAAUUGCCCUAACGUACUCCGGUGAAGGACGCCAGCCAAACAAACAAUGGUUUUGCGCCGAACCACUGGCGGAAUUGGCCUGAUUGCCGACGCGGCUAGCCGAGCUAGCUAGGCCGAAAACAGGGCGCACCCGCCCACACAGAAACGGAGUGCACACUGACUGACACUGUACUCACGCACAUGCUCCUACCUACGGUACGUGUUAUCCUAAGAUGCGCUGCCAACCCCGAUGGAUCGAUCGAUGCCUCCUCUUUAUCCUGUGCAGAGUGUAGUGGAGCGCCCGCCCGUCACGUGCUCCGCUUUCCAUAAGACGAACGACAACGAGCCGCCGCCACCUGUUCUCUGCCGCAGCGCCGGCCAUCCCGCCCGCCCGCCGCUCGUCUCAAAACCGCGGUCUCGCUUCCCACCGAAUCAAAUCGCCUUUCUCCCCGCCCGCUGGUUGCGCGGUUUCCUGCAACCUAUAAAAAUUCAGCCGGAGAACCGCACCUGUCCAUCCAUCUCAUCUCACCUCACUCACACUACUACUGAUAUCAGCUAGGAGUACUCGAGUUCACUAGCUACCAGUUCGCUUCCUUCCUUCGGCACCAGACUCUCUCCCACGAAGAUGCCUACGGUGACCCGUGCCUACCUCGACCAGAGGCUCGCCGUCGCCAACCGCUGCUCCAAAGGUAACCAAAACCAAGCGGUUCUCCAGGCCACAUUGCAGCUUUACGUACUGUCUCUUGCUGAAACUUUGGUCGUCACUAACACAUGUCUGCGUUGAUCUGGAACUGCAGAGGCUGCCAUGGCUGGAGCCAAGGCCGCGGCCGUCGCCACCGUCGCUGCCGCAGUCCCCACUGUAAGUACACGUUUCUCAUCCGGCACGGCUGUCUUGCAAACAUACAACAAUCAUGCAUCUCAGUCUCACCGUCUUCUUCUUCCGAGCCUUUCUCUGCAGCUGGCGAGCGUGAGGAUGCUGCCGUGGGCGAGAGCGCACCUGAACCCCACCGGGCAGGCCCUCAUCAUCUCCACCGUCGCCGGGAUGGCCUACUUCAUCGUGGCCGACAAGACCAUCCUCUCCAUGGCCAGGAAGCACUCCUUCCAGAACGCGCCGGACCACCUCAAGAACACCUCCUUCCACUGAUUAGGCAGUAGAUCCUGUAGUAUAAUGUCUGCUGAAUCCACCAUGGGUAGUGCGCAAUAAACUUCACGCCGACCCGUACGGCCGUACGUGUCUGCUGAAUGAUACAGUAGUAUAAUGUUCAGCGAGAGAGGCGAGGCGAUGCAGAUCAGGCCUUGCGCUUCUAUCCGUGCAAGCACUUAUCGGAUGAUGAAGUUACCAUGUAACCCAGCCAGUAUUUUCUUGAAUUAAUGAAUACCAGUAUUUGUACAAUUCUGGUUCAUCUGCCAUCACUACUCAUCUUACAUGUGCCAGAGCAUGCAAAAAAGACUAAGCUAAGGGCAUCUCCAACGCCGGCCCCUAAAAGAAUAUAUUUGUACAAGUCUGGUUCAUCUGCCAUCACUCAUCUUACAUGUGCUAGAGCAUGAAAAAAGAGCCAACUAAUUAAUGGUAUCUCCAACGCCGGCCCCUAAAAGGGACACAAUAUCCGUUUACGAGCCGGCCAUCCAACGCUAAUCCAUUAAACGUCCAGACACAUUUCAAAUAGACUUUAAACAAACUAGAUAAGUUUAUACAAACCGAACGAUUUUCAUUCAAACUGGAUGAAAUUCAUUACAUUUUAGAUACAUUUCAACUAAACAAAAGCAAAUAACACUUUUUAACCCAGUCUAAAUAUUCGUCAGUCCUGGAGGCCUCCGUGUUCCACAUGAUGUCUUUACCAUGUCUGGCAAGUUCAAUGGCCGCAAACUAUUGUGAAGUGAAGUUGUCGGAGGGGAAGAAUAUGACAUGGGACACGAGACUUGCCCACAUCUGUGUCCCACCUCCUACUCUUCCCGGCCAGAGUUCAUCCUGUGGACGUUGCCGGACAUGGAUGGAUCGGCCUCGUGGCCGUUGCGGUUGGGCACUAACUGUGCUAGCGGCGCGAUCAACGCGGAACUGGCGAUGUCCGUGAUUUUUGUGCCUCCUCUUCGUCCGCCUCCACCUCGAUCUCUGUGAGCAGGGCGUUAGUCUCCUCCUGCUAGACGCACUGCUGCCAUCGCUCGCGAGGGAUGUCGUGAACUGCGGCCAACGACCAUGAGGCUUGUCCACCCGGCAUUUCCGACAUGGAGGUUGUCUCAUCUCCAACGACAAGUAAAACUAGGAUAGUUUGAUCUAUGUAUGAUAUAGUAGGUGGUUUAAUUUUACGUUCCAUCAUGGAGUAUCAAAAAAGUCGAGGGUGAGAUUUGAGGUUUGUGGUUGCAGCGAGAGAUAAAUGAAGGGUGAGCGGGCUCUGUCCGCAGAUACGUCCGGAUGCAUUUGCGAACAUAUGGGGUCACUUUUGAAAUAUGCAGCUGUAGAUGUUGUAACAUUACCAAGAUUUCAACGGAAUUGAAUCGGGAUGCCUUUUUGUGUGGAAAAAUAUGCAGCUGUAGUUUCCUACCUCUUCAUCAUUUUUUUGCAGGAAAGGCUGAAAUAAAUCCAGAAAAAUGCAAACACUAAUGUCAAAUCUAUAAUUUGAAUCUUGGUGGGCUGGGAUACCACCGUCCUCCAAAUAACCACAGGUUCGUUCGCUUCUGCCUCUUCAUCUUAACGAUGCACACAUCCAUACUUAUAUUUACUAUGAACAAUUGUGAGUAGGAGUAAUAAAAUUCAGUACACAUCAAUCAGUGGAGGGAGAAAAAAGCCACAAGCUGUGUAGGCAAACAUGCCUACACAAAAAGCAUAAUAUUGGAUCAUCUAUCCUACGUGAAAUGUUAUGUUAUUUUUAAACAGAGAUAAAAGAUAUGCCUCAUGUAUUAGGGAAGAAAAGAAAGAUGGGAGGGGCGUUUUGGCUACCGCUCCCAAUGAACUGUACUGCAAAAAAGUUGUAAAACAUAUUAGAAAAACAUUGAUUUUUUUGUUGAUGUUCGUGUUAGCGUCACAAGCAUGCUUGACAAUUUUCAUGCCAAACGGAGCAGUAGUGUUUCGUUAGAGAAAAAAAAUAUUUAUUGUGUUUUUUUUUUUUGCACAAGCCAAAAUGUUUGGCCUUUUGCCCAAAACUUUGCAGGUAACAUUGGGAUGUGACUAUAAAUACAUGAAAUAUAUUUGUUGGUAUUUUUUUUUGACAUUUCAAAAAAUAUUUUUCACACGCAGAAGCACGUGCUCCCGAGAGUCAAAUUGGAUUUCUAGAGAAUGACUCUAAAAAAAGUAAAAAGAGAAUAGAUCAUGUGUUACAAGCCCCAAAUUAGAAUAAGAUUACUCUCAAGCCCCAAAUCUGCGUGACUUUCUAUAUGACUUCACCCUUAUAGAUCGUAAAAGAUGUUAGUCAAAUAUUAAAACAGGCGAUCUAAUUAUUUCCCUAGAAAAAAAGUGCUCAACUUUAUCCAAGAGCAUAUACGUAUACGCCCUUGGGACCAAAAUAUAAGAUGUUUUUGCUGUUUAAAUGAACUACUAAAAACAUCUUCCCUUCAUGAAGGCGUUGCUGUUGAGAACCUCGUUGUCCUUGUGGUGUCAUGAGAUGAUUGGUGAUGAUAUGAUUACUAUUUUAGAUUGUCGCUCGCGGAUUUGAUCUUUUUGGAUUUUUUUUUCUUGCUUGGGCAUUGCCUUGGUCUUAUAUGACUUUGUAUUUGCCGGCCGUUUUUUUUUUGUGUGUGAAUGUUGGUGUUCACAGUGUGCAUCUUAACUAUGCAUAGGCCGGAUGUGUGCUCAUUUUUAUGGAAUUCACUUGAUGCUUUAUUUUGUAUAAUAAAAUCCACCCUUCACAAAAAAAAAGCACUAUGCUCGGGCCGACCCCGCCAAACAAAGGAUCUGUACCGAGGUGCUCUCGGAAUUGGAUCGCCGACGGGUUGCUGGGAGCGCCCAGACCACACACAUCGCCAACAAAACGGAGUGCUAUAACGCUGACUGACACUGCACUCACGCACAUGCUCCUACGUCUACGUGUUAACCUACGCGCCGCCCGCCGGCACCAGUACCAAAACCACGGUCUGGUCGUCUUCCUGCCCGGCCGCACGCCGGUUGCGCGGUUUCCUGCAACCUAUAAAUCCGGCCGGACCACCUUGCUCUGCCCAUCUCUUCUCACUCACAUCCACGCUCCACUGACACGCUAGCUACUUCGCUUCCUUUGGAUCUCCUGCCAGGCUGCCACAAAUCUCUCCCGCGAAGAUGUCGACGGUGACCCCUGCCUACCUCGACCAGAGGCUCGCCGCAGCCAAGCGCUGCUCCAGAGGUAACAGUUCCGGCCUCAGCCCAGCAUCUGCUCUGCUCGUAUACAGGGCCGGCCCUGAGGGAGGGCAGGAAGGGCGGCCGCCACGGGCCCCCACCUUACAGGGGCCCCCACGCCUAGUAUGCAUGCAUUCGGCCGGUAGCCCAUGGCCUAAUUUUUCGCUGCUGCGACAUGCGAUUGCCAGCCUGUAUGGGAAUCGCAUAGUAAAGGGCACAUGUUACGGGAGCCCGGGAGCAAUCUACGGUCGUUCUUUCAUCUUCUUUUGCUCGUUUCCUAAAAUUUUCCUUCGCGAUGCAACUACGCGACCACGAUCUAUCUGUACGCGACGAAAGCGGCAAUCGGCGGCGGCUAUGGUGCAGAGAUCGGAGAGUUUCGGCCAACGCAGAGAUUGUUACUCUGGUGCUCCGGCUUGGCGCCUCUUUGUGUGAUCUGAUCGCUUCUCUAAUGCUGCGCCUAGAGCUCUAGGGAAUUCCUUCUUGGAUCCAACCAGGGCAUCAAUCGAUCACCAGUUAACCACUUCUUGUCUUGCCGGACGGAACCUUUGUACGUACACGGGUAAUACCAUCAAUCACUAAUUAGUUAUCUAUAUAGGUCAAUUAUAUUAAAAUAUUUCAUUAUAAUUGGUUUGUGGAUCUUCUGUGUUUUUUGGAUUUCAGAACUAUGGAAAGGAUUUGUGGAUGAGUUGAUAAAAUCACAAAGAGGAGCUAUUGAUAAUUAUUUUGAGAAUGCCAUUGACGCUUGGACGAAUAUAGAGUUUGUGACAGUAGCUAUGGAUGGGCGAGCUAAUGGAAUACAGGGAGAAAAUGUGAAUGUAAGUGACCCUGAGAACACUCUUAACACAUUGGAUGCACGGCACAGUCCGCCAGUUAAUUUUAUGUUAACUUUGCAUCACAUGUUGCUGUGCAUCGAGGGAUGUAGAAUUAUAUUAAGGUAAUAUGUACAGGUUACGUGACAUAAAUAAUACUUUUAGAUGCAUUCAAGUGUUAACAGGUAACAGUCCAAUAUAUAACAGAAAUAGCCAAUGUGUCUUUGGUCCCAUUGCACCCGAACUGAAUUUUAUAUCUUAGAAGUAAUGAGAAGAGUAAAAAGAAAGUGAAACUUUUAUUUUAACAAAGAUGCCUUCGCGUAGUACUAUAUAAAUGCAUGAAAAGUUUCGCCAAGGAAUGACUACCAUGGUAUCCUGGACAAAAAGACAAAAUUGAUAGUACUCUAUAAAUGUUACCAUUCACAUUUUUUGGGCCUGCAAUUAUUUUCGCUGAGAAUACCAUGAGAGUCAUUUCUGCCCAAAACUUUUUGACUCCUUUAGUUUUCUAAUAAAUUUUUACAAUUCUGGUGCAUUUGCCCUAUGUUUGAAAUAUCCGCAUCCUAUAUAUAUAAUGAUCGCUAUUGUUAUGGUGUUUGUAUUAAGGGCCCCGAAUUUUAGUUUUGCUCCGGGCCCCCAAAAUCUUAGGACCGGCCCUGCUCGUAUAUCCCACCCAUUGCAGCCUAUGCGUCUGCUGAAACUUGACCUGGAUUAACAUUCCUGCGUUGAUCCGAAACUGCAGAGGCUGCCAUGGCCGGAGCCAGGGCCGCGGCCGCAGUACCCACCCUAAGUAGCCAGCUAGCCAUUCAGUUACAGAGUUCAUAGCACAUAUCUCAUGAAUGCGUUACCUGUCAUUUCAGCUGGCGAGCGUGAGGAUGCUGCCGUGGGCGAGGGCGCACCUCAACCCCACCGGGCAGGCCCUCAUCAUCUCCACCGUCGCCGGGAUGGCCUACUUCAUCGUCGCCGACAAGACCAUCCUCUCCAUGGCCAGGAAGCACUCCUUCGACGACGCGCCGGACCACCUCAAGAACACAUCCUUCCACUAAUUAUACUAUAAUAGUAGAUCCAUUAGUAGUGCGUAAUAAACCGUGUACGCCGGUCGCCGAAAAAUAGUACUAUAAUGUUCAGCGAGAGGGGCGAUCAGGCGAGGUGAUGGUAUAAUUAUCUGAUGAUGUACUUAUGUAAUAAUGUGGGCAUGUUCUCCAUCUUGUCAUCUUUCCAGGGAUCGUAAAUUAAUAACCAGCUCUUGUACAACUUUGCUUCAAGUACACUCACUCAUGACCCAUCUCACCUUUUUCUUGUUUGCGAUUACAGUUUGACACGCGUCAGAGCAUUGCAAAAGACCGAGAUAACACUAGACUACUAUCGUCUGUUCUGUCGCGAAACGCCACCUGACCUCACACUCUAAAUCUUUUGAGACAGUUUAUUGGAUGCCUUGGCAAAUAAGGAUGGAAAAUUUAGCAGUUUUGAAACUAGCUUUCUGUACUAGUGGAGCCCCCCUGUUUAGGUUGGAGGUGUUUCUCGAGACCGGAGACGCCUCGACAUUUUACAGGUGACUUGGUUCUAUUUGAUCACAACCGCUUGCGGAGGCUGUUUCUAAUGCCCGUUUACCCGUUUUCUAUUAGUAGAUGUUGGUUUCGUGCAUCAACUUGUGAUGAUUGCUUUGUUCACGGCCGCCUUCGGUGAAGUUGGAGUCACUGGAUCUAGUGCGAUAGGUGAUGAUGAUGACGCCUGUGUGCAGCCAUGCAUGGCGGAUGAAGUCUUCUCGGUUGUAUUUGGAGUCUACGUCGGUAGCCAGAUCGGCCGCUGCCAUAUGUAUUGUCAUGUUCCAUGAUGAUAGUUUUUAGGUGUGUUGUUACGGUUUUUGCCCAAUUUUCUGGACAAUUUUUUUCUUAAUUAUUGAAAAUGAUAGAUAUUUUGUCUUGUUUAUCUUUUUUUUGCAAAUCAACAAUUUUUUUUGCAAAUCAACUAACUAGUACUCCCUCCGUAAACUAAUAUAAGAGCGUUUAGAAUAUUAAUUUAGUUAUCUAUAAAUAUUCUUAUAUUGGUUUAUAGAGGGAGUACCAGGGAGUAUCAUGUACUCUGGGGAACUACGGCAACCAACCAAACAAAGGUUUUGCACCGCACUUCGGGUUCGCUGGGAGUGGCUCAGAAGAACGGAUCCCAGCCGGCCGUGGCAAGGCCUGCAUCUCAUAAUCGAUAAGGAAGCAAAGGCAGUGUUUGACAGCAUGGUGCUCAUUAGAGUUGGCGAGGGCUCAAAGAUUCUUUUCUGGACCGACAGGUGGAUACACGGAUUUUCCAUCAGGGACAUCGCUCCCCUGCUCGCGGCCAUGGUCGAUAAGCGUACCAAAAGCAGACGAACCGUCCAGCAGGCUCUCCUCCAUGGUGCUUGGAUGCUAGACAUCGAAGGCCAACUCUCAUUCAUUGCCCAUAUUCAACUCGUUCACCUUCAGCAGGCGAUCGCUUCGGUGGUUAGGAAUGAGGCGGAACCUGAUGAUUUCAUCUGGCCGUGUGAUGACACCGGAUCCUACUCGGCAAAGUCCACCUACAAGAGGCUCUGCUUUGGCCUAACACGCUCUGCCACCGCUACACAAAUAUGGAGAAGGUGGGGCCACUCAAAUGUAAAAUUUUCGCCUGGCUGACCUCGCAAUAUCGACUGUGGACCUCGGAUCGCAGAGCAAGACACGGACUGCAAGAGACCACUUCGCCUUGCUUCACGUGCGAUCAGGAAGAGGACAAUGUGGACCACAUUCUGGCCCAGUGCGUCUACGCGAGACAAGUUUGGCACGAAUGCUUCGAGGCCCUACAAGCAAACAUUCAGAUCCCAAGCCAAGACGAUUCAUUCAUGGCAUGGUGGGAGAGGGCGUGUGCCUCCUUUCAUGGGAAGAUCAAGAGAGGUUUCGACUCCUUUGUUAUCGCUUCCGCAUGGCACCUCUGGAAGCAAAGGAACGCUAGGGUGUUCCAUAGAGACGACCAAGUGAGACCAGCCACUAGUUUAGUGCAUACUAUCCUUGAUGAGAUAAAGCAAUGGAAUUGAAAUCGGCGGGAGUAGGAGUUGAGGGUCUGGAUAGGUUUGUAAGAGAGCAGGCUUUAGGUUUCUUUGUGUGGAGUUGGAGUCCAUUCUUGUAAUCAACUUUUCUGCCUUCUAGAAAAAUACGGUGCGCUUUUGGCGUACUCUAGGAAAAAAAAGGUUUUGCAGCCAACCACUGGCGGAGUUGGCCUGAUUGCCGACGCGGCGAACCGAGCUAGCUAGGCCGGAAACUGGGAGCGCCCGCCCAAACAAAAACGGGGUGCACGCUGACUGACACGGCACUCACGCCCAUGCUCCUACGCUGACAGACCUGCCAACCCUGAUGGAUCGAUCGAUGCCUCCUCUUAUCCUGUGCAGAGUGUAGUGGAGCGCCCGCCCAUCACGUGCUCCGCUUUCUAUAAGACGAACGCCAACGAGCCGCCGCCACCUGUGCUCUGCCGCAGCGCCGGCCAUCCCGCCCGCCCGCCGCUCGUCUCAAAACCGCGGUCUCGCUUCCCACCGUAUCGUCUCCCUCUCUGCUCGCUGGUUGCGCGGUUUCCUGCAACCUAUAAAUCCAGCCGGAGAGCCGCACCUGUCUAUCCAUCUCAUCUCACCUCACUCACACUACUACUACUACUACGGAUCUCAGCUAGCAGUACUCGAGUUCACUAGCUACUAGUUCACUUUCUUCAGCACCAAGUCAAGAUGCCUACCUCGACCAGAGGCUCGUCGCCGCCAAGCGCUGCUCCAAAGGUAACGAAAAUGAUAUCAUGCCGCGCCGGUCCUCAAGGGCACAUUGCAGCUUUCUGUACCGUCUCUUAUGAAACUUGAUCGUAACCAACAUGUCUCUGUUGAUCCGGAACUGCAGAGGCUGCCAUGGCGGGAGCCAAGGCCGCGGCCGUCGCCACCAUCGCAGCCGCCAUCCCCACUGUAAGUACGCGUUUCUCAGCCGGCGCAGCUAGUUGCAAGGGCCAACAAUCAUGCAUCUCACCGUCUUCUUCCUCCGUGGCUUUCUCUGCAGCUGGCGAGCGCGAGGAUGCUGCCGUGGGCGAGGGCGCACCUGAACCCGACCGGGCAGGCGCUCAUCAUCUCCACCGUCGCCGGGAUGGCCUACUUCAUCGUCGCCGACAAGACCAUCCUCUCCAUGGCCAGGAAGCACUCGUACGAGACGGCGCCAGAGCACCUCAAGAACACCUCCUUCCACUAAUUAGACACUUGAUUGGUUCAAAAAAACUAAUUAGACACUUGAUUAGCCAGUGCCCAAUAAACUGUGUACGCUGGCCCGUGGAAACGUGUGUUCUGAAACGUAUGAUGUUCAGCGACAGGGCCAGCAGGCGAGGCGACGAUGGUUGCAGUGCUGAAAGGUGGUGUACAGCCCUUCAAUUUGUGCGAGCAAGCACUAAUAAUGUGGCCAUGUUCUCCAUCUUACUACUAGUACCUUCCCGGAGAUCUUGAAUUAAUAAAAACUACUAGUUCUAAUUUUGUACAACUCUGGUUCAAGUGCACUCACUCAUCUUACCCUUUUUCUUGUUUGCGAUUAUCAUUUAACACGCGUCAGUGCAUUGCAAAAGACCGAUAACAGUGACCCCCCUACUCCUGCUCUGUUGUGUUCCGAAAUGCACGUGAGCAUCAUGCCACCUCACACGUUGAAUCUUCUGGUAUGGUUUAAUGGAUGGGUUGGCAAGUAAGGAUGUUUCUGAAAAAUGAAAAAAUUAGCUAUUUUGGGACAAGCUUUUGUACUAGUGGAGGACCCCCGUGUGUAGGUUUGAGGUGUUUGUCCGCAGAGACCGGGGCACCUCGACAUUUUUCUUGGUCGUGAGUCAAAUAAAAUGUAUUCAUACCGCAUCCGCGUGUAAGUGUGCAUUGUAAAUACUCUCUCUGGUCCUUUUUUAUUGUGCAUAUACGAUUGUUUUUUCCAAAGUCAAACUUCGUAAAGUUUGACCAACUUUAUAAAAAAAAAUCAAUAUUCACACUUCGAAAUCAAUAUCAUUAGGUGUGUUAUGAAUAUAAUUUUUAUAUUGUAUAACUUUAAUAUCGUAGAUGUUAAUAUUUUUCCAUAUAAAUUUGAUCAAAGUCGACGAGCUUACCAUUCGGCGAGUUGAUCUUGUGGACGACCCCCUUCUCUGGAUCCUCCACCUCCGUCAGCUCCGACAACUCUUCAUACAGGUCCAUGCGGUGGCAGACAGCAAAAAGCACGGGAAUUGAGCAGAGAGGGUGAGGAAAGCGCGGGUUUUGGCGUGAAAACGGUGCGAGCCUCUCCAAAUGCGCGGGCUCCGCCAUGAUUUUGGGUGGGCAAAUUGCAGGGGCGGACACAGAAAUGAUGUGGAGUGGGGGCAAAUAAUAGGAGCGGGGGCACUUAAUGUACAAAUGUGAAGAAUUUCAAAAACAAUCUUAUAGAAUACAAGGAACUUUUACUGAAAUUUCAAAAAUUGACUGGGGGCCUGGGCACCCACUCAGCACUAUGUAGGUCCGCCUCUGGCAAAUUGUGUUUGAGUCCUAUGGGGCACAUGUCUGAACUCCCGCAAAGCCCCUUGGUUUGCGUCCGAUUAGCAAGAAAACGAACACGUGGGUGCGUCUGAGGACAAAUAAGAGUCCAUGUUGAAUCUGAACGACUUGAUCCGCAUACUUGUGGUUUGUUUGAGGGUCUGGGUUGAAUGGAGUGUUGUAUGCAACAUCGGUAGGCCCAGACCAGAAAAAACGUAAGAAGUGCCGAAGCAGUUCACACAUCACACAGAGAAGGGCUAGUCCGGCCGGGGAGCAGAUGCCGCCGGUUUCGCCCGAAAACGGGGAGCGCCGCUCGCCGACCGACCGACGAUUUACGAGUGAAACUGGCGGCACCCGCUUUGUUUCGUUUUUUUAGGGCAUGGCCAAUGGGUGGCCUCAACCUGCUGCCCCGCAGGUCCAUGUAAGAUCGGAGUUAGGUUCGGACUAAAAGAUAUAGCCUCGCACUAGCAGGUGUAGCCUGCAGAAGAGCCAGCUUCUUCAGCGUGAAAAGCGAGAGAAAGAAAGAAAAAGGCAGCUCUGCUGAUGCAUGCAAGGAGAGAGAUAGAGAGAGGAAGAAAAAUACUAGGCAUGUGAAGGACGAUGGGUCCCGCUACAGCAGUGUGGCUCCGGUUGGCCAGGAUUUUUUCAAAACGGUGGUUUCCUUAUUUUUUUGAUUAGUUUAAGAGGUGAGGCACUAUCAGGGUGAUGCCCCCGUUGUACAUGCCCUUAUAUGAUGAUCGGAUCAGCACUGUUGUGCCUAACUUUAGAUUGAUCGAGAUCUCCCUUUUCUUGCUGGCUUUAGUUUGGUGGGUAAAGAAAGAAAGAAAGAAAGACGAGGGAGAACACCCUCCAACGGACAAACAUCAUCCAAUCCUGUGGAUUCCCAUACCACAGUUUUGGAUAACCGGCCCCUGCAACCUGCAUGCCGCUCCCGGAAAGCGUGCUCUGCCCACCAACGCAGUUCAUCACUCCAAGUCCAAACGAGUGAGCAGAGCAGAGCACCCACGGUUUGGAUCCCAAAACCGUGCGUGGCCGCCACCUUUUUGCCCGCUAUAAAUACUUGGCUCAACUCCUCGUCCCGGAAGCGUCAAGCAACAGCCAGCCCAUCUCAUCUCAUCUCGCUCGAUCAUCGCACUCUUCGUGCUGAGCCGUUUAUGCACAAGACCACGGCGAAGAUGUCGUCGACGGCCACCGUCACCCGCGCCCACCUCGAUAACAAGCUCGCCCUCGCCAAACGCUGCUCCAGAGGUACCUAGUAACCAGCAGGAUCCAAUUCUUCAGAGGUCAGUUCAGUUCAGCCAGGUCGUGUACUGAUAGUCUGACACUACAAAUGCAUUUCUUUUCCUAAUGUUUCCCAGAAGCGACGCUCGCCGGAGCCAAGGCGGCGGCCGUCGCCACCGUCGCGUCUGCGGUGCCCACGGUGAGCUCCUCCGUCCAACAGGAGUUGCUGAUUUUCAUGUAUAAGGAAAGCAAGAGUUUUUCUUUUGUCCGGUUUUCAUAACUGAACUGUGUAUCGUGCAGCUGGCGAGCGUGAGGAUGCUGCCAUGGGCCAAGGCGAACCUGAACCCCACCGGCCAGGCGCUCAUCGUCUGCACCGUCGCCGGGAUGGCCUACUUCGUCGCCGCUGACAAGGCCAUCCUCUCGCUGGCGAGGAGGCACUCGUACGAGAGCGCCCCCGACCACCUCAAGGACACUUCCUUCCACGGUGGCGCCGCCGCCGCAGCUCGUCCCCGUCCGCCGGCAUUCUUCAGGCCUUGAGCUAGUAUUAUCCUGCUUCUGCCGUUGGCCGUUGCGCGUAUUCUAGAAAAAAUGUAUGCGUCGUUGUCAGUGUCCCAAGAAACCGCUGCCGCAUGAAUAUCUGACGCCGAAAUGUAUGUACAUCCGUGUACUGAAUAAAACAGAGGGCUCGAUCCUGGUUUCAUAUAAGCUGUGUACGACAGACUUCAGAAGUUCAUUGCAGCUUAUGUGACUGCUGAAACUUGAUCUUGAUUAACAUUCCUACGUCGAUCCCAAACUGCAGAGGCCGCCAUGGCGGGAGCCAAGGCCGCGGCCGUCGCCACCGUCGCUGCCGCAGUCCCCAUUGUAAGUAGCCAUUCAGUUCUUCGACGAAAUCCUUGCUCGGUUCAUAGCACAUAACCCCAGCGGGCAGGCGCUCAUCAUCUCCACGGUCGCCGGGAUGGCCUACUUCGUCGUCGCCGACAAGACCAUCCUCUCCAUGGCCAGGAAGCACUCCUUCCAGGACGUGAGAGCACCUCAAGAACACCUCCUUCCACUAAGUAGCCUAUAAUAGAUCCAUUAGUAGUAGGUAAUAAACCGUGUACGCCGGUCGCCGGCCGGUCUGUAGCCCUGCAUAAUGUUCAGCGAACCACGAUCAGGUGUACUGCGCUUCCUUCUCUGCGAGCAAGCACUAAUUAUCUGAUGAUGUAUGGAAUAAUGUGGUCAUGCUUUCCAUCUUAGUAUCUUUCCAGACAUCUUUAAUUAAUACUCCCUCUGUCCCAAAAUAUAAGAACGUUUCUUAUAUUAUGGGACGGAGGGAGUAACAACUAGAAGUACUGUUUGUACUACAACUCUGGUGCAAGUGCACUCACUCAUCUCACCUUUUUUUUACCAUUUGACAUGCGUCAGAGCAUUGCAAAAGACCGAGAGAACACUAGACUAAUAGUUCAUUCUUUUGAACUCGUACUACUCUCCUCUGUUCUGUCACGAAAUGCCACCUGACCUCACACUUUAAAUCUUUUGAUACAGUUUAUUAUUGGAUGCCUUGGCAAAUAAGGAUGGAAAUUUUAGCAGUUUGGAAACAAGCUUUCUGUACUAGUGGAGCCCCCCCUGGUUAGUUUUUGAGGUGUUUCUCGAGACCGGAGACACCUGGAUAUAUUUCAUGGUCGCGAGUUAAUAUACAUUCUUAUCGCAUCCGGGUGUAAGUGUGCAUGUGAGAUAUUCCAAAAAAUGAAAACAUGUGUACAGUAUAGAAAAGUUCAUAGAGGUGGGCUUGAUUUAAGGUUGUAAAACUAUGUGCUCGUUUGAAUUUGUUAUACAUAAGGGCAUAAGGGCAUCUCCCGCGCUUUUCUUUCAAUGCACACGCCGCUUCCCGCACCGCAUCAAGGCCGGCCCGGAGCACGCGGCAGCCGACAUUGAUGUCAUGUGAUGUGAUAGGACGGAAGGGCGGCGUUGACCGACGCGACCUCUCGGGAGUCGCCGCUUCAAUGCGGACGCAUCUUCCUGACGAACCAAUUUCAGCCGCUGCACCACAUUGAAGCAGCUGACCGUCUGUUUGCAUGGCCUAGCCGUGGCUUGAUAAGCUGUGCUCCGGCGCUGUCCACAUCGCACUCACCGCAUCGCUCCGCACAUCCUCCUCCUUCCCUCCCUUCUUCCUCCACAACUCCGGCGAUGGGCAAGUCGUGGGCCUCAGUGCCGGCAGGCGGGCCGCUUCGGAGGAUCUUGGCGAUGCCGCCCACAAACCCCGGGGUUGUCGUCCUCAUCGGCGGGCAGCUUCUCGCAGAAGGCGGAGAUCAUCAUCUCCUCCGGCGACGAGGAGGACCAGUCGGCGCCGGUGUUCACCGUCAUGGAAGAGGAGUACGAUCAACAGAUGAAGGUAAUGCUCUGUCGCUCCGUCCUCCAUGUCAACGGCCCGGUGGCUCCACCGGAGACGCUCCUCCGCGUGAAGCCUGAGCCCACCUACCCCCUGCGCUCUCCCUCAUGCAACUGCGGCGUCCAGACCGGACGUCGCGUCAAGGACAAGCCCCUCUCACCGCCCCAACGCGUCAAGCAUGAGCGACUCUCUCCGCUGCCCCGCCACGUGAAGGAGGAGCAGCACUCUCCGCCGCCCCAUUGUGUCAAGGAGGAGCACCGAUCACCACCGCCCUUAUCCCGUGCGAUCACCCUGAAGGUGCGCAGUCGCAUUCGCCACUAUCUCGGUGGUGGCAACCGUUCGUCGUCCUGGAGCAUCCUAACGGCGCAGGAUUACGCCGGCAGGGAGCGACGCCGGCGGGAUAGGCACAACGCGGCGCACCGGUCUGAGUUCAUGGACUCCAAUGUUCUGCCGCCACACAACGCGGCGGACCCGGACCUGGCAUACAACUAGGUCCUGGAUCACUCCAUGACGAUGGCGAGCAAGCGCCAUCUUCGUCACCUCGACCAGGAGAUGGCCAAGUACAACGAAAAGUGGUCUCUUAGUGAGAUCGAUGUCGCCAACGCUGCCUCCUCCAAGGCCCUGUCCACAUCAUCGGUGGCCGCGGCCGCAUUGUGCACAACGGAGGAGGAAGCGGGGAGAAUCAUCCGCGAGCGUUAGGCGGCUGCCGGGAAGCCCUGCCGCGACGCCGCACCCUUCCGCCUCCCGAAGCCCGACGACGACGAUGACGGCAACGGCUCCGGUGAUGAUGCCAGAGGAGCCGCUGGCCAGCCCGGCACGGUCUAUGAGGUCACUGUGAAGUACAGGGUAGUGUAGGAUUAGGUUUUUUAUGGUUUUUAGUUCACCGUACAAAAUAUUGUCCGGUUUUAUGAAAAACUUAUCUAAGUUUAAAUGAAUAUUGUCCGGUUUGUUUGAGUUUGCAUCAAUUUGGUCAUUUUCAUUAAAAUUCAUUUGAAGUUUAAAUGGACAUAUGCGCCUAGCUUUGGAUGGUCGCCUCCUGUAUCCGUGUCCGUGAACUGGACACCCUGUUGGUAGACGGAUUCCAGAGCAAAUUUGCGGGACCACGUUGGAGAUACCCUAAGAGUAUCUAAAACCGGAGCUCCCAUAUUGUUCUAAACUUCUCAAAUUGCUUAAUCAAAUCCCACCUAGUUACUAUGGUAGCGUCUACAUGCAAUUGACAAUAAAACCGGUCACUAAUUGUCCAGCUACCAUCUGGCAGGCGUUCGGUGAGACAGGGGGACGAGCAGGGGCCUGGCCCCCUAUCCAUCGACAAUUCCUUUGGCUGCUACGAGUAAUUAGCGCUGGAUCAAGGGAAUACAUGUUGUUUCCCCCUUAACUCGAGAGCAACCAGUUAACGAGCGCUCCUUCGGGAGCCUCGUAACGAUCAGCGCCACUUGGCGCGCUCUCAGCCAUUCGCCACGUGUCGCGCUCUGGGCGCUCCCUUCGGAUUUUUUUUUUCGCACGCGUUUUCGGCUUUUUUUCGGCUUUUUUCGAUGUUUUGGUUUUCCAGCGGUCUUCCUUAGCUUUUCAAUCAAAAAAAUUUGGAAAAAAAUUUGCGUGAAAAUACGCGUUUUCUUUUUCUUUUUCCUUUCGCGAGAGGCACGGUUUUGCUUCCGCGAGAGGCACGGUUUUGCUUUCGCGAGAGUCACGGCCGUGCCUCUCGGAAAGGGAAAAAAAUGUGUUUCCGUUUUUCUUUCGUUCGCGAGAGUCACGGUUUUGCUUCCGCGAGAGGCACGGAUGUGUUUUCGCGAGAGUCAUGGCCGUGCUUCUCGGAAAGAAAAAAAACGCGUUUUCUGUUUUUUUUCUUUCGCGAGAGUCACGUUUUUGCUUCGCGAGAGGCACGGUUGUGCUUUCGCGAGAGUCAUGGCCAUGCCUCUCGAAAAGGGAAAAAACGCGUUUUCUUUUUUUUUUCCUUUCAUGAGAGUCACGGUUUUGCUUCCGCAAAAGGCACGGUUGUGCUUUCACGAGAGUCACGGCCGUGCCUCCUCGGAAACGGAAAAAAUAUGCGUUUUCUCUUUUUUCCUUCCGCGAAAGUCACGGUUUUGCUUCCGCGAGAGGCACAGUUGUGAUUUCUUGAGAGGCACGGGUGCGCCUCUUUCGAAAAGGGAAAAAACCCGUGCUCCCGGUUCGGUUUUUCCGUCCUGUUUUUUUUCGUCCAGUUAAGUUCGUCAAAACCUAUCAAUAUGGGAUCUAGUUUUGAAGAUCUCGACGCGAGGAAUCCAAUGGUGAAAGCGGUUUGAGAUUUGGACGCACGGUUUGAGAGAUAAAUUAGGACUUCAUUUGAAAAUAGUUUUUCGAUGAAGUGCUUAGGCUAAAUAGCCUCAAUAUUAGGCAUGAUGAUCUAUGGAGAUAGAUUUACCUAAUGGGGCUAAGCAAUGAAUACAUAUUGACAAGAUGCUAAAACCUUUUAGCAUUUAAAACGCCAAGGAGUGAUUCUUGCCAAAGUCACAUGGAAAGAGUUUUUGCAAGACUCGGUGUCCCAAAACACUGAUGAGUAAAAUACAUGAUGCAGAUUCCACACACUUUUGUGUUUGGAUUAAUCAUGUAUUCCAUGGUAUGUAAAACAACCAGAUAUGUCCGAUACUCCCAAGGUGUUGCGAGUAUGGAUACCAAAGUGAUCAAAUUACUGAUCAUGGGACAACAGUGAAAGAUGUCACAGAGUACUAGAGUAAGUACUGAUGACAUGGUUUUCUCGCAAGCAGAGAUCAUGAAGAGUUCGUUGUAAAAUGUUACAUCGAUAGAGUCUUCAUCUUUUCUCCAUGCGAUUUUCGAUUUAAAUUAAGGGUUUUGUGUAACACACAAUGUGGUGGCAUAGUUAGUUGGAAUUUGUUCAAACUAGUUACUGUGGCGAAUUCUAUAACAAGGGCUAAGUAUGUUGACGCUUUAGAAGCGACAAAGAAGAUGUUGAAUCAUAUAGUUCAUUCAUGAACUUAGUAUAGUUCCAAGAUGGCUUUUGACAAUGGGACACUACUGCAGGUAGUUGCUCCAUAACUCAGUCUGAGGAAUCCAGGUUCGACCUGUGAUUCACAUACAUACAAAGCCAAGUCCACACAAAAUAUGAAUUUUGUGAAAACGAGAGGACAUGCAAAGAUACACACGGAACUGAAGUCGUUAGAUCCGUUGGACAUCAGGCUAUACCACAAGCGAAGCAUAUUUACACCGGUGUGCCACAGGUGUGAAGUGCAUUAGCAUAAGCUGGAUUAUUGACUCUAGUGCAAGUGGGAGUCUGUAGGAGAUAUGCCCUAGAGGCAAUAAUAAAUGAUAUUAUUUAUCUCCGAGUUCAUAAUUAUGUUUAUGUUCCAUGCUAUAACUGCAAUGAUUCUCGAGUCUGCAAUAUCCACGAGGCUCGGAGGAAGACUCAUAUGCACGUGUGGAAUAAUAAACGGUAAGAAGUAUUCCUAGUCUGGCCUCUAAGACUAGCUCAAGUGUUGCAUGAUGAUUCUGUUUUCCUGGUCAUGGGCAUGUCUAUGCCAGCAACUUUGAGGGCACAAUGUUAAGAGAACAUUUGUGUUGAAUCGACCCGGAUUGAUGUUAUGCUAUGAGAUUCAUUCGUCACAAGUUUAUUGGUACAUAACACAGAGAUGGUUAACGUUUGCAUGAUUCCUUAGACCAUGAGAGUAUCGAGUUUCUUCAUGCUUGCUUCAUGAACUUUGGGGUUUGUUAAACGUCAUCCGUAAAUGGGUGGCUAUUACGGCGGCUUACGGGUUCAUGGAAAAGUGUGUCAAGUAACUUGAUAGCUCAAGAUUGGGAUUUGCUCCUCCGACGAUGGAGAGAUAUCUCUGGGCCCUCUCGGUGUUACGGUAUCCAUCAUCGUCUGGCCAGACACUUUGUGAUUUGAUCAUGGGGAUGCCGGAACACGAUAACGAGAAAAGAGAACAAUACCAGUAACGAGGUAACUAGCAUAGUGGACAAGUUGUUGAUCCACGGGAAUGCCAACAUGUCUCACCUCGGGUAUUUGUAACAUAUCGCGAAGCAACAGGAAUAGCACACGACAACUGGAGGUUCACUCGAAUAUUUAUUCGUGUGGGUAUAGGGGUCAAUAUGGGUGUCCACGGCUUCGAUGUUGAUCAUUGAUCGGAAGGGGUUCCGAGUCAUGUCUAUACUUCACCGAACCUAUAGGGUCACACGCUUAAGGGUCAUCUAUCUGCUGAAUACUAGACAGGGAGUCUGAGAGAAAAUCACCGAAAAAGUUUCGGACACCGAAAAGUUUCGGACAGCGGAAUCGUACCGCAGAGAGAGGUCAUCGGAUAAGUUUCGAUGAUACCGAAAAGUUGUUUCGGGAUACACCAUUAAGUCAAAUUGGUUUCGGCACAUGCCUGAUAAUUCUUGGAGGAUGCCAGAAUCAUUCUGGAAGCUUUUUGGAAUUUUCUGAGAUAAAAACCGGAAAUGUUCCGGAGCUGCCGGAGCCACUUCAGAUGCGUUUCGCAGAUGAAAAUCACUAAAACCGGAAUUGUUUCGGAACACGUUGAAAAUCAUUUUAGUGGGUACUGGAAAUGUUCUUAGCCCACAUAAAUAUUUUCAGUUCGAUCAGACGCUGAAAAAUGUCGUCGUGAAUAGUGAAAAUCAGCUUUAUGGUUACUUUAUGGAAAGCCACCUUUUGGGGCUUUGCUCCAAAAGAUCUUGGGGAUGACAUGGGUGGAUAGGAGCCAUUUUUUGGGCCCCUCAUGGGGGUGUGGCCGGCCACAUGGGGUAUCCCCCCUUGGGGACCCUCUUGUUCCUUGGUUUCACUCCUAGGUCCUUGUGGAAGGACUUCAUUCAUGUGCAUUUUGGGUUUUUUGUGAAACUACCCUACCCCCUUGGGAUUUCCUAUAAAUAGAGGUGGAGGGGCAGCCCUCCACACUCAUCCCUUGCUCUCAUACACAUGCCAUGCAUUAUCUGGCUUCUUCUCUCCCUCCCACGAAAAGAGUUUCGUAGAGCCGUAAGGCUGUCUGGGUUCCGGCAGGAACUAGUUCUGGACGGCGAAGCCCUGCCGGAUAGAUGACACCGUAUGUGUGCAACUCUGUAGAGAGAUCGUAGUUUCGGUCUUAGUUCGUGAGUGCCUCCCGAAGGGCUGUACGUGUGACCGUCCGAGUUUCGAAGGUCCUCCCGAAGGNNNNNNNNNNAUGAGGGUAUACAUCCUCGCGGUUGGGAGGUUGUAAAUCCUAGCUGCGGGGAUCUGCACCGCCGAUCGUCAUCGACUCUACUUCCCGCUGCGCUACGAGUCGGUAACAAAAAAGAUCAAACCAUGUAUGCAGUCUCCAUAGUGGUCCUGGGCUGGUGCGUUGGUCGGAAAUUUUUUGUUUUCUGCUGCGUUACCCUACAGUGGCAUCAAGAGCCGUGCUAUGCGUAGAUGCAGGUUUCGAUCUAGAAUACAUGGAGAUGUAUGGGUAUUGCAUAAUAUAAUUAGGUAGUAGAUGAGAUCUAUUGCUGAAAAUUAUUUAUGUGGGUGACAGAUGAAAUCUGUUACCCGAGGUUCUUGUUGCUUCCCUAGAAUUUGCGUUUGCUCAAUCUCGAGACAGCAUGGUGGAAUUUGACAAAGUUCUGGCAAUCCGUGAUCCUGAUUGAUCAUGGAAGUGCUAUCAGUUCUUUGGGUUCUGCCGUAGUCAAAAGAAAGAUGAAAUUCGCAGAUGAAAGGGCAUUGCAGAUAUGAUCUGCACGGGGGUCAUGCGUAUGACGAAGUUUAGUAUGGGGCUCGAGAUUUGAUUAUCCCGUGUUUCAUAUACCCCGAGAUGUUAAUCUAGCAACCUGAAUAAUCAUACUUGAUGAUAAAAUGUUGGUAGCUGCGGUUUAAGUCAAAACCUUAGAAGCCACGUAAAAUAAAUUUUGCAUAAACCGAUUAGAGGCGUCUAAUUUGGUUUUGCAGGAUGUGCAUGUGAUGUGGUAUAGCAGUGCUCAUACUAAUUCGAUUAUGUAUGAGAUGACUAUAUGAUGUAAUUUGAUUAACAUGACCUGCGUGUCAUGAUUGGGCAUGAUGGCUGGAGCCAUAUGAUUGCACUUUAAUGACCUGCGUGUCAACCUUGUUGUAAUGCCUUAUUUUAUUAGCUAUAGAGAUAGCAAUAUUAUCUGGUGCAUCAACAGGGUGGUGGCAAUCUUCGUGAAGGUGAACACCGACGCGAAUGCCGAAGACGAAGAAAUGAAAUACUUCUCCGUCAGGAAGGGCUAUACCAUAUCAUGCUAUUAUGAAUUUCCUGAGAUGUUUAUCCCUUAUGAUACACCCUUCUUGAUUGCGCGGUAGUCGCUUUUUAUUAGGGUGAUCUCUCACUUAAAAUAUCAAAGUAGUUAGUGUUCACCCAAGUGUAGCACCGUCUGAAAUUCGUAUCUUUUCGGGGUGCGCCAUGUACACAUGGGCACGAACGAAUCGAGAGGAAUGAGGCGGGUGAGGUCAGACCUCGCAGCAGGAUCACUUGGUUGUCUUUGACGUUCAGGCAGGAGAGUCCUGAGCUCGGAACACGCCCAUCGAAAGAUGAACAAGAAUCACAUAGAGAUGUGAUCGGCAAGUUGGCCUACCAAUUGAAAUUCGUGUCAUCAGUGAUGAACCCGUCAAUGGCAUCGAAUAGAAAUAUGGAUCUUGAAUCACUCUAAAUCAAUUAUGAGAGAUAUUGAUUUGAGUGGGAGCGCACUAUUGAAUUAACAUGUUUAAUUCUCAGUGCAAUUAAUUAUGAACAAUGUCUAAGUGUUUCUUGCAAAAUAGUUGUAGAAUAAUGGCUCGCGUUUUCACCUUCCCUGCUAAAAUUGAAUAGCUGUUAAAUAUCUGGUUAAAACUUUACGUUUGGUAACGUAAUGUGAGGAUUGUCCUCAAAAGUGCCGAGAAGGACUUUGUCCUAUCGCAUGCUUUCCGUAUCCUCCCGCUAAUGCUAUGGAUCAUGUGACUCUCGUCCUUCGAUCCAAAAGCUAGAAUUAUGUUACGGUCAAGUGGAAUAUGUUUGCUUCCAUGAGACCCAAACUUCGAAAGUUGGGAUAGUUAUAUGAUAUUCAUGGAACUGAAAAUUAUUUUCAGAUACAAACAAAGCAAUGUUUGUUUGCAAGUAUUAGUAAAAGUGUUUACUAUGCAUUUGACUGUUGGGAAAGGGAUCCAGAAAAAUGCCUGUCAUAUAAUGAAAGGUGAAUAAAACAACAACUUAAAGAGAAAGGAAGUGUCCAAAGGGUGUUAGUAUGACUUACACGCCUAGGAAGUCCGGGGCUAAUGCCACUCUUAAGUUGGGUGCUUCUUCUGAGAGUAGGAGAAAUACUAAAAGUUAAACUGCUAGAAGUAUAAAGGCAAAAGGAAAGAAGACUGGAAUAUCCAGCUCAUGUAUGAAUGUCAUACUAGUUUUUGAUGUAUAGAAGGCUGGUCAAAGAUAUAGUUCUUGCGAAUUAUGGUUAAACAUGUUAAUCACUAAUUCUUGGGUAUUGUGAGUUCAUCACAAAAAUGCCCGCUCGAUUGCAUUCUGUUGCAACUCGAUGUAAGAACUACUAUGGCCUGAAAGACUAGCUAGAAAUGAGGUUAAGGUAUACACAGGGAACAUAGUAAAUGUUACUAUACCUUCCAUCGGUGUAUUGCCGUCUGUAUUUAUUUUCAUAAUUCAUUUAGAGUUUUACAAACUCUAUCCCAUUGCAUAAGGCAUCUUGCAAGAAGGUUGUUCAUAAGAGAAAUUUUUAUGUUCGAUGUUAUGAAUAACACAAGGGCCAUACUUUCAUUAUGAAUGAGAUGUAUGUUAUGAAUAUUGAUAAUAAUACAAUACCUCUGGGUUUACUUUCAUAAUUCAUUUUAGAGUUUCAUACACUCUAGCCCAUUGCACAAUGUUUGUUGCAAAAGAGUUGUUCAUAAAAACAACAAUUGUUGUUAAGUAUUAUGAAUAACAUAAGGGCCAUACUUCCAUCAUCGAUGGGACGUAUGUUAUGAAUAUUGAGGGUAAUAUGAUACAUCCAUAACACUGACGCUAAAUGUCGCAAGACUAAAAGAAUACCACACAAGUGUGGCACUACAUUUGGUCACAUUGGAGAAACCCGCAUGGAAAAUUCCAUUAUGAUGGAUUUUGAAGUCUUUUUGAUUUUGAAUCAUCUGACACUUGCAACUUUCCUCCGAAAAGUGAAGUGACUAAAAUACCGUUCACAGGCCAUAAGGAACGAACAACAAACUUAUUAGUGAUCAUACAUUUGAUGUGUAUAGUCCGAUAAGUGUUGUUAGUGGUGGAUUUAUUUAUCUUCAGAAAUGACUCAAGUAGAUAUAUGGAUAUUUACUUGAUGAGACGGAAGUCUGGAUCUUUUGAAAUCAUUCGAAAGGUUCUCAAAAAUGAAGUAGAAGUUAUUGUAACAAGAAAAUUAUGUUUCUGCAAUUUGAUUGCACAAAGGAAUAUUUGACUUACAUGUUUAGCGAAUGUCUGAUGAGUUGUGAAAGGGGUUUCAUAAACUUGCACCUCCCGGAACACCACUGCAAGUGGAAAGUCCGUGGAGAUGUAAUCAAACCAUUUAUGACAUGGUAAGGUCAAAGAUGACAUAAAUAAAUUUUCCAUUAUCCCUUUUAAAGUGAUGCUUUAGAGACUGCGGCUUUUACACUGAAAAGAGCUACAUCGGGUCUGUUGAAAUGAAGCCAUGGUAUGGUACGCCCAACCAUGUUAUAUCUUUUCUUAACAUUUGGAAUAUGGGGCUUGUGUAAAAGGUUACAAACCUAUUCCAAAUCAGACAAGUGCUACUUUGUAGGUUAUACCAAAAUGUUGGGUAUUCCUCCCUCACUAUACCGAGGCAAAUAGUUUUGCCGCGAAACGGUGUGCUUUUAAAGAGAAUGGUUCUUUCUAAAAGGUGAGUGGGAGAAUAGUGCAACUCGACGAGAUAAACAGUAUCUUCAUCAGAUCAAAGGAAAGAGACCUUGGAAGAAAUUCCAGAGUUUCCUACUCCGACUGAUACAGAAGUCUCUACAAUAAAAUGUAUGAACUUCGGUCGAACUUGCAGCUGAACCACGUAGGCAAGGCUCGUGCAAACCUCUCAGGUGCGCAAACGAGAUAUUGUUGUUAGACAACAUUAUACCUACGAUACACAAGGAAGCGUUGAUGGGCCCUGACUCCGGAAUUGGCUAAAUGCCAAUACAACCCGACUUAGUUUCCAUAUAAGUGAUUCAAGAUUAAAACCUUGAUACACCUUUCGGAAGACUUAGAGUCUAACGAAUAUUUAUGGAACUUAAAACUGAUACGGAUAAAAUGUUUUAUCCAUAAAGCUCGACUUGUUGAAAUAAUACGAUGAGGUUGUUUUCAUCGUACCGAUGCUUAAAGUCGGUUCGGGUUGAACUAGCAAUUAAUACAUAUUUCAAUCAUGAGAUAUGAAACAUGGAUGAUAAAAGGAUUUCCAUCUGAUGGAAAUGAAAGCUAGGACUUGUAUAUGAUACAGUCCAAAGUAAUUUGUCGAUCCAGAGGAUGCUAGUAGGUAUGCAAACUUCAGAGUUCCAGCAAUGGACAGAAGAGAGCAAAAUGGAGUUGGAAUCUUCGUGUUUUGAUGAAAUGGUCAAAGGGGUUUUGACUUCAUCAAUGGGUAACGAAGAUGCUUGUAAUUCAAGAAAGUAAGUGGGAGCGUAAUAAUAUUUCUAAAAACCUUAUGUGCUUGGCACAUUGGUAAUUGGAAAUAAAUUUCUUGACACAAAUUAGGACUUCAUUUGAAAAUAGUUUUUCGAUGAAGUGCUUAGGCUAAAUAGCCUCAAUAUUAGGCAUGAUGAUCUAUGGAGAUAGAUUUACCUAAUGGGGCUAAGCAAUGAAUACAUAUUUACAAGAUGCUAAAACCUUUUAGCAUUUAAAACGCCAAGGAGUGAUUCUUGCCAAAGUCACAUGGAAAGAGUUUUUGCAAGACUCGGUGUCCCAAAACACUGAUGAGUAAAAUACAUGAUGCAGAUUCCACACACUUUUGUGUUUGGAUUAAUCAUGUAUUCCAUGGUAUGUAAAACAACCAGAUAUGUCCGAUACUCCCAAGGUGUUGCGAGUAUGGAUACCAAAGUGAUCAAAUUACUGAUCAUGGGACAACAGUGAAAGAUGUCACAGAGUACUAGAGUAAGUACUGAUGACAUGGUUUUCUCGCAAGCAGAGAUCAUGAAGAGUUCGUUGUAAAAUGUUACAUCGAUAGAGUCUUCAUCUUUUCUCCAUGCGAUUUUCGAUUUAAAUUAAGGGUUUUGUGUAACACACAAUGUGGUGGCAUAGUUAGUUGGAAUUUGUUCAAACUAGUUACUGUGGCGAAUUCUAUAACAAGGGCUAAGUAUGUUGACGCUUUAGAAGCGACAAAGAAGAUGUUGAAUCAUAUAGUUCAUUCAUGAACUUAGUAUAGUUCCAAGAUGGCUUUUGACAAUGGGACACUACUACAGGUAGUUGCUCCAUAACUCAGUCUGAGGAAUCCAGGUUCGACCUGUGAUUCACAUACAUACAAAGCCAAGUCCACACAAAAUAUGAAUUUUGUGAAAACGAGAGGACAUGCAAAGAUACACACGGAACUGAAGUCGUUAGAUCCGUUGGACAUCAGGCUAUACCACAAGCGAAGCAUAUUUACACCGGUGUGCCACAGGUGUGAAGUGCAUUAGCAUAAGCUGGAUUAUUGACUCUAGUGCAAGUGGGAGUCUGUAGGAGAUAUGCCCUAGAGGCAAUAAUAAAUGAUAUUAUUUAUCUCCGAGUUCAUAAUUAUGUUUAUGUUCCAUGCUAUAACUGCAAUGAUUCUCGAGUCUGCAAUAUCCACGAGGCUCGGAGGAAGACUCAUAUGCACGUGUGGAAUAAUAAACGGUAAGAAGUAUUCCUAGUCUGGCCUCUAAGACUAGCUCAAGUGUUGCAUGAUGAUUCUGUUUUCCUGGUCAUGGGCAUGUCUAUGCCAGCAACUUUGAGGGCACAAUGUUAAGAGAACAUUUGUGUUGAAUCGACCCGGAUUGAUGUUAUGCUAUGAGAUUCAUUCGUCACAAGUUUAUUGGUACAUAACACAGAGAUGGUUAACGUUUGCAUGAUUCCUUAGACCAUGAGAGUAUCGAGUUUCUUCAUGCUUGCUUCAUGAACUUUGGGGUUUGUUAAACGUCAUCCGUAAAUGGGUGGCUAUUACGGCGGCUUACGGGUUCAUGGAAAAGUGUGUCAAGUAACUUGAUAGCUCAAGAUUGGGAUUUGCUCCUCCGACGAUGGAGAGAUAUCUCUGGGCCCUCUCGGUGUUACGGUAUCCAUCAUCGUCUGGCCAGACACUUUGUGAUUUGAUCAUGGGGAUGCCGGAACACGAUAGCGAGAAAAGAGAACAAUACCAGUAACGAGGUAACUAGCAUAGUGGACAAGUUGUUGAUCCACGGGAAUGCCAACAUGUCUCACCUCGGGUAUUUGUAACAUAUCGCGAAGCAACAGGAAUAGCACACGACAACUGGAGGUUCACUCGAAUAUUUAUUCGUGUGGGUAUAGGGGUCAAUAUGGGUGUCCACGGCUUCGAUGUUGAUCAUUGAUCGGAAGGGGUUCCGAGUCAUGUCUAUACUUCACCGAACCUAUAGGGUCACACGCUUAAGGGUCAUCUAUCUGCUGAAUACUAGACAGGGAGUCUGAGAGAAAAUCACCGAAAAAGUUUCGGACACCGAAAAGUUUCGGACAGCGGAAUCGUACCGCAGAGAGAGGUCAUCGGAUAAGUUUCGAUGAUACCGAAAAGUUGUUUCGGGAUACACCAUUAAGUCAAAUUGGUUUCGGCACAUGCCUGAUAAUUCUUGGAGGAUGCCAGAAUCAUUCUGGAAGCUUUUUGGAAUUUUCCGAGAUAAAAACCGGAAAUGUUCCGGAGCUGCCGGAGCCACUUCAGAUGCGUUUCGCAGAUGAAAAUCACUAAAACCAGAAUUGUUUCGGAACGCGUUGAAAAUCAUUUUAGUGGGUACUGGAAAUGUUCUUAGCCCACAUAAAUAUUUUCAGUUCGAUCAAACGCUGAAAAAUGUCGUCGUGAAUAGUGAAAAUCAGCUUUAUGGUUACUUUAUGGAAAGCCACCUUUUGGGGCUUUGCUCCAAAAGAUCAUGGGGAUGACAUGGAUGGAUAGGAGCCAUUUUUUGGGCCCCUCAUGGGGGUGUGGCCGGCCACAUGGGGUAUCCCCCCUUGGGGACCCUCUUGUUCCUUGGUUUCACUCCUAGGUCCUUGUGGAAGGACUUCAUUCAUGUGCAUUUUGGGUUUUUUGUGAAACUACCCUACCCCCUUGGGAUUUCCUAUAAAUAGAGGUGGAGGGGCAGCCCUCCACACUCAUCCCUUGCUCUCAUACACAUGCCAUGCAUUAUCUGGCUUCUUCUCUCCCUCCCACGAAAAGAGUUUCGUAGAGCCGUAAGGCUGUCUGGGUUCCGGCAGGAACUAGUUCUGGACGGCGAAGCCCUGCCGGAUAGAUGACACCGUAUGUGUGCAACUCUGUAGAGAGAUCGUAGUUUCGGUCUUAGUUCGUGAGUGCCUCCCGAAGGGNNNNNNNNNNNNNNNNNNNNNNNNNNNNNNNNNNNNNNNNNNNNNNNNNNNNNNNNNNNNNNNNNNNNNNNNNNNNNNNNNNNNNNNNNNNNNNNNNNNNNNNNNNNNNNNNNNNNNNNNNNNNNNNNNNNNNNNNNNNNNNNNNNNNNNNNNNNNNNNNNNNNNNNNNNNNNNNNNNNNNNNNNNNNNNNNNNNNNNNNNNNNNNNNNNNNNNNNNNNNNNNNNNNNNNNNNNNNNNNNNNNNNNNNNNNNNNNNNNNNNNNNNNNNNNNNNNNNNNNNNNNNNNNNNNNNNNNNNNNNNNNNNNNNNNNNNNNNNNNNNNNNNNNNNNNNNNNNNNNNNNNNNNNNNNNNNNNNNNNNNNNNNNNNNNNNNNNNNNNNNNNNNNNNNNNNNNNNNNNNNNNNNNNNNNNNNNNNNNNNNNNNNNNNNNNNNNNNNNNNNNNNNNNNNNNNNNNNNNNNNNNNNNNNNNNNNNNNNNNNNNNNNNNNNNNNNNNNNNNNNNNNNNNNNNNNNNNNNNNNNNNNNNNNNNNNNNNNNNNNNNNNNNNNNNNNNNNNNNNNNNNNNNNNNNNNNNNNNNNNNNNNNNNNNNNNNNNNNNNNNNNNNNNNNNNNNNNNNNNNNNNNNNNNNNNNNNNNNNNNNNNNNNNNNNNNNNNNNNNNNNNNNNNNNNNNNNNNNNNNNNNNNNNNNNNNNNNNNNNNNNNNNNNNNNNNNNNNNNNNNNNNNNNNNNNNNNNNNNNNNNNNNNNNNNNNNNNNNNNNNNNNNNNNNNNNNNNNNNNNNNNNNNNNNNNNNNNNNNNNNNNNNNNNNNNNNNNNNNNNNNNNNNNNNNNNNNNNNNNNNNNNNNNNNNNNNNNNNNNNNNNNNNNNNNNNNNNNNNNNNNNNNNNNNNNNNNNNNNNNNNNNNNNNNNNNNNNNNNNNNNNNNNNNNNNNNNNNNNNNNNNNNNNNNNNNNNNNNNNNNNNNNNNNNNNNNNNNNNNNNNNNNNNNNNNNNNNNNNNNNNNNNNNNNNNNNNNNNNNNNNNNNNNNNNNNNNNNNNNNNNNNNNNNNNNNNNNNNNNNNNNNNNNNNNNNNNNNNNNNNNNNNNNNNNNNNNNNNNNNNNNNNNNNNNNNNNNNNNNNNNNNNNNNNNNNNNNNNNNNNNNNNNNNNNNNNNNNNNNNNNNNNNNNNNNNNNNNNNNNNNNNNNNNNNNNNNNNNNNNNNNNNNNNNNNNNNNNNNNNNNGGAGGGCUGUCUGAGGAGCAGAUGAGGGUAUACAUCCUCGCGGUUGGGAGGUUGUAAAUCCUAGCUGCGGGGAUCUGCACCGCCGAUCGUCAUCGACUCUACUUCCCGCUGCGCUACGAGUCGGUAACGAAAAAGAUCAAACCAUGUAUGCAGUCUCCAUAGUGGUCCUGGGCUGGUGCGUUGGUCGGAAAUUUUUUGUUUUCUGCUGCGUUACCCUACAAAGUGGAGGGUCCAAAAUGGGAGGAAACGACGCAAAGUCGACGGUAACUGGUAGUGACGACUUGUGGGGAAAUGCACCUAUUUUUUAAAAAUCGCUAAUGGCCCAAACCGAAAUAUGGAAGUUUAAGUGGCAGGACUCGGAUAUGCAAUUUUGGUAGUCGCACAGACCAAUUCUUCCCCAAAAUAUAAUAUGAAAACUUUUUUAUGAUAGGUUUGAGGAUAUUGAUCAGUAUCGUAUAUGUUAAUAUUUCUUUCUUAUAAACUAGAUCAAAGUGUAAUCAAACAAAACAAAUAUGCACUCUAUUUUGAAAGGAGGGGAGUAGGCCCUAUCUAUAAGACAUCAUGACCGUGGCUAUUCAUGAUUUCUUGGAACUAGUACUAAUGACAUUUUAUUGGACUAGGUAAUUGCCCGUGCAUUGCAACAGGGCCGAUCUACUGUGAUGGUUCAUGCACAUCAUGGCAUUUUUUGCUUAUAGUACCGCAGGAUCACUCUUCUUCCUCAAUCUCUCACUCACCCACUGCGCUCUCUCUCUCUCUCUCUCUCUCUCUCUCUCUCUCUUCUUCCACCUUGUCUGAAUAUUAGAUAGGAAUACUUGCCUAGAAACCAUAUGUCGGACUUGGAGCCAAAUGGAAUGUUAGCAAGAAGUUCAGGGCAUAUGUAACUGGGAGUUCCUACAACCUUCAAAAGAGACACGGUAUAUCAAAUCAUAAGCAACUUAGAAAGAGAAAGACCUACAUAUGUAGGGCUUGAGCAAGAACAACUUACUGACGAAGCUAAAUCAUCAGAAGUCAAUACUUUUGCCAAAAUCACCUAUGUCACACAACAUAUAUUCGGAACACAAAAUUUGUUGUCAGUUCAUACAAGUAUUCACAGUGCAGUUAUUCCAAGAUUUUUUUUUUUCGUGAGAGCAUACUUACCGAGCCAUAUAUUCUGGUCCUUUGUAAGAAAAAAAAUACAAAGCAUGGUGAGUAACCUGCUAGGAUUAACUGAACUGUGAUUAUCACAUAAAGUCACUACUAUUAUAAGAAGUUGUCCCAGGCCCCCGCGUCGCCCACCUCCCAGGGUGACUCGGGCGACAGCGAGAUCUACUCCGCCAGGUCCCUCUCGCACCUUCUCUCCCCCCUCGCCGCCGCCCUAUGGACUCGGCCUGGCUAAGCCCGUGCAGAUCCGGCGGCGAUGGGGCCCCUGGCACCCUGGUGUGGCUUGUCCUCGGGCGGGAGGCUCGAGCGAUGGAUGGACGGCGCAGCGCUCCACCGCCUGCGUCGCUAGGCCCGGUGGUGGUGGAGGACGGCGGUGGUCACGGCAGUGCGCCCAUGUCACCGCAACCCUCUUCUUCAGGAAUGGGAUCCUGCUCAGAUCCAUGGAGGCAUGGUGGUCGCAGCGCGGGCGCACGCGCGCGGAUGGCGUCCAGUCUGGCAGCAGGAUCAACCAUGAUGGUGGCGGCGGCUACCUCCGGCGGUCGGGUGUCCUUCACGUUGAUUUUGUCCGGUAAGCGGCUUAGCGGCGCCUCCGGCCAGAUCCGAUCUGGCCGGUGCUGCCAGCGGUGGUGUCCAUCUCCUCCGUCGGAGGUGGUCGGCCUGAGGCUGGAUGAUCAGAUCUCGUGAUCUGUCAUCUAGUUCCGGCUGCGAGUCGGGAUGACAUAGUUGCCAAUGAAAACCGAGCCGAUGGCAGACGAUGACGGCGCUAUACGCCGUUACCUUGAUGAACGCAUCAUCAUGCAACGAUUGUCGACCAACUCGUGCUGCUCCGAGGGAAACCCUAGGACCUGGUCUUCCAGAUCGGACGAUGGUGGUACUGCGGUGUCGUUUCUCUCUUGGGAGCAUCGUUUGUGAAGCAGCGCUGGAAGACAGAGGCAGGAGAUGGAGCGGCUUCGUCUUGCACGGAGCUUCGGUGGAGAUGUCAAGUCAUGCCUGGCCGACAGGUGCUACGCUGUGUCAUGCCUGGUCGGCAGGUGCUACGCACGACAGAUCUUCCAGAAUCUUCGCGUCUGGAUGGACGAGCGCGGGGUGGUGGCGCCGUUGUGUGCCGUGGUGGCGUCGACGGAUGGACGGACUGACAAGGAUGAUGUGGAUCUCUCUCUUGAAGAUGGGUCAGCAGUCCGAUGAUGAUGGCGGGUGUCUAAAAGAUGUGUAUGUGUGGUGUACACUGCUGCACCGGCUGUUCGUUCCGAUGCGUUAUGUGGAUGAAUCGGCGACGACAUCGGUUUAGAUAUGGGGAGUGAGAGCACUCCACAUAAUCAAGUUUUGUAGGUGAGAGUGGUGGCUUCGGGUGGUUUGAUGUACGUUCUUGUUAGACCUUGAUGAAAUAAUAAAUAAAGAUGGCCGCAUGCAUCGCUUGAUGCAGAGGCCCGGGGUUUAAACCUCCUUUUUCAAAAAAAAAACAUUAUCAGAAGUUGAGCAACUAAAAAUGCAUGGACAGACUCGCUUACUUUAUUGCCUGAUCAGGGCGGCUUGGGAAGGCCGGCGGCUCCACAACGUGUGGGCAUUAUGAGAAGAGUUGUGAUGUUGCUCCUCGUCACUGGUUAAAAGGGUGCUUGAUACGUUUUAGUGCUAUGACUAAAAUUAGUGGGACUAAAACUUGCUAGCCUCAUCCAUGCUUGGAUCCAAAUACUAAAGAGACUAAAAUCAAGUUAAUGAGCAUUUAUUAUCCUCCAAAGCCUCCAAUCCAGAACUCGGCUGUGUUAAAGGAGAGGAGUUAAAUGAGGAGAGAGAGGACUAAUCCACAUUUUAGUAGGGGUACCCCUGACUAAAAAAAUUUAGUCUCAAGACUAGUUUUAGUCUCUCUUUAGUCAGGGGUGCUUAGAACUUUAUCCUCUUAAAAGAUUAUUUUUAAUCAGACUAAAAUAAGUCCCUUGAAUCCAAGCACCCUCUAAUUGUCCAAUGCUACUGCCACACCAUUUUGCAAACACGGCAAUGAAAAGGUCAAACCAUAACUCCACGCUUACCUUAGAAGGCAGAUCAAAAAUUAAAAUUGAGUCAGUGAUUAGAAUCCUGCAGCCUCGCGUGGUUGUUCAUUGACACAACAGAUAGAGCUACUACUAUGAUGAGAAUCAAUCUAAUAGAUACGUGUCCCUGGAAAGAGUAUGAACUUUGGACUCCCAAUUGUCGUCGGACGAGCACAGGCGGGCGCACAUGUCUUUUCGGCCAGGCCCAGGCGUCUCCUCCUAGCACCAAUGUUGCAGACCUGUCUCAAACCUGAACCAUAGAUUGAUGCAACCGUGAUGGUGGUCAUCACAUUUUAGAUUGAUGCAGCAGUGUCAGGCUCAACGUAGCGGCAUGUACUGUGGAGUGUGGAGUGUGGAGUGUGCCGUCUAUGACUGCCAACACAGGUCGGCUAGGCGAGAGAGGAAGGAGGAGGAAGACCGGCGAUGAUAAUUACGGAGAGUCAGAAGCAGUGGCAUGGGUGAGAGGAUGGUCGGUGGUGCGUUGCAAAGAGGCAUCAAGGCCGGUGGCGGCAUAUGAGUGGCUGGAGGCGGUCGUGCAUGAGAGCACGGGGGCGUACAGGGAGGCGCCGAUGGUCGGGUUUGGCUAGCGCCGACGCUAAACCUGGAAUUUCCUAUUCGACUCUCUCUGCGUCGAAAUGUCGAGGUAACGCACACAGCGACGAUACUAACCGAACGACUGGGCCGGCCCAUCUAUAUAUCUUUCCCUAAUCUUUCUUUCCCUAUAAUAUAAUUAUAAUUAUAAUUAUAAUUUAUAUAAUAAAGCACGGAUUGACUCCGUGGGUUCAUCUUCACAAUACGCUUUCUUCUCGUGUCAUAAUACGCUUUUACGAUUUGUAUAGACAAAAUCGUAAUAUAAACGAGGUGGUACUAAAACGCUUGCGAAAAAGUCAUUAUUUUUUUGAUGGUACUAUUUUUCUGCCCACCUCACGAUUGUUUUUUUUAAUAGUUUGAAUUGCUUACCACAUGUGUCACGUGGUGCCCACCUCACGGUUGUUCACGCAGUCGGGCAACUCAUCCAGCAAGUUAUAUGCCAAAUUCAGUUCUUUUUUCUAACUAAGCCUGGCCCACGAGGCCACGUCCAGUUGAAGCUAGACGGACGAUGAAUUGGAGAUGGGAAAGUGUUAAAAUCAGCCGGAUGAUCUAUCCCAAGCGUAAGCCGCGUCUAACGUUUGACACGUGUCCAGGUGGGCCUCGCGCAUCACAGCUUCCACCCUUCGUGCUUAUCCCAAUUCUCAACCGAGAAGCACUCACCACACAUCUAUUCUCUCCCCGUACACCACGCGUUGACUGCAAACCACUCACAAACUGUCUAUUGAAUCUCGCCGGCUCUACAAGGCCCUGGAUGCGCCGCUCGCGGCAGCGCUAACCGGCGCUACAACCGGAGAAUCUCGCCGGGGGGAGUGCUGCAACCAGCCGUUGCAGCCACCAUGGGUCUGCUGCAAUCCUGUCUCAAAUCGACGGCUAAUGUCGCCGAAGUUGCAAUCGCACAGCUCGUCGGUGUUGCAGCCGUGGCCGGCGCCAACGGAGGAAACGGCCGCAUCGUCGGGACCGUCAGCCAUGGUUGGUGUUGCCGAGCGUGUUGAUGCAGCGCCGCCGGUGUUGCGGAGAGGAGCGCUGCAACCCGUGGAUCUCGUCAGCGGCGGUGGAUGGUUCCGUGGAGCGCGCGUGUCGCGUCCUCGUAGCUCUCGGUGGGCGACGGAGCUGCAGUGCAACUCGCCGGUGGGCGGGAGGUAGCUUUAGUGCAACAUGCAUCGUGCUGCCCGCCGGUGGCGGAGCUCAGUGCAGCGGGCGUGGCGCUGCAUGCCGGCCGGUGGAGCUGCACACUAGUACAAAACAGGGCUUUCGUCACAGGGCAAUAUUCACAUUAGUCCCGGUUCAGUCACGAACCGGGACUAAUGUGAGCAUUGGUCCCGGUUCGUGCGGCUAAGGCAUUAGGGCCGGUUCACCUGGGCCCUUUAGUCCCGGUUGGUGCCACGAACCGGGACUAAAGGGUGCGAUGCCCAUUAGUACCGGUUGGUGGCACCAACCGGGACCAAAUGUUAGUCCUUUAGUCCCGGUUGGUGCCACCAACCGGGACCAAAGGACAUGUGCUGCCCGCGUCGCGGCCAAAGUUUAGUCCCACCUCGCUAGUUGAGAGAGCUCGAGAGUGGUUUAUAAGCGCUGCUGCGCCCAUCCUCUCGAGCUCCUCUCAAUUGCAGGCUUUCGGGCCUAACCGUACACUGUGUGCCUGUGGGCCUACUGGGCCACCUGCGGGCCUGAAUCCUGGCCCAUGGUUGGGUUUCUAGUCGUAUUCAGGCCGUGGUGGCCCAGUAGAUGGCACUUUUUUUUCUUUGUUGCUUUAUUUAUUUUAUUUUGUUUCUACUUACAACAAAAUACUUACUGUUGCUAUUUUUAUUUAUUUUAUUAAAUUUUAUUUUUUAAUUCUUUUUGCUUUUAGGUCACAAAAAUUAUAAACUUUCUGUUAGUGCCAUUAGUUUUCAAAUUUGAAUUCUUUGAUUUUGUUAUUAUUGUGUUUUAUGAUUCUAUUCAAAAACAGAUUUUGUUAUUUUAGUUUCUAACAAAAAAAUCUUUAUGAUAAUGCUUUUUGCUAUUAAAUUUCUAACAAAAACAUUCUUUAUGAAAAUUCUUUUCGCUAUUAAAGGGCCCAUCAAACUCUACCCCCCCUCCCGUGGACCGCCUUUUCAGUUUUAGAAAAAACAAAAGAAAAUGAUGGAAAUGUCAAAAAAAUAAAAUAACAUAAGUUUCCCAUGUGAUAUGUGGUCUAGUUGUUGGGAAAAUUAACAAAUAUGAAUUUCGACUUUAUUUGCAAAAUCUCUCUGGAAUUUCUUAAAAUGGGCAUAACUUUUGCAUACGAACUCGGAUUAAAAAGUUUUUUAUAUGAAAAAUCAUCUACUCGAAAAGUUACAUCCGAAUUUAGCCCGGGGAACCCCGUUAAACAUUUUCAAAAUCCUCAAAAACCUAACAGAAAAAAGAUACGGGGCUUUUAAGAUCUAGAGAGGCAAAAAAAUUCAAAAAAUUUCAAAUUGUGGUCAAACUGUGGUCAAACAAUGGUCAAACUAAUUAUUCUAGAAUAUUAGUGUUACUAAAUAAUUAUUUCAGUUUUUUUGAAUUUUGGUCAAAUCUGGUCAAACAGUGGUCAAACAAUGGUCAAACUAAUUAUUCCAGAAAUAUUAGUGUUACUAAAUAAUUAUUGUUUUUUAAAACAAUAGUUUCAAACUCAAACAGUGAAAUGUGUCACUUCAUGCUCAAGCUAAAUUCCUGAGGGUUAAUAGAAUUGACAUCUUACUAUUGUCAGGAAAACAACAAGUGCAGACUUGGAAACGAGGGAGAAUAGAACCCGGAAGUUAAGCAUGCUCAGGCUGGAGUAGUGAGAGGAUGGGUGACCGUCCGGGAAGUUAGAUGAUUUGGAAUGACGAGGGGUGAUUAGAGAUUAGAGGAUAAAUUGAGCAGUGAUGAGGGGUGAUGAUUAGAGAUUAGAGGUUAAAAUAAUUCAGAAAUUUGAAAAUAAAAAAAAUUUCAAAAAAUUCGCAAAAAAAAUUUUCAAAAAAAAAAACAUAAAAUUUCCUUUAGUCCCGGUUGGUGUUGGUAACACCAACCGGGACUAAAGGUGGAGCUCCAGGCUGCGUCCAUGUGGACGGCCUUUAGUCCCGGUUCGUGUAAGAACCGGGACUAAAGGGGGGAGGCAUUAGUAACGAGCCUUUAGUCCCGGUUCAAAAACCGGGACUAAAGGCCCUUACCAACCGGGACAAAAGCCCCCUUUUCUACUAGUGGCAGUGCAACAUGCCGGUGGACGUCGGAACUGCAGUGCAACGGGCUGCCGCCGGGGCUGCAAUGGAGCUCGGUCGGAGUUUCAACGGAGCUUCGCCGGAGUCGUCGGAGCUCCGCCGGGGCCGCAAUGGAGCUCGGCCGGAGUUGUAAUGGAGCUUCGCCGGAGCGUCGAUGUUGCGUUGGAGCUCCGUCGGUGCUGCUAUGGAGCUCGGCCGGAGUUGCAAUGGAGCUUCGCCGGAGUGUCGAUGCUGCGUUGGAGCUCGUUCCGGUUCCAAUGGAGCUCACCGAACGUCGUCGGUACUGUGUUGGAGGCUUGGAGCUAUGCGCCGGGCUGCAAUGGUGUUGUGCUGAAAGCUCAAUGCUGCCCGCCGGCGGCGGAGCUGCAAUGCAACGUGGGCGCAGCUGCAACGCGCGGAUCUCACUGGCGGCGGAGCUGCAAUGCUACUCGUGUGGCGACUUCCUGAUCUCGCCGGCGACGGAAACUGCAAUGCAACGGGCUGUUUUUGCUGUGGGGGAUUUGACCCGUGGUGCAUGGCCGGUGCAGGUACUUACACGGGAGGAGGGGAGGACCAGGUUGUUGACGACGAGCGACGGACGACCGAGUCAAUUUCAGGCUUGGAAAGGGGAAGGAUGCACGUGGUCUAGCUGGCUUAAAUCAAACGGCUGCGCGCCUCUCAUCGAACGGCUAGCUAGGCGGUUUAGAAUUUGACUCCUGUCAACCGGAUGACGCGUAGCACUGGCCAUUGGAGAUAACCACGACCUGACUUUAUCUGGCUCGGUCUUUUCGUACGUCGCUCCCCUGCUACCGUGUUACCCAACACGUAGUACUAUUUUUUCUCCGUGACUCUAGAGGACGAGGACAGUUGGAGUCGAACACCGAUAUCCCUGGCCGACUUCCCAAUUCCUUCCAUAAAUAUCGUCUCGGCAGAGACGGAGGCCUGGAUAUGUGAAGGCGGUGCAGAAACAGACGGCCGUGCCGGCAAUGAUAGGUGCCAUACGAACUCGCCGAUGUCGUCCGUUGUGUCGUCAUCGGCAGAAAGUGAGGAUCUCCCUCCUCCUAGCCGACAGCCGGACCGCCGUCGUGCUAUCCGCCGGCCCAUGAGCAAGAUGCCCCCCAUCCGCCUCGCCAACAGACGGUCCGCCGUCAUGCAGGCAUGGCACGGUCCCGGUCCCCGAUGAACGCCGCCAGCCGAUGCACUGGUCGAACGAGAUAUCGUACAGUGCUGGGUAUCGCGUGUGGCCAUGAUUGCGCACGCCUGUCGUUCCCGAUCAGGUCGCACCGUAGGAGGACAAUGAUUUCGCAUGUAAGACACCUCCACGGACUGCAUCAGCACUCCAGCCGUCUCGUGCCCGGCGGCAGCGGCAAGACAGCACAGCGGGAGGCAGAGGUAAGUAGACGAUUGUGGUAGCAGCGACGAACAGGCUGGAGGAAUUAGUGAUGUGUACUUGCAGUUGUCAUGAACGACAAAUUAACACGUACGGCUUGUGGACACUAAUAGGCUUCUUUCAUUAACAUGGAACACAUUGGCGUUUAAACAUCUUCUCUUUCCCAUUACAGGACACAUGCCCUGUUCUACGUCUUUAUGUAGUAGAUCAAACAGCAGACCUCCCAUAAAAAAGAAGCAGAGAUGCUUAAAUUAUGGCCAUGGCCGAGCUAUUCUGUUGCCGUGUCCUCAUGUGAAUGUGUGUGUUGUCUGAGUCGAGCUGGUGUUUAGAAAAAAACCAACAAACAGGAGCCUUCAUAUCUAUCACGCUCAAAUGGCAUGCAAUCAUGCAUGUACGCGCAAAUUGAAAGCUUAAUGAGUGAUAUUAAAUAAUGAGUUCCCCUAAAAAUAUAUUAAAUAAUGAGUGUGAUUUUUGUAUCCUUUAUAUUCCAUUAAUAGAUGGAAAUGUGUAUUUUAUUAGGUGAUUUGUUAACAAUUUAGAUUUUUGUUGCAAAUAAUAAUAUUUCGCUUUUUCUGAUCAACUACUCCAAUUAUGGAGGUCAAUGUUGGAGUACGAUUUUACCGAGGUAAAAUAUGUUGUUUGUAAGAGAUUUUGUAUUCUUUACCAAUACAUGGACACCAUAGAGUAGCUCUUCACGCCUAGCUCAAGUGGAAUGUGUUUUUAAGUUAUAAACAUUUCCUUGUAUUGGUAUGGUUUAAUGGAUGGGUGAGCUCGUCGUCUUGGGAUUGACCAUGUUCAGAUGCCUUGCGACCUGUUAGACCGUUGGUGAUGGUGGAAAAGAGGAUAAUCGUCGACAAAUGGGGUGUCACAUUGAAAUAGAUGUUGUGGGCUGUGUGGGGGAGGUGUUGGGAAUGGGAUUAUGAUAAUUUUUUUUCCUAAUGCAACACACGGACAUAUUUGUUAGGAUCCAACAAAAUAUUGUGAUGCGCUAGGAAAACAAUACCAUUGGAAGCUAGGCGUCGAUGGAGACGUCAAGGUCACACGGCCACCACAAGUUUGCAUUGUUGUUUCUUUCCGUUGCAACGCACGGGACUUUUUGCUAUAAUAAUAAUAAUAAUAAUAAUAAUAAUAUAAUCUCUCCCUAUAUAAAGCACGGAUUAACUUUGUCGGGUUCACCGUCACAAUACGCUUUUUUCUCAUGUCAUAAUACGCUUUUACUAUUUGUAUGAAUAAAAUCGUAAUAUAAACGAGGUGGUACUAAUCUUUCCCUAAUAGCGUGCGCCCUGCGCUGCGUUUUUUCGGGGCCUGCACCCAUCCGCCCCGCACCCGCUUGGGCCUCAUGAAGCCGGCCCAUCUACACUGGGAAAGGCAAAAACAGUGGCGCCUUGUGUCGCUACCCGGGAUCGAACUCGCAAUCUCCUAGGAAAUUUGUAAGGCUGCAACCAACCGAGCUAGACAAUGUUUUUGUUUAGUCCCACCUCGCUUUAGCACAUCACAUAUCACCAGUUAAAAUAUGUGUGUGAAAACUGCACCUAUGUGGAAACUGGCUGCUCGAUGGAUUAUAUGGCCGCAAUGAGAAAACGCAUGCACACAAAUCGGCCCAAUGACUCCGCAUCUCUCAGAAAAAUAGAGAAAUACAGGAAGGAUAAUUCAAGGAAGGAUUGAGAAUUGUUGGGAAAAUUAGGGACAAAAAUAUAAGAAAGGUAAUUCAAGGAAGGAUUGAGAAUUGAGGACAAGUCAAUAAUAUAGACUGAGAGAAAUAAUAUAAAGGAAGGAACGAGAAUUGAGGAAAAAUCGUGCCAAAUUUCCAUGAUAUCCGUACGUGGAGGCUAAUCUUCUAUUUAAGUGGUGGGCUAAUUAAACAGGUUCCUAAACUAGGAGAGCCACCCAUGCCUAUAGGUGGGGAUUCGGCUUGCCUGCUCUAUACGUGGUGGCUGCUAUUUAGACAGAUUCCUAAGACUGAAUAAUAUAAUAUUGAAAGCCCCGACGUAAUGCCGGGAAUGAAUAUAUGUUCAAACUUCAAGAAGAAAGUUAUAUCCACGACUACAUUGGAUGUUUUUUUCUCCAUUGCGUCUUUGGUAUGACCGAGUCGACCAACACAUGCCGGUCACUGACAUGCUCUUCUGCUAGACAUCGUCACGUAGAAGCCUGCCUCGCUCAGCCCAGUGCCACCGGUCACAACGGAUGAGGAGUCGAACUCAAAUGUCAUGGUGUGUCCAACACGAACUACUCCAUUUUCCCUACUAUAUUAGCCGAAUGAUAAUAAAUCUUUGCCCAACGUUCUUAGUCUAGCCGAACACGAAGGAUGCUAAAGCAUCCAGUUCUUGGGCCUGGCCAACCUUGCUUAGUAACAAUUGGCAGUGUGGCUAUCGACAACGAGGGUGGAAAAGUGGAUAAGCGGAAACUUGAUUCAGGUGUCAUGUUCAAAUAGAGGACGCCGGCCUAAGAGUGAGGUCUUAGUCAUGUUUAUUUGGUUAGGGGCAUGGAGGUGAGGUCUUACGCCAUGCUCAAUUGGUUGAGUUAGGACUUGUGGUGUUUGUUUUCUCCCGUUGCAACGCAUGGGCAUUUUUGCUAUCUUUUCCUAAUAAUAAAGCACGGAUUGACUUUGUCGGGUUCACCGUCACAAUACGCUUCUUCUCGUGAAUUUACGUUUUCAGUUUUUUUCCGACACGUCCAUAUUUUUUCCAAAAUUCAAGGUGGUACUAAUUAAAUCUACGGUCCCUUUUUAGAUGUUACUUUAAGCCGACACCUUGUCCUACGUUACGUGUAGGUUUCAGACUCCAGAGAUAACUCCCGUUGAAGAACGAACUGGGAAACUCCCAAACUUAUAAAUAACUACAUUACUAAUCCCUAAUACAAAGAGAACAGGCGCAUAGAGAAUCCCCUCGAUUUCCUCCUCAUAUAUCGCACGAACUCGAUGAUGCCGCCGCCAAACCACCGCAAGUCCAAGAGCUUGAUUCUCUCCAUCGCCCUCGCCGACAGCCGGGCCACCAUCACGGCAGGAACUCGCCGAUGCCAUCCACAUGCCUGAUGCUCUCCCUCCGCCUCACCGACAGCCGAACCGUCGUUGGUCUUGCCGGCAUGGACCUGGUCCAUCAUGAUCGCCGCCGGCCGCUGUUAUGGCCGUGUUAAAAAAGGAUGUUGUAGAGGCGCUGGGCGCCAUGCGUAGCCACGACUGGAUGGCCUGAUCUUCCCAGCCAGGUGGCAUCGUAGGAUGGCAAUGAGCUCACAUGCAGGGACUACGUCCGGCACUCCGGCCGUCGCGCGUUUGGUGGCAACAGCGAAGGCAGCAAGGCAGAGGUGGCGGUGUGAGGGCAGAUUGAAGGUGCUUGGAUGCAUCCCUACUGGCCACCGCAUCUGCACAUCGUACUCAUAAUAGUUCCCAGGUGUUGGUCAACCUUUUCCCUCUCACGGUUGCACCAAUCCAUGGCUGCAUAUGGUGGCCAUAGACAAAGCUUUUCAAGAAGAGAUAAGAAUCUGGUAUAUGGCUCGUGUAAAAAGUCUUCCAACUGCCUAGAUCUAGGCUUGUGGAUGCAUGGUGUCUUCUUGCCCAAAGUCGUCGGCGUGCACACAAGACGAUGAGAGCUCGUUUUUUUGCGAAAGAGAGCCCAUAUUUUCAACCACUCUAUUUUUUCCUUCAGGUCUUGUGGCAUCAAGGCGGUGUGGCACUUGAUCUUUGUGCGUGUGCAUGCGUGGAAAUUGGAUGUGCUGCUGCUUACACACUAAAAUUGUAGCUAUUUGUUUUUCGACAAAGGGUGAAUUUUAUUGGCUCAAAAUAGAGCAUCAAGAAGAUACAAACAUAAUGAGCACACCCGGCCUCUGCAUAGCUAGGAUGCACACAGCCAACACCAACACACGCACACAAGAACAUACCAACAAAUAGCAAAGUCAUACAAGACCAAAGCUAUGCAUAGGUGAGAAAAAAAAAACCUGAAUCGAUCAAAUCCAUAAUCGGAAAACUACAUCAAUGACCAUAUCCACACCAACCAUCUUAUUACACCAAAUGAACGACGAGAUUCUUCAACAGCAACGCCUUCAGAAAGGGAGCGACGCUCAAUAGUCGCCGUCACCGGAUCCAACCACCUAAGGUCAGAAUCUAGGUUAUUUGUGGUGAGGUAAUUUUUGGUUGUGUGCGCUACUGCUUCUUAUAGACGUGAAUUUCUACUUCUUGCAAUUACUAAUGCACAAAUAUUUCAGAUUUUUUAUAUUCCAGACAUAAUAUUUAGUUUAGAAAGGCGGACAUGGCUGACACAAUGACGCAUAUAAUUUAAACCCCCCAUUCUCUGGCUAUAUGAUGCACAAAUGGGAUUAGUUUGGCAGUUCUAAACUGGUCUGCCGAAGGUAGCGCUAUUGUGGCCUAGAACUCACUUCUUAACUGCAAGGUCCAUGUGUUGUCUAGAUGCGCAACUCUUGCUCCAAACUGUAGAGGAUAAUGGUGCAUAGACCAAGUGUGAGGAGUAGCUCACGGAGGGUGGCCAUCACGUCGAACUUGGCAACUAUAGUUUUUAAACUUUAAACAUUCUCUUGCGUUGGUGAGGUUUAAUGACAGGUGUGUCGUACGUUGGUGAAGUUUAAUGACAGGUGUGUCGUGUGUUUUAUCAUAGAAUUAACCACUUUCGGACAUGUUUGUCAUCAGGUGGACACCAUGGCCUCCAUCGAUGAGGGCAAAAAAAAAUAAGCAGUGAAGAUAUGGAAGUCUUAAGACAUGCUAAUUUAGCUAGGGGCCUACCAUAUAUAUUACCCCGUUGCAACGCACGGGCAGNNNNNNNNNNNNNNNNNNNNNNNNNNNNNNNNNNNNNNNNNNNNNNNNNNNNNNNNNNNNNNNNNNNNNNNNNNNNNNNNNNNNNNNNNNNNNNNNNNNNNNNNNNNNNNNNNNNNNNNNNNNNNNNNNNNNNNNNNNNNNNNNNNNNNNNNNNNNNNNNNNNNNNNNNNNNNNNNNNNNNNNNNNNNNNNNNNNNNNNNNNNNNNNNNNNNNNNNNNNNNNNNNNNNNNNNNNNNNNNNNNNNNNNNNNNNNNNNNNNNNNNNNNNNNNNNNNNNNNNNNNNNNNNNNNNNNNNNNNNNNNNNNNNNNNNNNNNNNNNNNNNNNNNNNNNNNNNNNNNNNNNNNNNNNNNNNNNNNNNNNNNNNNNNNNNNNNNNNNNNNNNNNNNNNNNNNNNNNNNNNNNNNNNNNNNNNNNNNNNNNNNNNNNNNNNNNNNNNNNNNNNNNNNNNNNNNNNNNNNNNNNNNNNNNNNNNNNNNNNNNNNNNNNNNNNNNNNNNNNNNNNNNNNNNNNNNNNNNNNNNNNNNNNNNNNNNNNNNNNNNNNNNNNNNNNNNNNNNNNNNNNNNNNNNNNNNNNNNNNNNUUACGCUUUCACUUUAAAUUUAAAACAUAUACACAAGGUGGUACUAUAUGUUUUAUGUGCCCAAACUUGUAGCUAAAAUUUCCUUAAAACGUUUCGGAGACUCUGUCACCUCCGUAGCCACCGGGAUAGGAGCGGCACAUCUAUAAGUAGCGAGAUCUGAGAGAACGCUGAACCACGCCGAUCGAACAUCGUGGACGCCAUCAUGGAUACGCGCGUGAGCUGCGCCGCCGAGCAGAGAAGGUCGAAUGGGGGACGGCUCCGGCGGGGCUCUCGUCGGCGAACUCGUCGGCCGUCCGGCUCUCCCCUCCGCCUCUGUCCCUCUCGGCCUCUCCUCCGCCUCCGGCGUCCCCGGCCCCCCUGUAGGUGCGUCUCCAUCCCAGCAUCUGAGCUCCCCUGUCCUCGUUGGCCAGCAGCCGUGAUGAGGCGCUCGUCGGUCGGCAGCCAUGGCGCCGCUGGGUGGAGAAGAUUGGCGGUGGCGUCAGAUCUUCCCGUCGUCCGGUUCAUCUCGUGCACCGUCACGUCCACCGCUUCGGCCCCGUCACGCGCGCGGCCGUGGUGUACAUGGCGCCCAUCCUCCCCGGCCCCCCGGGACCUCACCUGCCCCGCUCGGCCCGUCGACGACGACCACGUCCCACCUCGCGUCUAGCACCUCCCGCGGUAAGGAGGUCAGCACCAGCCGGCAACCCAACUUGCGCACCGUCCCCGUCGGGCGCCGGCACACCGGGCUCGACCUCGCGCGCCGCAGCACCGCCCACGCCUCCCCUGCCGGGUCGGGGUACCUUGAAACAUGGACGGCCGCCGAGCUGCUGGGGCCACGCCCAACGAGCAUGCCCCCCCGCGUCCUCGGCGCUGUCGGUGACGGAGGCGGUGGCAGCGCCCUGCCCGGAGUUGACCGCGGCGAGCGCGAGGAGCUGCGGCGAGAGGCCGAACACAAGCAGCCUGCUGGGCGCGCGCGCGGCCACGAUGGAGCGGAGCAGCGCGAACUCCUUGGCGUUGAGGCCGUCUGUGGACGAGAGGUGAAGAGCGAGGAGGUGGUGGUCUGGGACACAGCCAAGGUGCAUCCUGCGCAUCAAUCAGAGACGAAGGCCAGGUAUGUAUGCAAUUAAUUCAAAGAGAUUUACUGAUUUACUUUAAUGACUACUCAGGAAGUAUGUGACAGGGAUGUUUCUCCACUGACCCCUGGAUCAUGAACGCUAAUUACAGUUGCGGAUCUGCAUAUGUGUGACUGGGAUUUUAUGGCUGCUGCAUGGCAUUGGGCAAUAUGGUGGAAUUGUUGUGGGAUUUUGGAUGUCUUUGCGGGUUCACAGAGAUAGAUGUAGGUGAGUUUCUUCUGUGCUUAUGAUUGUGUUUGAUAAUGCCUCGUUCAAUGAGCGUGCCAUUCGACCAAUUGCGAUCGUUUCGUGGCUGAUGCGUUGCCACUUGGGCCUCAGCCUGUUUGUGUGAGAUGUUCCAGCCCCAGCGAGUGUUUCUGUAAUAAAAUGUAGAAGAUUAUGGUUAAUAGAUAGUCCCACAUCGUUUACUUGUAGACAGUCCCACCAAUUUAAAUGUGUUUGUGAGUUGACGACAACAAGUAGCAUCAAAGGAGUUGGUCAAAGAUGGAAUAAAUGGAGCGGGAGAUGCUACCUCAAGAAUCAAAGGAAUUAACAAAGAAAGAGAACAGAGGGAACUCAGGCGAUGUCAUGGCCCGAGCAGAGGCAGUGGUCGACUGUGGGAGGGCAAAAGAAUAGAGGGAACUCAGGCGAUGUCAUGGCCAGAACAGAGGUGGCGAUGGACUGUGGGAGGGUGGGCCGGCAGCGGGCAAACUUGGGCGGCGUUGGUUCACCGUCGAGGUCAGGGGAGGGAAGAAAAGGAAGGAGAGGAGGCGCGGAGGAGGAGCUCGCCGGCGGCAACGCCGUGCCAGAGGCGCGGGCAGCGGGGGAAGCGAGGAGAUCGGGGCAUGGGGGCUAGCGUGCCUGUAUGGCGGCGCAAGAGGGAAAGGAUCGAGAGAGAGAGGAGAGGAAUUUUAGGAUCGGUCUGCUCUAGGUUUUUUUUUAAGCAACUUCUGGUAGGGUAAGAGAAACAGGAGAUGGGCCUUUGCUAGACCAGCUAGGCAAGUGGGCCUCUCUCUCUCUCUUUGCUGUUUUUAUUUCUUUCUAAUUUAGAAUAAACAGAGAACUAAAAGAAGUGAGGAAAAUUCCCCUCGAGUUUUGAAGUGAGGAUAUUUGCCCUGGAUCAAUUUAAAUGUGCUUAAUCCAGGAACAUAUAGGAUUUGGUCAUGAUGGAGGAAUUUAAAUUUAAUUGAAAACAAAUAUACACGGAUCACUAUGCCUCAGAGCUAGCCGAAACGCGGUUCACUCGAUAGAAGAUGGGCAAGUUUGGUAAAAUGAUGAAUAUACACAAACAAAUACUCCCUUCAUCCCAAAAUUCUUGUCUUAGAUUUCUCUAGAUACGGAUGUAUGUAACACUAAAAUGUAACUAGAUACAUCCGUAUUUAUAGACAAAUCUAAGACAAGAAUUUUGGGACAGAGGGAGUAGUAGAUGGGCAAGUCGUGUACACAAGGAAAAACUCAUGAAUUUAUUUCCAUCACGGAAAAAUACUCCCAUGGUUCCCGCAAGCACAUCGGUUGAUUUCAAUUAGAAAAACACACCGUGUAUGUUGCUGCCAAAAAAAUAAAGAGGAAUAACCCAGUAUGGACUCGGCGGUGAGUGAUGCAAUGAGGAAGCACGCCAUGCUCCUCAGGUUAUUCCUCCAACGACACCUGAUAAACGCUAGCUUCAAGACGAUAGGAAUAGGAAUACUCUAGGACCAAUCUGUCGAGAAGCAUGGUCGGCGGUGAGUGGGAGCCAAGAUCACCAUGCCAUGCACACAUACCACCAUCCGCGUCAGCAGUUGCCACCGUCUACAAGCGUUUGUAAGAACAUGAACAUAUGUCCAUGGGGAUGGGAGCCGAGCCGAACACCCAUAUAAAAUUGUAUAAAACUCACGGGCACUCACAAAAUUGAUGUUUGGAGCAACGAUUUGAGUGUAUUUUCUCUUUUCUAAAUUUAAAAUUAGAUGCAAACAAUCAAAACAUCUUUAAAGAAUAGGUUCAAACAAUCAAAACAUGUAUGCUCUACAUGAAAAAAAAUAACUGCACAUUUGAGUUUUUGUUUUCUUUUUGCAAGAAACAGUCAUAUUUCGGGUACAAAGACCAAGGAAGACCAUGUAAAAAUACAACUACAUGUUAGAAAAUCCACACUAGAAGUAGAUACUCUGUAGCAAUCUCUAUAGUGGAAAACAAUGCAUGCCUCUGUAACUACUGUUGGCACUAUUAAACUUGAUUUGGGAAAUUAAGCUUUAGUAAUAUUUCAUAUUCAUGGUUUAUGCUAUUACUGCUUCUCUGCCGUGUUGAAAUGGUGGGCGUGUAUCUAUGUGGGCUCUUAAACCACUAUUUUCCUAAGAUUGAGUUUUUUUUCUUCCGUUGCAACGCACGGGCAUAUUUGCUAGUAAUAAUAAUAAUAAUAAUAAUAAUAAAGUACGGAUUGACUCCGUGGGUUCACCGUCACAACACGCUUCUUUCCGUGAAUUUACGCUUUCAGUUUUUUUCACCUAUAUUAUUUUCUACAUCCGAGGUGGUAUUAUUAGUAGUUAUAGAUUUGAGGUGGUACUAAAAAUUUGUCCAUCUAGAAUAAGCCGUACGUUGUCUAAGCAACGUUCAACUGGGCCGAUUUUGUUUCCGUGUAGCAAUGAGCCAGGCAAGUGGGCUUUGUACUGAAGUUUUUUAUGGGCUGUGAGCACGUGAGUGGACUUUUCAGAAUCAGGUGUAUACGAGCUUGUUGCUCAAAAAAAAGGUGUAUACGAGCUUGGAUAGAACUCAGAACCUCUCCUCCUGUCCCACCUCGCUUCUUUAGAUACAAUUCUACCGGUUCAUAUACUUAAGCAGUUUGGAGGAUCAACAAGAAGAAUUGGGUACCCAAGGAAAGGAGGCGAAAAAGAAUUAACCCAACAAGGAAACGAAGGAACACCGAGAAUGGAUCAAAAGGAGCAACUGUCCCUGAUUGUUGUGCCAGCUAAAGUAUUGACUUAUGAUGAUUUAGCUUAGCUUCAAUCAGUAAGUUGUUCUUAAUGCGCAAGAGAGUGGAGAGAGAGAGAUAGAGAGAGCACCGGGAAAGAGAGUGAGUCGAUGAUAAAAAAAAAGUCCAAAAUGCUACAAUGUGCAUGGGCCAUCGGAAUAGAUCGACCCGCGGCAACUAACUAACCCGGCAAAGAAAGGAAGACACCCUAUUUGUCAUGCGAGUUUUCUAAAAAGCCAUAAUCAGUGUUCUUCCAGCUUGGGCUAAACUUAUUAGUGUUUGUCCAGCUUGGGCUGAAAUUUUAAUCAGUCCAGCUAGCUCUUUCUACGUACUUGAUCCAGUGUACAGAUCAAUUAAGGCAUUUCCCUGAAUUAGCUUUGCAUGUACCGCAAAGUAAUUCUGUUGAUGUGUUUCUUCGUCCAAAAGUACCGACUGCUAGGGUCACACAUUAUGCUCGUCGAAACCUAUACUACGUGUUCAGGUGUGCGCCAACACUAACCCAACACGUACUACAACACCGACACCACCUUGUAAAAUUCGAGGACCCGGUGAAAUCAAGCAGACACCGCCAUGGAGCGGUGAUGUCGCAUGAAGUCCAUCAUGACUUGAUGCAUUGUGUAUGUGUGCUUCUACUCACCAAAAAAAGAUAGCUUGGCAUACUAGCUAGGAAGCCUCUCAGAAAAUUCAUCCAUUUGCCUGCUUCCAAAUCAUGUACACGUGUGUACAUUGUUGUGGCCAAAAGUAUCGACCAGCAAGUUUGUCCGGGAUAAAGGAUAGCCACGAUGAUGGUUGGAUGCCGUGUUAAAGAUAUACUUUUUCUCCCGUUGCAACGCACGGGCCCUUUUGCUAGUAUAGCUAAUGAGAAGAUCGCACAUGGUUUUAGGAACUUUCAGGAAGGUUCCAGCCCAGGUUUCUAAUGGUUUUCGGAAUCUUCUAGCAGGUUCCUGAACCGAUUUUUGGACUAGUUUUCUGGUUCCUUUUUUUAUUUUUCGUUUUCGUUUUCCUUUUCUUUUUCUAUUCUUUUUUUCCUUUUCUAUUUCUAUAUUUUUUUUCGUUUUUGUUUUCUUUUCUUUAUGAUUUUUUUUCAAAAUUUCAGAACUUUUCAAAAGUUGUUCAAGAACUUCAAAAAAAUGAUUUCAUCUCAAAGACCGUUCACAAUUUUCGGAAAAUUAUUCGCAAUUUGUUUUCAAAAAAUGUUAAUGUGUUCAAAUUUUGUUUGGGAGUUUCAAAAAAUGUUCCUAUUUCAAACUUUGUUCGCAAUUUUCAAGAUUUUUUUUAUAUUUUUCAAUUUUUGUCAGGAGUUUCAAAAAUUGUUCGCAAAUUUCAAAUAAUGUUUGUGUUUUAAUUUUUGCAGAGAGUUCCAAAAAAUGUACAUAAUUUUUAAAAAAUGUUUGUGUUUGCAAAAAAAUUUCAGGAGUUUAAAAAAAUGUUCCUAUUUUAAGAAAAAUGUUCGCUUAUCCAAAAUUUGUGUUUGGAAUUUGGAAAAUGUUUCAGUUUUCGAAAAAAAUCAUUUUCAAAACAUGUUCUAGUUCUCAAAAAGUGUUCAUGUUUCCAAAUAUUGUUCAUCUCAAAUUUGUUCUACAGAUUCAGAAAAUGUUCCUGUUUUAAUUUUUUUCGUGUUUCCAAAAUUGUUCAUGUUUUCGAUAGUUGUUCGCAAAUUUCAUAAAAUGUUUCUGUUUCCAAAAAUUGUUCAUGUUUUUAAAUUUGUUCUGCUGUUUCAAAAAAUUUGCGUGUGUUAAAUGUUUUUGGUUUUUCCAAAAUUGAUCCUGUUUUAGAAAUUGUUCGCGAAUUUCAUUAUUUUACCUUUUUCCAAUUUUUCUGGAAUUUCGAGCAAAAAUUUAAAACACGAAAAAAGGAAGAAAAAAAGGAUCUUCGUUGUUUUUGGUUCUUAUAAUGUUGCGCUACCAAUGUAAACAUUCGUUGUGAUAAUGUCUACUGGCUAGCACAGUCGGCUCUUUCACCAGAGGUCCCGGGCUCAAUCCCUACAGUACGCGAAAUCUUUUAGAGGUCAAUAGACUCGCGCUACAGUACCCAUUCCGCUGGUCGCUAGCUUGGGCCGGCCCAGUCAGGUAUGCGUCUGUGCGUGCGUCCGGCAAUUUGCCGCAAAGAGCGGCACAUAGGAGAGCGCGUCGUUGUGGUCGAGAUGGGAACAAGGGAGCUACAUGGGCUAGGUCUCAUGGUUUUGAUGGGCUUGGCCCAUGUGCGACUAUGCGGACGACGUGACGAAAGGAGGAUGAAACGAUGGGCGAAGCGAAGAGGCGUGGUCAGUCGGCAGCAAAAGAAGCCUUACUCUCUUUUUUAAGUAGUAGAGUUUUUAAGUAGUAGAGAUUUAUUUGGCAUUUAUUUGGAUAAGGAUAACCUUUAUCCAAAGAAAAACGAAACAAGUCAUAUAAUGACAUUAAUUGGAUAAGGAUAACCUUGAUGCCAACAUAUCUAUAUAAGGCGACUGAACGGUACCUCUCAUGACCACAAAAAUAUUCUGGUUGACAGAUUAUUCCAUAACUAUAUAUUUUCUAUUAUUCCGUGUUCUUAGGCAAUGGCGAACAGUGGCAUCUUCCAAGUGAUCAUUCUUUUUCUCAUGGCGCAAGUCUGCUUGCUCAUGAUGAUGGCAGCACCGGUAGCACAUGCAGCUGCUAGACCGGUGGGGUACAAUCCAGUGUGCUGUCCUAGGAACAUCUAUUGUUGCGGGUUCGGUAGCGGAUUGGCCAAUUCACCCGCACCAUCCAUUGUAUCUUGAUGUGUGGUUUUAUUCUCCCCCAAGUAGUAAGCUUGACAUAUAAAUGAUAUAUGUGAUUUAUGUGUUACCUAAUCCUGGAUAUUUGUGAUCCUAGUUUCAAAAAG
rnacentral:lncRNA from 1 species